rnacentral:lncRNA from 1 species
CAUGGGAAUCAUUACGGCGUAGUUUCUGUGCACAGCUAGGCCUUUUCGUUUCGCACUCCAUUUCAUUACGUCUGCACGAUCUUGAGCCAACUGGCUAUUUAUGUAAAUGAAGAAUUGUCUGUCACCGAUGUCAUUGAUAAGAGGAUCAAGCUCGCAAAAGUGGAGUCUGAGAACGUAAGUGAAGCCACAAUCAACGGGGAACACCCAAGUCAGGUUGCUCAUUUGGUUCAGAGUGCCGUUUGUGCCCUGGUUACGCGCUGUUCUGAACAGUUCCUUCGGUGCCACGUAAUCAGGAUUCACGGUUAUGUUCAUCUUCCCAUCGAUGUCAGCUGAUAGAUCAUUAUUCUGUGGAUUUUCUUUAAUAAAAAAAGCUUCUUCGUGAGCCCAAUCCCUGAGCAAACCGGUGUCGUUUUGUGGCGGGAUUUCUUGGCCCCCAGAUUUGAUUCUAUACUCAGUCUGGAGCGCGAAGCUGGUUAGAACGUUGAAUUGCGUACCAUGUCCCACUAGCUUGACUCCUGUAUCAUCUUGUGGAGUGUAAUAUAAAUCGGUUGGCAUGGAAAGCACCUCGAUUCCAUUGAUGAAAGCGUAGGAGUUUGGAUAGGAGGGAGUGAAGGUGAGGACAAGCCUCUCACUGUCGUUGACGUUGACAACGUAUUCUCGGAAGAUAGUGUCGGCGGCUUGAGCGUCGGCCACUUGAGCGUCGGCGUGAAGAGAGGCGUUGAAAGCGUUGAGGAGAGUGAAUUGGUUGGAUUGAACGGUGAAAGAUGCGUGGCUGCGGGGAAAGGAAGGGUAGUCGGAAGGGUAGAAGAAGAGGCGAAGGAAUUUGGGGCCUGGGGAGACGGGGAAGGAGUAGUUGAAUUGGGAACGGGACAAGCGUGCAGUGGAAUAGGGGAUUUGAUUGGUGGAAGGAGACUGUCUUGUUGCCUUCUCUGAAACGGAGCCUUCUUUGAAAGAUAAGUACUUUGUGUCUUCGUCGCCGGUCCACCUUCUUUGAGCGUCGGAGGAUUUCCCGGUGGUGCCGCAACUGAUGGUGAAAAUAUCCUCGGGGGUGUAGGCGUGGAGGUGUAGGGAGAAGUAGAGAAGGAGGAAGAAGAGUGUUAAGGAGGUCAUGGUUUGGUGUUAACAAGUGAGAACUGUUGGGAGCGCUUAAUACUAAAGGAAUGUUGAGAGUCUCUGAAUGACUUGGACCAGUCAAAGUAGCAAAUACGUGGAGUUGAAAGAACUUCAUAUUUCAAAUUUCCACAGGCCUACCAAAAUAUUGAUAAAAUAUUUUUUUCUAUUUUCCUUUCUGCGCAACAAUUUAUUCCUCUCUAAGUAAGGAAAUUAAAAAUUUAUAAAAGCUUAAAUUAAAAUUUACAUAUUUUUUUAAGAACAGAAUUAGUAAUUUCAAUUUUUUAAUCAAAACAAACAACAAAAAGUUAUAAAUAAAUAUUAAAAUUGAAUAACUUGGCAAGUAACUAAAAAAUAUAUUCAAGUUUUCACUUUAUUGUGUGAUGUUAGGGAUAUAAUUUUAUGAAUCUAUCAUAUUUAGGACUAGUGGUCACACAAUAUACAUAGAAUAUAUGUUUGAGAGCAAAAAACUUUAGUUAGAUUAUACAAAAAUAGACAGCAAAUAAUACCGUCCAAUUGGCAAGUGUCACCUUUGCUCGUUGUUUUUUUUUUCUCCAUAAAAAAAUGAUUAAAAUUAUUUUUUUUAAUUUAUUUUCUUCUCAAUCAAAUGGUUUGAUUUAUAUUUAUAAUUAAAAAUAAAAAUAAACCAAAUUGCUUAACGUAUUUUUAUAUAAUGUUAUAGAUUUAGAAUAAAUUAAUAACUAACAAUAUAUAUAUAUAUAUAUAUGUAUAUAUAUAUAUAUAUGUGUGUCUCUUGUUUAUAUUUUAAUUGCAUUUUAUUUAUAAUAUAUUUAUAUUUACAUUUAUUAAAACAAGGUGAUAACUUUAAAUUUAACUAUAACUUGUGUAAAUUAUUUGUGAAUAUAAAAAAAAUUAAAUUAAAUAUAUAACAUCAUAUAAAAAAUAUUUACACCGUAUACUUUAUUUAAAAAAAUUAUUUAUAACAUAAAAGUAUCCACUUUCUGUUUAUCCGUUUAUUCAGAUCAUUAUUUAAAAUACUAAAAAAUAGUUUUACAAAUUAGACAUUUUAAAAUAAGGUUAUUUGAAUUAGUUAUUCUAAUAUUAACUGUUCCUACUAGGAAGAUUGGACUUAAAGAACUAUUGAAGUCUAAUUCUACUUUCUUCGGUCGGUCAGGUGACUGAGUGAUGUGUUGGCAUUCUUCUCGUCCUCCUGCUUCUCCUUCGGCACUCGGUCUCGGGUGAACAUCGGAUGGUGGGGUACCUGCGAAGGCACUCCGACGCUCAAGUCAGUAAAGCGGGUGGUUAGCUUUCAAGUAGGUGAACAGUAAUAAAUGACAUACCUCACUCCUUGGGAUGCGUGCUAUUUAUAUUAUUCUAAUGGGCUUACCUUGUUGGACCCGUUUAUCGGGGUGGAUACCGCUUAGGGUUGUAUUACCUAAUCCUUAAUGAUGGAUUAACUUCGUUGACUUUAGUUUGAGCGUUAAUGGUAAUCAGGAUUGGCCGUCGGCCAAGUUCCCCAAGGAUGAAUCGGUCACCGACCAGAUUUCCCUGGUCUCGGUCGUCUUGGACAGGUCUUCUAAGGUCUCGGCCAGGUGGUCGUUGGCCUCGUUGUUCGGCCAAGUCUAUCAGGUUUCGGCCGGCUCCCCCUUGGUCUUGGUCGGGUCGACCAGGUCUUGAUCAGGUUGACCAGGUCUUGGUCAGGUUGACCAGGUCUCGGGCAGCCAGGUGGGUUUCAGGCAGGGAGACCAGGGGUUGGCCUCGCCCACACCGGUACAUUAUCAAAUUUCACUUAAAAUUUAUGUGUAGAAAGAUAAGUUUUUUAAAGAUUUGUGCUUUAGGUAGAGCCUUAUGAAUGGGUCUAUUAUCUAUUUUUUUUCUUAACAUGAUCUCGUGUAAGAACACUUUCAGGGUGAGUUAUGGAAAAAUCUCAUUCCCCUUAAUUUGAAACUCAAAUCUUAAAUUCUUGAUUAGAAGAAUGCGUAACAAUGAAUUAAAUUCUUGAUUACAUAUUGUGAUAUUUUCUAAAAUUGUUAAUAACACUUACAACAUAAGUUAUGUUAGGACGUGAUCCGAUCGGUCAUCGGUAGUCGAUGACGUCAGCAUCAGAGAAUCACGUGGACCACUCGCAGGGUGACACGUGGACCAGGUGGCAGAGAGGUAGGGGGACGAUCGCCAAGANNNNNNNNNNNNNNNNNNNNNNNNNNNNNNNNNNNNNNNNNNNNNNNNNNNNNNNNNNNNNNNNNNNNNNNNNNNNNNNNNNNNNNNNNNNNNNNNNNNNNNNNNNNNNNNNNNNNNNNNNNNNNNNNNNNNNNNNNNNNNNNNNNNNNNNNNNNNNNNNNNNNNNNNNNNNNNNNNNNNNNNNNNNNNNNNNNNNNNNNNNNNNNNNNNNNNNNNNNNNNNNNNNNNNNNNNNNNNNNNNNNNNNNNNNNNNNNNNNNNNNNNNNNNNNNNNNNNNNNNNNNNNNNNNNNNNNNNNNNNNNNNNNNNNNNNNNNNNNNNNNNNNNNNNNNNNNNNNNNNNNNNNNNNNNNNNNNNNNNNNNNNNNNNNNNNNNNNNNNNNNNNNNNNNNNNNNNNNNNNNNNNNNNNNNNNNNNNNNNNNNNNNNNNNNNNNNNNNNNNNNNNNNNNNNNNNNNNNNNNNNNNNNNNNNNNNNNNNNNNNNNNNNNNNNNNNNNNNNNNNNNNNNNNNNNNNNNNNNNNNNNNNNNNNNNNNNNNNNNNNNNNNNNNNNNNNNNNNNNNNNNNNNNNNNNNNNNNNNNNNNNNNNNNNNNNNNNNNNNNNNNNNNNNNNNNNNNNNNNNNNNNNNNNNNNNNNNNNNNNNNNNNNNNNNNNNNNNNNNNNNNNNNNNNNNNNNNNNNNNNNNNNNNNNNNNNNNNNNNNNNNNNNNNNNNNNNNNNNNNNNNNNNNNNNNNNNNNNNNNNNNNNNNNNNNNNNNNNNNNNNNNNNNNNNNNNNNNNNNNNNNNNNNNNNNNNNNNNNNNNNNNNNNNNNNNNNNNNNNNNNNNNNNNNNNNNNNNNNNNNNNNNNNNNNNNNNNNNNNNNNNNNNNNNNNNNNNNNNNNNNNNNNNNNNNNNNNNNNNNNNNNNNNNNNNNNNNNNNNNNNNNNNNNNNNNNNNNNNNNNNNNNNNNNNNNNNNNNNNNNNNNNNNNNNNNNNNNNNNNNNNNNNNNNNNNNNNNNNNNNNNNNNNNNNNNNNNNNNNNNNNNNNNNNNNNNNNNNNNNNNNNNNNNNNNNNNNNNNNNNNNNNNNNNNNNNNNNNNNNNNNNNNNNNNNNNNNNNNNNNNNNNNNNNNNNNNNNNNNNNNNNNNNNNNNNNNNNNNNNNNNNNNNNNNNNNNNNNNNNNNNNNNNNNNNNNNNNNNNNNNNNNNNNNNNNNNNNNNNNNNNNNNNNNNNNNNNNNNNNNNNNNNNNNNNNNNNNNNNNNNNNNNNNNNNNNNNNNNNNNNNNNNNNNNNNNNNNNNNNNNNNNNNNNNNNNNNNNNNNNNNNNNNNNNNNNNNNNNNNNNNNNNNNNNNNNNNNNNNNNNNNNNNNNNNNNNNNNNNNNNNNNNNNNNNNNNNNNNNNNNNNNNNNNNNNNNNNNNNNNNNNNNNNNNNNNNNNNNNNNNNNNNNNNNNNNNNNNNNNNNNNNNNNNNNNNNNNNNNNNNNNNNNNNNNNNNNNNNNNNNNNNNNNNNNNNNNNNNNNNNNNNNNNNNNNNNNNNNNNNNNNNNNNNNNNNNNNNNNNNNNNNNNNNNNNNNNNNNNNNNNNNNNNNNNNNNNNNNNNNNNNNNNNNNNNNNNNNNNNNNNNNNNNNNNNNNNNNNNNNNNNNNNNNNNNNNNNNNNNNNNNNNNNNNNNNNNNNNNNNNNNNNNNNNNNNNNNNNNNNNNNNNNNNNNNNNNNNNNNNNNNNNNNNNNNNNNNNNNNNNNNNNNNNNNNNNNNNNNNNNNNNNNNNNNNNNNNNNNNNNNNNNNNNNNNNNNNNNNNNNNNNNNNNNNNNNNNNNNNNNNNNNNNNNNNNNNNNNNNNNNNNNNNNNNNNNNNNNNNNNNNNNNNNNNNNNNNNNNNNNNNNNNNNNNNNNNNNNNNNNNNNNNNNNNNNNNNNNNNNNNNNNNNNNNNNNNNNNNNNNNNNNNNNNNNNNNNNNNNNNNNNNNNNNNNNNNNNNNNNNNNNNNNNNNNNNNNNNNNNNNNNNNNNNNNNNNNNNNNNNNNNNNNNNNNNNNNNNNNNNNNNNNNNNNNNNNNNNNNNNNNNNNNNNNNNNNNNNNNNNNNNNNNNNNNNNNNNNNNNNNNNNNNNNNNNNNNNNNNNNNNNNNNNNNNNNNNNNNNNNNNNNNNNNNNNNNNNNNNNNNNNNNNNNNNNNNNNNNNNNNNNNNNNNNNNNNNNNNNNNNNNNNNNNNNNNNNNNNNNNNNNNNNNNNNNNNNNNNNNNNNNNNNNNNNNNNNNNNNNNNNNNNNNNNNNNNNNNNNNNNNNNNNNNNNNNNNNNNNNNNNNNNNNNNNNNNNNNNNNNNNNNNNNNNNNNNNNNNNNNNNNNNNNNNNNNNNNNNNNNNNNNNNNNNNNNNNNNNNNNNNNNNNNNNNNNNNNNNNNNNNNNNNNNNNNNNNNNNNNNNNNNNNNNNNNNNNNNNNNNNNNNNNNNNNNNNNNNNNNNNNNNNNNNNNNNNNNNNNNNNNNNNNNNNNNNNNNNNNNNNNNNNNNNNNNNNNNNNNNNNNNNNNNNNNNNNNNNNNNNNNNNNNNNNNNNNNNNNNNNNNNNNNNNNNNNNNNNNNNNNNNNNNNNNNNNNNNNNNNNNNNNNNNNNNNNNNNNNNNNNNNNNNNNNNNNNNNNNNNNNNNNNNNNNNNNNNNNNNNNNNNNNNNNNNNNNNNNNNNNNNNNNNNNNNNNNNNNNNNNNNNNNNNNNNNNNNNNNNNNNNNNNNNNNNNNNNNNNNNNNNNNNNNNNNNNNNNNNNNNNNNNNNNNNNNNNNNNNNNNNNNNNNNNNNNNNNNNNNNNNNNNNNNNNNNNNNNNNNNNNNNNNNNNNNNNNNNNNNNNNNNNNNNNNNNNNNNNNNNNNNNNNNNNNNNNNNNNNNNNNNNNNNNNNNNNNNNNNNNNNNNNNNNNNNNNNNNNNNNNNNNNNNNNNNNNNNNNNNNNNNNNNNNNNNNNNNNNNNNNNNNNNNNNNNNNNNNNNNNNNNNNNNNNNNNNNNNNNNNNNNNNNNNNNNNNNNNNNNNNNNNNNNNNNNNNNNNNNNNNNNNNNNNNNNNNNNNNNNNNNNNNNNNNNNNNNNNNNNNNNNNNNNNNNNNNNNNNNNNNNNNNNNNNNNNNNNNNNNNNNNNNNNNNNNNNNNNNNNNNNNNNNNNNNNNNNNNNNNNNNNNNNNNNNNNNNNNNNNNNNNNNNNNNNNNNNNNNNNNNNNNNNNNNNNNNNNNNNNNNNNNNNNNNNNNNNNNNNNNNNNNNNNNNNNNNNGCGGGGUACUACUGGGCAAAGCUGAAGGAAGAUUGCAUAAGGUUUGCUCAGCGAUGCAAACAAUGUCAGCUGCAUGCAGAUUGGCACAAGGCACCCCCUGAGGAGUUGAUGUCCAUCCAUAGCCCGUGGCCAUUCCAUGCAUGGGGGAUUGACAUCCUAGGACCUUUUCCCCUGGCGACAAGGCAGAUGAAGUUCCUCAUUGUGGCCAUCGAAUAUUUCACUAAGUGGGUGGAGGCAGAGCCAGUUGCACACAUCACCGCACAGAAAGUCGAACACUUCGUCUGGAAGAACAUUGUCUGUCGCUUCGGAAUACCCAAGAGGCUGGUUUCCGACAAUGGCACCCAGUUCACAAGUCAUCAGCUGAGGAAGAUGUGUGAAGAGUUAAAGAUACAACAGGUUUUCGCUUCAGUGGAGCACCCACAAACAAAUGGGCAGGUGGAGUCAGCAAAUCGAGUGCUGCUCAGGGGGCUGAAGCGAAGACUAGACAAGGCCAAAGGAGGCUGGGCAGAGGAGGUCCCCAGAAUUGUAUGGUCUUAUCACACCACCCCACAGUCCAGCACCCAUGAGACACCCUUCAGCCUUGUCUAUGGGACAGACGCCAUGAUUCCUGUAGAGAUACAGGAGAGCUCCCCCAGAUUCUUGAACUUCGUUGCUGAAGAGUCCAAUGAAGAGCGUAAGGUGAAUCUGGAUCUGCUAGACGAAGUGCGAGAAGAGGCCAGAGUCAGUGCUGAAGCUGUGAAGAGAAGAGUAGAGCGGAGGCACAACUCUAAAGUGAGGCCCAGGCGCUUCCAGGAAGGUGAUCUGGUGAUGAGAAAGGCGCAUCAGAAUGACAUGCAGAACAAGUUAUCCCCAAAGUGGACAGGCCCAUACAGAGUGGUGGAGACAUUAGAGAACGGAGCCUAUCGCCUAGAGACUUUGGAAGGAGGAGCAAUCCCCAGAACGUGGAACGCCACCCAUUUAAAAUUUUAUUUCAGUUAAAGUUGUACAGUAAUAGGCGUUCUCGCGCUAAAAGNNNNNNNNNNNNNNNNNNNNNNNNNNNNNNNNNNNNNNNNNNNNNNNNNNNNNNNNNNNNNNNNNNNNNNNNNNNNNNNNNNNNNNNNNNNNNNNNNNNNNNNNNNNNNNNNNNNNNNNNNNNNNNNNNNNNNNNNNNNNNNNNNNNNNNNNNNNNNNNNNNNNNNNNNNNNNNNNNNNNNNNNNNNNNNNNNNNNNNNNNNNNNNNNNNNNNNNNNNNNNNNNNNNNNNNNNNNNNNNNNNNNNNNNNNNNNNNNNNNNNNNNNNNNNNNNNNNNNNNNNNNNNNNNNNNNNNNNNNNNNNNNNNNNNNNNNNNNNNNNNNNNNNNNNNNNNNNNNNNNNNNNNNNNNNNNNNNNNNNNNNNNNNNNNNNNNNNNNNNNNNNNNNNNNNNNNNNNNNNNNNNNNNNNNNNNNNNNNNNNNNNNNNNNNNNNNNNNNNNNNNNNNNNNNNNNNNNNNNNNNNNNNNNNNNNNNNNNNNNNNNNNNNNNNNNNNNNNNNNNNNNNNNNNNNNNNNNNNNNNNNNNNNNNNNNNNNNNNNNNNNNNNNNNNNNNNNNNNNNNNNNNNNNNNNNNNNNNNNNNNNNNNNNNNNNNNNNNNNNNNNNNNNNNNNNNNNNNNNNNNNNNNNNNNNNNNNNNNNNNNNNNNNNNNNNNNNNNNNNNNNNNNNNNNNNNNNNNNNNNNNNNNNNNNNNNNNNNGUCAAACUCCUUUAUUCAUUUAGCGCUAGAGCGACAGAGCAGCAGAUCGCGCUAAGCCUAAUCUGGUUGACCAUUAGUCGUGCGCAAAGCGUAAGAGAAGCAGAUCGCGUUAAGCGUAAGCUGGUAACAAUUAGUCGCGCGCAAAGAGUAAGAGCAGCAGAUCGCGCUAAGCGUAAGCUGGUUAUCACUUAGUCGCGUGCAAAGAGUAAGUGAAGCAGAUCGCGCUAAGCCUGAGCUGGUUAACGCUUAGUCGUGUGCGAAAGGAAAGGUAAAGCCCAAGAUCGCGCUGAACCUAAACUAGCUAACAAUCAGUCGCGCACAUAGAGACAAGUGAAGUUCAAAGAAAAUACAAAGAGAAAUUGAGCAGUUAAAAUCAAGGUAUAUCACCAGAGAUAUUCAUACAAUUGUCAGUUACAAUGAGUUGAAUGGUGCAGAAACGUAAGGUUACAGAAUGAAGCUUUGUACAGAGAAGUCAAAUUCACAAAAGGGAAGAGAUUCAGGGAGUAGGAGGCCUAAGUUUUCCAUCUACCACUGAGUGAUGAAUGCUGAAUUGUGAAAGGUCCAGUUCUGGGAGGACGCAGCGGACUUGCUCGAGCGCCAGCUCGAAUCCAUCAAUGAGGGAAUCAGCGCCCACAUUCAUCAAGUCCUCUUUCUCCGCCUCCAGACUUUGCCUCGAAGCCUCCGCAGCAUCCCUCUGCGUGGUGAGGGCAGCAAGGGAGGAGGCAGCUUCAGACAGCUUACCCACUGCCUCCUCAAGCUUCCUUUCAGCAGCAGCAGUUGCCUCUUUGGCGGCCUUGAGCAUCUCCACCCGCUGAGAAUCUUGUUGACGUAGGGAGGCGUUCUCAGCCUGUAACUCCUCCACCAUCUGACUCCGUUCGCGCAAGGAAGAAUUGUCCGCCCGUAACUCUACCUCCUUGCAGUCCAGAGGACCAACAGUCGCCCCNNNNNNNNNNNNNNNNNNNNNNNNNNNNNNNNNNNNNNNNNNNNNNNNNNNNNNNNNNNNNNNNNNNNNNNNNNNNNNNNNNNNNNNNNNNNNNNNNNNNNNNNNNNNNNNNNNNNNNNNNNNNNNNNNNNNNNNNNNNNNNNNNNNNNNNNNNNNNNNNNNNNNNNNNNNNNNNNNNNNNNNNNNNNNNNNNNNNNNNNNNNNNNNNNNNNNNNNNNNNNNNNNNNNNNNNNNNNNNNNNNNNNNNNNNNNNNNNGCUCCCCGUUGCUGAUGUGCUGUCGCACCAUGGAGAUAACUCUGCUGAAGUUCUCAUGGUUGGCCCCAGAGUUGCUUGGGCGUGAGUCGGACCCACCAUGUUCAGCAUUUGCGGUGGAGAUUGGUAGAGGAGUCGGGGCACCCUCGUUUUGAGCAGAAGCACCCCCAGCAGGGUGAGCGGAUGGACCAGGUGAUUGGCCUGCUGGGGGGGAAGUUGGCGGUUGAGAGAUUGGGGGCAAUUGUUGGCAAGGAGAAGGUGGGCAUGCGGGCUCUCGGGCAGGUUGAGUAGAGGGAGAGGGAGGUGGUGAACCUUCCUCUACCUCCACNNNNNNNNNNNNNNNNNNNNNNNNNNNNNNNNNNNNNNNNNNNNNNNNNNNNNNNNNNNNNNNNNNNNNNNNNNNNNNNNNNNNNNNNNNNNNNNNNNNNUCGACCACUGGCCUCUUCCUCUGGCGGUGAAUGAGGGGGGAGCCAGAGCUUUCUUCUUCCACUGAGGCAGCAGCAGCAACAGGUACAAGCGAAGAAGCCUUCACCAGUCUUUUCCUUUUCUUCCCUUGCUCGGGGCCUUCAGCUGGCGCGACCGAGAGUGGAGGGGCUUCAAUUGGCUCAGUGGUGGAAGAGGAGGAGCCAAUCCCUUUGGUCGCUCGAUGUUUAGCAAGCUCUAACACCGCCAACCUCCUAUCUUUCCCUGACAUUGAAUCUGCAUAGGCAAGAAAGGGGAAAAUUAGACAGCUAAGAGACGCAAGCAAGGUGAAAUGUAUGAGAGCAUGCAUGAGGAGGUAUAAGUGUCCUGAGGGGCGGCAGAGAAAGAACUACCUAUAUAUUUUUUCAGAGAAGCCACAUCAAACUCAUCCUUGAUGAGGCGAGCGGAGUCAAACUUAGCCCCCAGGAGCAGCCCACACAGCUCGCGCUCGUAGGGGGCCAUGGUCUCGAGGUCCUUGGGUUUUUUAAAUGCAACCUGGGGAACCCAGUAGAGGGGGUACCCCUCGAGCAGAUGAGGACUUUGUGGGGUGGCGGAUAUCAUGUAAAAUCUGCCCUUCCAGUCUUUGAAGGACUGCUGGUGCAGGCCCAGAAGCACCCGUCCAGCAACCCCGUUUAGGCUGACCCAAAACCUAUCCCCUGGUUUCUUCGCCUCAAAGAAGUAAAGGAACACCUCCACCGAGGCGUUGUGCCCAAAGUGGUUACACAGGAUCUGAAACGCCCGGAUGAAGGCCCAGGCGUUGGGGUGGAGUUGGCAGGGCGCGACGUUCAACUCCAUCAUCAGCUCUUUCUCGAAGAAGGUGAAGGGGAGUCGCAGCUUCAACCUUUUGAAGAUCGCGGAGUAAACAAAAACGAAGGGCACCCCAUUGGUGGCCCUGUCGUCAGCGCAAAUGGGCAUCCCUCGGGGAGGGAUGCGGACUCGGAUGUGGAAGUCGUUUUCCCUGUCUAUGGAACACGAGGGUUCGUCUGGGUCGUGGCUCAGAAGUGAGUUAAGAUGGUCCUCAGGUAGCAAGAUGGACGUUUCAGAUAGCAACGCCAGAGGGGCCCAGUCAUAGACCUUGGCGUUGUCAUGGAAUGAGGUGACAACAGGCGGUGGCGAAGCUGGUGCACUCGCGGAGGGCUGUGCACCAGAAGAAGAGGCAAUGACACGAGCGGUCUGCUUCAAGCGAGCCAUCGAGAGAUAGCUGCAAUGGAGGAAAACGAAGGGUCAGAAAUAGAAAGGGAGAGAGUGAUGGAUGGUUCGGUGAAAAACAGAGAGAGGAAAUGAGAAAGAAAUGCCCAGGUAAAGGAGAAAGAAGGGGAGGCAGAAGUCAAGGCGGAAACACGAGAAAAACCCUAGCGCGGGUUGAGAAGAAGAAAAACAGGGAAGAUGGAUGCAUGAUAACUAGAAUGAUAAAUGCAAUCGGUAAAGAUGACCAAAAGGGGGCCAGGGAAAAGAAAAACCAUACCUUUGAAUGAUCGCAAGAGAUUGGGAAGCGGAGAAUUUGAAGAAAGAUGGGUGCGCAGAAGAGAAGUUCGCAGAGAGUCUGGAAGUCGAAUGAAGAAGAUGAAGGAACAGUGGAAGGGCGCGCCCAUUUGAAUGAAAAAAGCGCUAGCGACGCACAACGCUGGGCGUCGAUGGCGCCACGCGUCGCGAGAUUAAGAGAGGAAUCCAAACGUUAAAAAACCACCCGUGAAGGGGCACGUGAGGCGGCCCCCUUUGCCCGUGGACGGAAGGCCGACCAAAAUUGUUAAUAACACUUACAACAUAAGUUAUGUUAGGACGUGAUCCGAUCGGUCAUCGGUAGUCGAUGACGUCAGCAUCAGAGAAUCACGUGGACCACUCGCAGGGUGACACGUGGACCAGGUGGCAGAGAGGUAGGGGGACGAUCGCCAAGAGAGGUGAUCGGUGGUCAGUAACCAAGUUACCACCGACAGAUCAGGCGGCAGAGAGGUCGGGGGAUAGAUCACCCAGAAUGGUGAUCGGUGGUCAGUAGCCAAGUGACCACCAGCAGACCAGGUCCCAGACUCGCGCCUGGAGGCAGAGCGCGAGUAGCGAAUAAACACUGAUCANNNNNNNNNNNNNNNNNNNNNNNNNNNNNNNNNNNNNNNNNNNNNNNNNNNNNNNNNNNNNNNNNNNNNNNNNNNNNNNNNNNNNNNNNNNNNNNNNNNNNNNNNNNNNNNNNNNNNNNNNNNNNNNNNNNNNNNNNNNNNNNNNNNNNNNNNNNNNNNNNNNNNNNNNNNNNNNNNNNNNNNNNNNNNNNNNNNNNNNNNNNNNNNNNNNNNNNNNNNNNNNNNNNNNNNNNNNNNNNNNNNNNNNNNNNNNNNNNNNNNNNNNNNNNNNNNNNNNNNNNNNNNNNNNNNNNNNNNNNNNNNNNNNNNNNNNNNNNNNNNNNNNNNNNNNNNNNNNNNNNNNNNNNNNNNNNNNNNNNNNNNNNNNGACACGUGUGUGGUUAGAUGUGAGUUGCAGGCCUCCACGUGUCAUCAUCUGAGAGGGGUGCGGCCCAGACAAAAGAGCACUCCGUACCGCUAAAGGUACAGACAGGCGCAGCCAAGCGCAGACAUGCGCAGACUCUCACGCUCCCCAUCGCUGAUUCUGAAGGUACGCUUUCUCUGAAAAGCAUGACAGGGUUCUGACACAUGCCAGAAAAGCAUAACAGAAUUCUGUUAUGCCCAGAAGCAGGGAAAGAGAGAUAAAAGGCAGAAUCAGAGUGAGAGCAGAGGGAGAAAAAAAGAUAGACGAAAAACAGAGUGCAAGUUUUUUCUCACACCCACACUACUAGUUUCCAGUUUCUGGUGGUUCUGUUGGACUAACUUGAUCGUCGGAGUGCAAACGGCCGCUAGAGGCGCCGUCUGUGUGUUUUGCAGGUCACAUUUGAAGACAUCUGAAAGAAAGUUCAGAGGGUGAUUCUUCAGGAGACGCAGUCGCGAAGACAGGGCAGAGAGUGCCACGAAGCGAUUCCUCCACGUUUGAGUUGCCGGCAGGAUCAGGACGUGUAUAGAUCAUUGCAUAUAUCAGUGAAGUAAUCAAAUUUGCAUAUGGAAUAUCAUUCAUAUAAUACUAUUCCUUCACCGUCUUAGGAGAUUGUUUAUCACUUAAUUUGUAAUCAGCAGUGUAAAAAUAGGUUUCAAGUUUGUCAUGUCAAACUUGUUAAGAAUUUUUUUAAGGUAGGUCUCCUGAGAGAAUUACAGACGCUUCAAUUCUCUUCGUAUAGAGAUCUCAAUCCCCAAUAUCUUUCUAGCAUCCCUUAAGUCCUUCAUCUCAAACUCAUUAUUUAGUUCAGAUAUAACAUUUAUCACCUUGAGUUUACUAUUGCUUGGUAUUAGAAUAUCAUCUACAUACAACAACAAUAUAAUGAAUAGACCAUCUGCUAAGAACUUGAAGUAGACACAAGUGUCAUACUUACUACGUUCAAAACCAAUUCUGGCAAUAAACUCAUCAAAUCGUUUCUUCCAUUGUCUUAGAGAUUUUUCAGACUAUACAAAGAUCUAUUUCUUACAAACAUAAUCUUUCUUUCCCUCUAUCUUAAACCAUUUUGACUUGCUUCACGUAGAUGGUUUCGUCUAAGUCUCCAUAAAGUAAAGCAGUCUUGACGUUCAUCUAUUCCAGUUUAAGGUUAAACUCAACAACCAUGGAUAACAAUAUCCUUAUGGAUCUAUGUUUUACCACAUGAAAGAACACAUCAUUGUAAUUAAUUCAUUCUCUCUGUGUAAAACCUCUAGGAACUAGCCUCACCUUGAAUCUUGGCUAAUUAGUUCCUGAAGCAUCAUCUUUUCUUUUGAAAAUCAAUUUACAACUGACCAACUUAGAACCUCCAUGUCUACGCAGUUCAAGUAGUGUUUAGAUGAAGUGACUUCAUCUCCUCAUUCAUGGCAUUUAACCAUCAAGUAUUCUCCUUACUUGCUAAGGCAAAGUAGAAGGUUUAUCUUCUAAUACCUCACUAGCCGUUACCUAAGAAUAAGCAAUAAGUUAUGCAAAAACAUACCUCUUCUCAUGGUUCCUUGUUUGGCUAUUUUGUACUCAUCAUCAGACAAAAUAGUACGUCUAUCAUCUUCCGACGCAUUAGCCAGACGUCUUUCAUCUUUAGACUUAUAAGACGAUCUAAUGGCUUCAAAUUCGUCUAGUCUUUUGGACUCACCUCAAUGUUAUCCUUCCCAACACUCUUGCUUUAAUAGGCUUACACUUAGAAACUUAAGAUUUAUAAGUCAUUUUAGUUUCUUUAAAGACAACAUCUUUGGUGAUGAAACAUUUCUUGAAUCUUGGCUCUAAACACAAUAGACAACACCCCUUCACUCCUUCUGGGUAUCCAAGGAACAUGUGAUGACUCUAUUUUAUGGCAAGUGUACAGUGUCAGAAGUAAUAAAUUUGUCCCUAAAGACUAAUAUCGAACCCACGAGGAACAAUUCAAUUGUCAAGUAUAAUAUUCACUAAAUAGUAAACAAUAUGUAAAAGUUUGUUAGAAAAUGUUUGAUGUGUAAGAUGAAUUUGUAAGAAUGUAAAUAAAGCAAAGUAAAAGCUUUGUAUGAGUCAAUUGGGAAAAUUGGAAUUGGAGUUCAUUCUUCUCACUCUUAUGUAUUUUUCAAAAGAUUAUAAUAUUCAACCUUGAUUGAUAUUGAUGCAUAUAUAAAAAUAAUUCACAUCGAUUCCUCGCAUACAAAAUUAUUAAGAGAGUCCCCUUAAUAUUGACUCCUCAUAUAUUUAUAAAAACUCAUUAUCAGUACGAACAAAUGUUAUAAAGCUACCAACAUUUCAAAUAUAUUCCUACCAUUCAAAUAUGUUAAACAUUAUCAUUUAGGUCAGAUCCUUAAAAGUACUUUCCGGUCAAAUCUAAGUAUCAAAAUCAUGAAUAAUUCAAGCUUUGAGAAUAAAAUGAUAUAUCGAUCAUUAAUCAAGAGCUCAAUAUUAUAGAUAAAUAUCACCUCAAUACAUAAGAGUUUGAACAUAUUAUUCUCAAUCCCAAAUAAAGGAAUUAGUUACUCAUGUUGGCUAUUGCAAGCAUGAAAAGCUUGGGUGAGUUCCUAUGGAGAGAUCUUGCUUGGGCGAGUUUUGAGCAAGUUUCCAACGUUCCAACUUUUCCUUUUUAUCUUGUUUAUUCUUCUUUAGCCCUUUCAUCUCCAUUUUCCCCUAGAAUCUUGAAAUUAAUACAAACUUUGGAAUAAAUUGUUCUCAUUCAUCUUAUAAUCAUAAAAUAUGUAAAAAGGUUUAAAUUCCUAAAUUAGGGUUUCAAUUAUAACUAUUUUAUCAAUAAAAAUCCACAAGUAUCUAACUUUUAAUAUGAAAUAUUACUUAAAUAUGACACUUAUCAACAUACAUUUAACAACACGAACGUAUAGUUUACUUUACCCAAUAUAUGCAUAGGCAACAUAUUAGGAUCAAGGUUAGGAGAACGACCAGUCCAAACUUCCUCACGAGUCUUCAUCUGUAGAGUCGUUGAAGGACAUCUAUUGAUCAAAUAAAAUGUAGUAGCAGUAGCCUCAUCCCGAAAAUUGUUUGGAACUCAUCAUAAAACAUCAUACACCUUACUCAUUUCAGAAUGGUCCUAUUGAAUCUCUAUGCUAGACCAUUAUGUUGAGGUGUUCCUGUAAUUAUCAAGUGUCUUAUUAUACCAUGCUCUCUGCAAAACCUUUUAAGCAAUUUUGAGCAGAACUCCAAGCCAUUAUCAGUUUUGAAACGUUUAAUCGUCUUACCAAUCUGAUUUUCGACUUGACUCUUCCAGUUCUUGAAAUUUCAAAUGCUUUAUCCUUGGUCUUCUUAGGGUAGACGCACAACUUCUUUGAAAAGUCAUAAACUAUUAAUAGGAAAUACCUGACACAUGAGUGUGAUGGAGUAGGAGAUCUAUCCCCAUAGACCAGUAUGAAUAUAAUAAAGGAUUCCUUCGUUCUUUGUUAACCCAUGUUAAACUGAAUUCUGCAGGCUUUUUCCUUGAACAUAGUGUUCACAAAAUCCUAACUGCUUAAUUCUAUCACUUCCAAACAAGCCUUAUUUGUUCAUCUCCACAAGCUCAUUUUCACUUACAUUACCUAACCUUUUGUUCCAUAACUCAGUUUUGGAACCUACGCUACUUUCAAUAGAAGUUGACCUAGAAACCAUCCAAGGCGUACAUGCCAUUCUUCAUCUCACCCUUCAUGACCACCAUGGACUCUCUCAACACCUUUAGAAGCCCUUUUUUACCUUUAAAAACAUAUCCCUUCUUUUCAGCUUCACCAAGGGAUAUAAUAUUUUUCUUCAAGCUAGGUAUAUACCUAACUUCUCCAAAAAUCUUAUCAGUUCCAUCAUGAAGAAAAAACUUCAUUGUUCCAAUUCCAUUUAUCUUACAAGACUUGUUAUCACAAGGGAAAACAGACUCUCCUUCAAGUUCUGAAAACUAUUAGAACCAUAUACGACUUGGUGUCAUAUGAAACAAAUUGUCAAAGUCCAAUAUCCAUUGACAAUCAUUAGCACUGCUCGACACUAUAAGGACCUCUAAUGAUUCAUAAUCGUCUUCCACCGGAGCUUCAAGGAAUAAUGUAAUUAAGGGGUACCUCUUUAUUAGGGCAUGAUGUGUGUUGGUUGAAGACUUCGUGGAUGAAUUCUCAGAAAAAGGAAUUAAAUUCUCUAUCACAGCAUAAUGGAAUGUGUAACCACACAUGCAUGUCCCAACCUAAUGAGGAUUACAAUCCCGUUUAGAGCCGUAACGAGGUUUACAAACCUCAUGUGUAUGUCCUGACCAUGAUGAGCAUUAAAAUCCCAAUCAGAGCUAUAAUGAGAUGUACAAACAUCAUUUACAUGUCUUGAUAAUGAUGAAGAUUACAAUCCUGAUCAGAAUCGUAAUGAGGUAUACAAACUUCACGUGCAUAUCUCUAUUGCGAUGAAAAUUAAGAUCAUGAAAUGUAGAAUCCUCACUCUUUGAUUUACAAUUCCAGUCAGAAUUGUAAUAAGGUAUACAAAUCUCGCGUGCAUAUUCUGAGUGUAAUGAGAAAUAGAUCUCAAUCAAAAUCGUAAUGGACAUCAUCUAAGUCAUUUAAAAUACUAAAAGUGAUACGUUUUAAAAUUAAGAAAACUAAAAGCUAACAAUAAUAAUAAUAAUAUUUAGUGUCAGAUAAAUUUUAAAAAAAUACUAAAUCUAAAUUUUGAAUAUUUAGAAAAAUAAACACAUUUAUUUAACCCUACAUCAAAUUUAAAAGGUUUUAAAUUUGUACAUAAUUGUUUUUCUAGUUUUAGAGAGAAUUAUAAAAGUUAAUCCUUUAAAAAUAUACUUAUUUUUUCAAUUUAAAAAAUUCUACCGAAAUAUAAAGAAAUUAUCUUGAUCCCAUUCGAUAUUCCCAUAGAAUUGUUUCCUUGUGACGGUUUUUAUUCUUUCUUUGCUUGUUGACACUGGUCACACUACUUCUCCGUUAAUAGUAGCAACAUUUUCACGUUGCUCUGCACUUUCUUGUAGCUGCAGCGUAAACUCCAGCAUCCCAGCCACAUCCUUCAUGGACGGCCUCAGCGAUCCAUCUUCCGACAAACAACUCACCCCAAUCUCACAAAACUUCUUCAAACACUCUUCUGCAAUCUUCUUCUUCAACGUGGGCUCCACAAUCUCUGCUAUGCUCCCACUUUCGUAACAAUGUCUCACCCAAUUAGCAAGCGACACCUGUUUCGUCUCUGCAGUGUGAAUCAAAGGUGGACGACCACACAGUAUCUCAAACAGCACAACCCCCAAAGAGUACACGUCAGACUUCUCCGUCAAUCGGUAGCGUUUAUAAUACUCCGGAUCCAAAUACCCAAAGCUGCCUCUCACAUCGGUGCUGACGUGGGCCUUCGAAGUUCCAAUUGGCCCAAGCCUGGAAAGCCCGAAGUCCGAAACCUUGGCCUCCCACUUAUCAUCCAACAAGAUGUUCGUGCUUUUCACGUCCCGGUGGAUGAUCAUGUGCUUCGCGCCUGUGUGGAGAUAGUGCAGUCCACGCGCCGCCUCGAUGCAUAUCUGCAGCUGCUGCUUCCACGAGAUAGCGGGGUUGUCCGUGUUGUACAGAUGGUCACGGAGGUUGCCACGUGUCAUGAAAUCGUAGACCAAGAUCAUUUCCCUAUUAUCGUUGCAGUAGCCGAUGAGGGACACGAUAUUGCGGUGGCGUAGCUGUGAGAGCAUCCUGAUUUCGUUCAGGAACUCGCGACCGCCCUGCUGCGAAUCCGGUUUAAGGCGCUUGAUGGCGACCGGGGUAGAACCGCCGUCAAUGUAGCCCUUGUACACGUGGCCGAAUCCCCCGGUGCCGACGAUGAAGACUUCGUCGAAGUUUUGGGUGGCCGUUCUCAUCUCGUCGAGGGAGAAGCGACGGCAAAGAUCUGUCGGCACGGAGGAUUUCUGCUGCAUUUUUAACUUGGAUUUGUUAUUCUUGCUGCAUUUUUGACUUGGCUUUGUGGUUCUCUUGCGACGGAAAAAGACAAAAAGGAAAUUGAUCAGCGAGAUCAAAACGACGCCGCACACCACCGCUGCUACGACGCCAAUAAUUGUCGUUGCAAUUCCGCUACUAGUCUUUCCGUUUUGGUCGGGAUUUUUUUUCUGUGGUGUCUGAACCGGGUCCAGGUUGGGUCCGGCGAGGUUGUUUGAGCCGGCUUCGCUGAUUUUGAAGAUCUCGAGGCCAUUUAGGAAGGCACUGUUGUAUCUUUUAUACGCACUAUUUUCGUCAGGGUGCAUUUGAAGCAAGAGAUUAAACGUUUUUUGAGAACCAUUAUUGGCAAUCAAAACGACGUAGUUUUUGUGCACAGCUAGACCUUUUCGUUUCUGAUUCCAUUUCAUUACAUCUGCACGUUCUUCGGCCCACUGGCUGUUUAUGUAAAUAAAGAAUCGCCUGUCACCGAUGUCAUUAAUAAGAGGAUCAAGCUCGCAAAAGUGGAGCCUGAGAACGUAAGUGAAACCACAAUCAACGGGGAACACCCAAGUGAGGUUGCUGAUUUUGUUCAGAGUGCCGUUUGUGCCCUGGCUACGCGCUGUUCUGAACAGUUCCUUCGGUGCCACGUAAUCAGGAUUCACGGUUAUCAGCUUACCACUCCAGUCACCUGGUAAAUCAUCAUUCUUUGGAUUUUCUUUAAUAAAAUAAGCAUCUUCGUCAGUCCAAUCCCUGAACAAACCGGUGUCGUUUUGUGGCGGGAUUUCUUGGCCCCCAGAUUUGAUUCUAUAUUCAGUCUGGAGCGCAUAGCUAGUUCCAACGCUGUAGAGCGUGGUGGUUCCGACUUGCGUGAAGCCUAUCUCAUUUGGUCGGGUGUAAUAUAAAUAAGUUGGCAUGGAAAGCACCUCGAUUCCAUUGAUGAAAGCGUAGGAGUUUGGAUUGGAGGGAGUGAAGGUGAGGAUAAGCCUCUCACCGUCGUUGACGUUGACCACGUAUUCUCUGAAGAUAGUGGUGGUGGCUUGAGCGUCGGCGUUAAGAGAGGCGUUGAAAACGUUGAGGAGAGUGAAUUGGUUGGAUUGAAGGGUGAAAGAAGCUUGGUUGCGGGGAAAGUUAGGGUAGUCGGCAGGGUAGAAGAAGAGGCGAAGGAAUUUAGGGCCUGAGGAGACGGGGAAGGAGUAGUUGAAUUGGGAACGGGACAAGCGUGCAGUGGAAUAGGGGAUUUCAUUGGUGGAAGGAGGCUGUGUUGUUGCCUUCUCUGAAACGGUGCCGUCUUGGAAAGAUAAGUACUUUUGACCGUCGGAUGAUUUGCCGGUGGUGCCGCAACUGAUGGUGAAUAUUUCCUCCGGGAUGUAAGCCAGAAGGUGUACGGAUAAGUGUAGAAGCAAGAAGAAAAGUGUUAAGGAAGUGAAGAUGGUCAUGGUUUGCAGUGAGAGAAAAAAGGGAAGAAAGUGAAGAUGGUCAUGGUCAUAGUUAUUACGUUGAUUGGUGAGUGAGGUAGUUGCUAGGAAACACGAAAGAUAGUGUUGGUAGUGGAAGCCAUGAUUUGUAGUGACAGGGAACAGAAGUGAAUGAAGUCGCGAAGACUUAUCAUGAGUGUUAGGUUAGAAUUGCAUGGAAGGUAAGGAGAACGUUGUUUGUUAGCGAAAGACCACUGCGUGUCUAUUCACUUGACACUUUAUUAAGAAAUUUCCACCACUUAUAUAAUAUAAAAUUCAAUGUAAUAUUCUAAUUUAGUGAAUGUGUAAUCUCGAACACGGUUUCUUCUUUAGUACAGAAAAAAACGAAAGUGCAAAAGAAAAAGGAACAAAACCUGCUAAUGUUUUAUUGGAGAGUUAAAACAAAAGUUAAAGAAAACUAGGAGGGUAAAAUAUACAGAUAACCACUAAAUUUAUAAAUUUUAAUUUUUCAUUAAAUUUAAUUACAUUUUACCACUCUUAUAAAAUUAAAAUUUCGAGUACCGAUAAAAUGAAUGAUAUAAAUUGUAAGAUGGUAAAUUUAUAUCAUUCUCAUUCGAAUUUGGGCUACUUAUACUUCAAAUAACACAUGACUGUUUUUUCACCUAAAUAUUUUCCUCCAUUGAAUUUAAAUUAGUGUGAAUAAAUAAUUGUCGUUUCCUUGAACGCUUUUUGUUAUUUUUUAUUGUUUUCAAGUCAGGUGCUUUUUUAAUAUCAAAGAUUUCAUUUUUUAUUUAUAUUUUCAUAUUUUUUAGUUAAAUGUAAUUUGUAUUUUAAUUUCUGUACCGGUCCGCACGAGGACUUGGCAUCCGAUCCAAACUGACUAACAUGACCAACGACGAGCUGAUUAAUAAUCCAACGCUUGUUAAUCUCCUUUUAUUAGGCCCAUUAAUGACCAUGGACCCACAAUAAUUGUAUAAAUUAGAAUAGAUCCCAAAUGAUAAGGUACACAAUCAUCUAAUCAUAAAUACUAAGUACUAAAUACUGGAGUCUAACUUGAGUAUCAGAGUACCUUUUGCAGGUACCAUCCGAGCCAACAGUUAGCUAGGAUGAGGAGUGGAAGAGUGAGUGUGAGAGUUCAGCCGAGAAAAGGGAGUGAGGUGCAGACCGACCGACCGACCGAAGGAGUAGUUCAAAUCGUUCUCUUGGUUCUAACCUUGUUCGAGAACAAUUGACGCUCAUUGUGGGGCCGAGAGAACCAGAAUGAAGAAGAAAGUAAAAGGUGUCGAUUAGAAGCAUGGUGAACGAGAAGAUGUCUGAUGCUGAGUAGAUGACGCUCUUGAUGUCUCUGUAGAGAGAGAUGACUGAGAUAAAAAGAAGGAUUGAGAAGAUGCAACGGAAGAGUGAAAAAGAGAUUCUUGCUCUCCGGAGAUAGAAUGAGGAGAUGAAAAGGAAGUGGAUGGAAGGAGGUCCAUUUGUGGGACCAAGCAAUCUAGCUGGGAAGUCCUUCAUCCACCCUACUGGCCCUAGAACUAUUGAGGAGCCAAGGGCAAUCCACACCCAAGAAACUGAGGGUGAGUUCUAUCUGAACAAGUCUGUCCCCACUGUUGGGUUUAUUAAUGUCUAAGUUCAACGGAGGGGGGGAGGUGAAUUGGACUUAUUGGGAAAACUGUUUUAAGAAAUCCUGACAGAAAAGAACAUAUUGUUUUAGAGAAAAACAAAUUUAUUUUCUGAUUCCAAGUAGUAGUUUCAGAAAUACAACAGAUUGGUUUAGAAACAACAAAUUUAAUUUCUAACUUAACAAUUCUAAACACACGCAAAUUGAAAUGAUUAGUAACAAAGACAUCAAGUGUAGACCUUAAUUCUAGAAAACAAUUUUCAAAACCAUUUGAAAGCAAUUUAAAAAAGGUAAGGAUCCUGAACAAGAUUGCUUACUUGAAUUUUAACACUUGUAUUACUCAGUAAAAAAUUACAGAUACAGUUAAUUUUAAACAAGAUAAAGACCUUAUCAGAAUCUUGAAAAACAGUAUAUGAUUUAACCCAACAAAAGUUAAAACAACAAAUUCAAUUUUUAAAACAUCAUAUUCAUUUUAUUGCAGAUUAUCAGAUUUCAUAUUUAAAGAAAUGAUCAAGGAAAGAGAAAGGCACAUCUUCAUCUUCUGCAUGUGGAGCAUCAUCAUCUUCAUUUGCAUAGCCUCGAUUUGAUGCUUCAUGUUCCAUUCUUGAAGCAACAUUCCUUCUGUACACCCAUGCAUUUUCCUCCUUUUGAAAAUCCAUCUUGGUAAAAGUUGCAUUGUUUAUCUCACUAAUAGCCUUGAUAGUCUCAUUUCUCUCAUUAGUGUUGUCAACCUUAAAACAAUCAAUUAAUUUGGAGACAAAAAUAACAUAUGAAAAUUUAUAAUCUGUGAGCCUUCUGGAUUUUAGUAUAUGUUCUACCAUGAUGCUGACCCAAUUAAUUUUAAUUAUGUUCAUUAUACAAUAAAGUAUAAUUAAAUCUUCUUCAUGAAGGACGACAUGGUUACUACUUUGAGGUGUGAGUUUCCAUGCAAUCACAUAGGCAAAAUGCGUGGGGUUAAAUUCAGAUUACCUGCUUGAAACCGAUUCACAGGCUGAGCUAGAUGGCUUACACAACUUCUGUAGAACUGGAUUUUGUUGAAUUCCUGAAUCCCAGCUGUGUUUCCUGCUCACCUCCAGUCCAAAAUAUUUAAUCCUAGCUAUGUUGUUCCAAACUUCAUUUGUAAUGGUCAGCUUGACCCCCUUCACAUAUGAGACAAGAUUUCUUCCUUCAAGAGUAAGGUUAGUAUAGAAAACCUUUAUCAAAUCUAGAUAUAUAUUCCAGUCAUUUCCAAAAAAUGUUUCAGCCUUUGAUGUUUAAGCACUACUCUUGGUUCUUCCAAAUUUUCGCUUUUCAGCCAAUAAAAUUCUAACACCUUCGGAACGUUGAUUUGCUUCCUGCUCCUUUCAUGCAAGAAGGUUGUCAUGGCUUCAAUAUCUCCAGCAAACCAGUUUUCAAUAUACCAUGGUUACUAUUGGGUUGCUCUCGGGCUCCCCUCCUUUUGUGUCAUGAGGAUGUCAUUUUUUGUGUUGCUUUAACUUAAUGUUAGUCAAUGGUCAAAAGAAAAGAAUUUGUUUUUCUUUCCUAGUCAUACAUGUGAUCCUGAAACAAAAAAACAACACGUUAAAUAGAUUAAUAUGUUAUAAUUUUACUGCAGAGAACAAUUCAUGCUUAUUAUGCCUAAUUCGUUUUGCAAAAAAUUAAACCUAUCUUCAGCAAGAGAUUUUGUGAAAAGAUAAACUAGUUGCAGUUUAGUUCCAAUUAGGUUAAUUUCAUAAUUUCCAUUAGCAAUAUGUUCACGUAAAAAAUAGUGUCUUAUCUAAAUAUGCUUAGUUCUAUAAUGCAUAACAGAUUUUUUAGUCAAGUUAAUGGCACUAGUGUUAUCACAUAAGAGAGGUAUUCUACUUAACACAAUACCAAGUCACUUAGUUGUUGUUUUAACCAUAAAGUUUGAGAACAACAACUUCCUAUUGCAAUGUAUUCUACCUUUGCUGUGGAAAGAGCAACACACGCAUUUUUUUGCAGUGCCAAGAGAUUUAGCUUAACCCAAGCAUAUGACAAGUUCCACUUGUGCUUUUCCUAUCUAUUUUACAACUUGAAAAAUCUGAAUAAGGCAAUUAAAUUUAAGGAUACAUUACAUGGAUACCAUAAGCCAACUUCUUUGGUUCCUUGUAAGUAUUUCAGAAUCCUUUUAGCAGCACAAAAUUGUGAUUCCUUGGGAGCAGAUUAGAACAUGGCACAUAUACACACAACAAACAUGAUAUCAGGUCUAUUAGCUAUUAGAUACAAUAAAGAACCGAUUAAACCUCAGUAUUUGGUUUGAUCAACAGGUUUUCCAGCAGGGUCUUGAUCAAGGUGACAACUUGUAGAAAUGGGUGUGCUGAUUGCCUUGCACUGUUCCAUCUCAAACUUUCUUAGCAAAUCUUUGCAAUAUUUAGCUUGAUUUAUAAAGAUCCCAUCUUUUAGCUAUUUGACUUGUAAACUACGGAAAUAAUUCAGCUCCCUCAUCAUAGACAUCUCAAAUUCGCUCUUUAUAACCUCUACAAAUGCUUCACAUACCUUCAUUUGUUGAAUCGAAAAUGAUAUCAUCCAUAUAUACCUGCACAAGUAUAAUGUCUUCAUCCUUUUUCUUAAUCAACAAUGUCUUGUCAGAUGUACCACGGUUAUAACUCUGAGACAGUAUGAAAUCACUAAAUCUUUCAUACCAUUGUCUAGGAGCUUGUUUAAGUCCAUAUAGAGCCUUUUUGAGCUUGAAUACACGAUCAAGAAAUUUGUGAUCCUCAAAACUUGGGGGUUGUGAAACAAAGACCUCUUCAUUUAUGUAACCAUUCAGGAAGGCACUCUUGACAUCCAUUUGAAAUAGUUUAAAUCCUUUUAUGUAGAAGAAGGCUAGGAGAAGUCUGACAGCUUCAAGUCUUGCCACUGGUGCAUAUGUUUCAUCAUAAUCGAUUCCCUCUUCCUGGUUAUGUAACCUUUGGCCACCAGCCUUUCUUUGUUCCUUGUGAUUAUCCAAUGCUCAUUCAUCUUGUUUCUGUAUACCCACUUAGUACCUAUGAUAUUCAUAUCAGAUGUUCUUGAAACUAGAGACCAUGCCUCAUUUCUUGUAAACUGAUUCAACUAUUCUUGCAUAGCAAAGAUCCAGUUGCUGUCUUGUAGAGCUUCAUUCAUAAUUUUGGGCUCCACUUGUGAUGGAGAUCAAGCUCAAGUGGACAUGGAGGCCAAUCAAAAAGAUCAAGAAGAGGUAGAGGCACAAAUGGAGGACGCCCAUGGAGGUCAAAGCCCACCUCAAAGGCUUACAAGAAGCAUGUUCAAAGCUUUAGGAGCUAGGGGACAAUUAUUUUCUCUUUUUGUAAUUUCUUUGGUUGAAGGUGCUUAGAGGGAAACAUUAGAAACCUCUUUUGUUAUAGCAUCUUGUAGGAUUUAAUUAGGAGCUUUAGGAGGGGGGGUACGUUAGUAGAUAGGUGUAGGAGUAGAAUAGGAGGUGCCAAAGUGAAGGAAGAGGUCACACCUUCCUCAUGCCUUGUAAUUGGCGCCGAUUCUAGAACUUUUUUAGGAGGGAAUUUUUGAAUUUAUGUAGCUUGCAUUUCAGCACCUUAGGCUAUAAAUAGAGGUGCUCCCUUUGUAAAAUUCAGAUUUGAAUUUUAAUUAGAGAAACUAUACUCAAAUUUUGAGAGAGCAUUGGAGAGCUUUGAGCCUUCUUCUCUUGUCUUAUCUUGAUGGUUCCAUGGUUACCUCAAGUGGCGGCUUGCACACUCAUCUAGGAGCAUCCAUCCUUCUAGUGGCGUGAUCAUCCAACCAUACAUCCAUCUUCAUGAGCUUUCUCCUCUCCUUUCUUCUUUCUCUUUUGUUAUUCAUGUUUUAAGCUUGUGUUCUUGAGUUUUGGUUCAGUUAUUUGCUUUUUCCAGCAGCUGUUCUUCUUCUUCUUUGUGUUUGGUUCGGUGCCUUUUAAUUUCCAGCACUCCUUUUCAGUUUUCUUGCCUUUUAAUUCAGUUUGUUCGGUUCAUAGUUGUUCUUAUUCAAUUCUAUUCGGUGCUUUUGCUUUUUAUCUCUUUUUGGUGGUUCAAUUUGACAAUAUGUGGAACUUCCAUAUGAGUUUGGAUUUGGUGCUAGUUUUGGUGAGUUCUUGACUUAGAACAUUGAUCCAAUUCUAAGAAAAAGUGCCUAACUAUUGUCCAGCUCAAGUUGAUUCCUAAGAAUGUCAAGAAUCAUUCUCUUCUUUGUUAUUGGAAUCACAUCAACUUGUGACACAAAUGCCAUUGUUUCCCAUAAAUUAUUUAGAGACUUCCUGGUUGAGACCCCUUUUUCAAUGUUGUCACAUUCUCAAGGGUUAAGUCUCUAGGAGUUUUCCACUCUUUGGGCAAAUCUGCAGUAACAACAAGUUCUUUGACCGGACAUGAAUCAGUUGUAUUUAAAUCAAUUAAUUGAUUAUAUUGAAGUACAGUUCUCAAAGUUCAUCAACAAUAGGUUUAGGCAAAUAAUUAUCAGAUUCAUCAAACACCACAUGUAUAGAUUCUUCCAUUGUAAGCAAUCUUUUGUUCUACACCCUGUAAGCAUGCCCAUUAAUAGCGUAGCCAAUAUGUAUCCCCUCAUUAGAUUUACGAUCAAAUUUACCCAGAUUAUAUUUCCCAUUAUUCAGAAUAAAACAUUUGCACCUACAAAACUCUAAGAUGGCUUAUGCUAGGCUUUCUACCUUUAUAGAGUUCAUAAGGAGUUUUCUUAAGAAUUGGCUUAAUUAAGGUUUUGUUUAGCACAUAUGAAGCAGUGUAUACAACAUCUUUCCAUAAGUAUUUUAGAAGAUUAGAUUCAUUUAACAUGGUCCUAACAAGCUCCUCAAGUGAUCUAUUUUUCCUUUCUACUACAUCGUUUUGUUGAGGAGUCCUAGGGGUUGAAUAGCUAUGUUUGAUCUCAUGUUUUUCACAAAAUCUAUCAAAUCUAGCAUUUUGAAAAUUUCUCCCAUGAUCACUAUGAAUUGAUUUUAUGCUACAACCAUUUUCAUCUUGCAAUAUUUUAGCCAAUUUCUUGAAAGCAUCAUUCUUAGAAACAAGAAAGAGAGUCCAAGUAUAUCUUGAGAAAUCAUCCAUAAUCACAAAAGCAUAAUAGUUUCCAACUAAGCUAGCAUUUCUGGAAGGCCCACACAGAUCCAUAUGUAAAACAUCCAAAGGUUUAUUUGAAGAAAUUAUAUCCUUUAUUUUAAAGGAGACUCUUGUUUGUUUACCCUUCACAUAUGCAUCACACAAUCUGUUAUUUUGGAGUUUUAUAUUUCGUAAGCCAAAAACAAGCUCCUUAGAUUUCAAUUUGUUUAAAUGAUUUGGAAGGAUGUGGGCUAACCUCCUUUGCCAUAGCCAUGACUCAUCAUCCUUUGAUAAAAAGACAUUCAUUUACAGAGCAAUUAUGUAUGAUAUCUAGGAGAUAGAUAUUAUUUACCCUUUUACCUAUGAACAACACCUUACCAGAAGUUUAAUUUGAAAUUAUGCACUUGUUGGAUUCAAAGUUAACUUUGUAUCCCUUCUCACAUAAUUGGUUGAUGCUUAGAAGGCUAAUCCUUCCACAUAUAACACAUUCUCUAUUAAUGUUGAUCCUUUGGUUCCAACAUUUGAGUAAUAUCACCGAUCAGGUGUUUUGAGUAGCCACCGUCCAAAUAUCACUGGUUUGGUUUUCUAUUGUUUUUCGAAUAAGAGCUUGAAUAUUCAUUAUUCACCAUGAAGCACAUGUUUGCUUCUUCACUCUCAGUUGAUGACUAAAGCUUUUAUCUUGUUCUUUUAAUAAGCUUCUGGAUGAAGUGAAUGAGACUCGAAACCAAGUUCCUUCAAUGACAAAGAAACUUUAACCACUACACCGGACAAAUUCUUUUGUAUUAUUAUGAUUUUUAUUAUAUUUAUUAUUAAUAAUAAUAUGAAUAUAAUAUUAAUAACAUGAAUAUAGUAUUAAUAAUAUGAAUAUAAUAUUAAUAAUAUAUAAUUUUUAUAAUAAUUAUUAUUAUUAAUAUAAUUUAUAUUAUUAUUAUUAUUAUUAUUAUAAUUAAUAUUAUUAUUAUUAAUAUAAUUUAUAUUAUUAUUAUUAUUAUUAUUAUUAAUAUAAUUUAUAUUAUUAUUAAUAUAAUUAUUAUUAUUAAUAAUAAAUAUAAAUUAUAUUAGUAAUAAGAAGUAUAAUAAAAAUCAUAACUUGUUGGAAUAAUCUUUAAUGCUUUGAGUCUUGCAUAUUUAUAAUGUGCUUCGUGUGUAUUUCUGUUGAUUUGUCCUUUCCAUUAGUUGUUUUACACUUUCUCUUCGCUCUCGUCGACUCUCUUGCAGUUUUAAUGCGGACUCCAUCAUCAAAACGACAUCGUUCAUGGAUGGCCUCUGCAUCCCUUUUGUGACAAACAACUCACUCCAAUCUGGCAAAACAAGGCCAAACACUGGGGAGAGAUCUUCCCCUUUAAUAUGGGAUCCACAAUCUAAUUUGUACAUAAUUUUUUUAUCUAGUUUUAGAGAGAAUUAUAAAAGUUAAUCCUUUAAAAAAUAUAAUUAGUUUUUUCAAUUUAAAAAAUUCUACAGUAAUAUAAAGAAAUUAUCUUGAUCCCAUUCUAUUUAUUCCCGUAGAAUUGUUUCCUUGUGACAGUUUUUACUCUUUCUUUGCUUGUUGACACUGGUCACACUACUUCUCCAUUGAGAAUAGCAACAUUUUCACGUUGCUCUGCACUUUCUUGUAGCUGCAGCGUAAACUCCAGCAUCCCAGCCACAUCCUUCAUGGACGGCCUCAGCGAUCCAUCUUCCGACAAACAACUCAUCCCAAUCUCACAAAACUUCUUCAAACACUCUUCUGCAAUCUUCUUCUUCAACGUGGGCUCCACAAUCUCUGCUAUGCUCCCACUUUCGUAACAAUGUCUCACCCAAUUAGCAAGCGACACCUGUUUCGUCUCCGCAGUGUGAAUCAAAGGUGGACGACCACACAGUAUCUCAAACAACACAACCCCCAAAGAGUACACGUCAGACUUCUCCGUCAAACGGUACCGUUUAUAAUACUCCGGAUCCAAAUAUCCGAAGCUGCCUCUCACAUCGGUGCUGACGUGCGCCUUCGAAGUUCCAAUUGGCCCAAGCCUUGAAAGCCCGAAGUCCGAAACCUUGGCCUCCCACUUAUCAUCCAACAAGAUGUUCGUGCUCUUCACAUCCCGGUGGAUAAUCAUGUGCUUCGCGCCUGUGUGGAGAUAGUGCAGUCCACGCGCCGCCUCGAUGCAUAUCUGCAGCCGCUGCUUCCACGAGAUAGCGGGGUUGUCCGUGUUGUACAGAUGGUCACGGAGGUUGCCACGUGUCAUGAAAUCGUAGACCAAGAUCAUUUCCCUAUUAUCGUUGCAGUAGCCGAUGAGGGACACGAUAUUGCGGUGGCGUAGUUGCGAGAGCAUCUUGAUUUCGUUUAGGAACUCGCGACCCCCCUGCUGCGAAUCCGGUUUAAGGCGCUUGAUGGCGACCGGGGUGGAACCGCCGUCAAUGUAGCCCUUGUACACGUGGCCGAAUCCCCCGGUGCCGAUGAUAAAGACUUCGUCGAAGUUUAGGGUGGCCGUUCUCAUCUCGUCGAGGGAGAAGCGGCGGCAGAGUUCUGUCGACGCGGAGGAAUUCUGUUGCAUUUUUGACUUGGAUUCGUUAUUCUGGUUCUUAGUAUAAGUGAUAUUCUCAUAUUGUAAUAAUGCUACAAAGAAAACGGCAAGAGAAAUCAGAACGACGGCGGAUAUCAUCCACGGGACGGCACAUACCAACCACGGGAUGUCAAUUAUCAUGGAACCACUUCUGCUGCGGGUCUUCCCGUUUUGGCCGGGAAUGCUGUUGAGUGGAGUUUGAACCGGGUCCGGGUUGGGCCCGGCGAGGUUGUUUGAGCCGGCUUCGCUGAUUUUGAAGAUCUCGAGACCGUUCAGGAAGGCACUGUUGUAUCUCGUAUACGCACUAUUUUCGUCAGGGUGCAUUUGAAGCGAGAAAUUAAACUUUUUCUGACAAUCAUUCUUUGGAAUCAAAACGGCGUAGUCUCUGUGCACAGCUAGACCUUUUUGUUUCUGACUCCAUUUCAUUACAUCAGCACGAUCUUCAGCGCACUGGCUAUUUAUGUAAAUGAAGAAUCUCCUGUCACUGAUGUCAUUAAUAUGAGGAUCAAUCUCGCAAAAGUGGAGCCUGAGAACGUAAGUGAAGCCACAAUCAACGGGGAACAUCCAAGUGAGGUUGGUUAUUUUGUUCAGAGUAUUGUUUGUGCCCUGGCUACGCGCUGUUCUGAACAGUUCCUUUGGUGCCACGUAAUCAGGAUUCACGGUUAUCAUCUUACCACUCCAGUCACCUGGUAGAUCAUCAUUCUUUGGAUUUUCUUUAAUAAAAUAAGGAUGUUCGUCAGUCCAUUCCCUGAACAAACCGGUGUCGUUUUGUGGCGGGAUUUCUUGGCCUCCAGAGUUGAUUCUAUACUCAGUCUGGAGCGCAUAGCUGGUUCCAACGCUGUAGAGCGUGCUGGUUCCGACUUGCGUGAAGCCUAUCUCAUUUUGUUGGGUGUAAUAUAAAUCGGCUGGCAUGGAAAGAACCUCGAUUCCAUUGAUGAAAGCGUAGGAGUUUGGAUGGGAGGGAGUGAAGGUGAGGAUAAGCCUCUCACCGUCGUUGACGUUGACCACGUAUUCUCUGAAGAUAGUAGUGGUGGCUUGAUCGUCAGCGUGAAGAGAGGCGUUGAAAGCGUUGAGGAGAGUGAAUUGGUUGGAUUGAAGGGUGAAAGAAGCUUGGUUGCGGGGAAAGGAAGGGUAGUCGGAAGGGUAGAAGAAGAGGCGAAGGAAUUUGGGGCCUGGGGAGACGGGGAAGGAGUAGUUGAAUUGGGAACGGGACAAUCGUGCAGUGGAGUAGGGGAUUUCAUUGAUGGAAAAAGACUGUGUUGUUGCCUUCUCUGAAACGGUGCCGUCUUGAGAAGAUAAGUACUCUUCGUCGCCGGUCCACCUUCUUUGACCAUCGGAGGAAUUCCCAGUGGUGCCGCAACUGAUGGUGAAAAUAUCCUCCGGGGUGUAGGCCUGGAGAUGUACGGAGAAGUGUAGAAGGAGGAAGAAGAGUGUUAAGGAGGUGAUGAAGGUGAUAGCCAUGAUUUAUGGAGGGAACAGAAGUGAUUGAAGUCGCGAAGACUUAUCAUAACUUUCAAUGUAUCAUUUUCCAAGUAAGAAUUGCAUGGAAGGCAGGGAGAAAAGAACAUGCAGCGUUGUUUGUUAGCGACGGACCACUGCCUGUCUAUUCAGUUGAAGGUUUCUUCUUCUUCAGUAUAAAUCAAAACCGAAAGUCCAAAAGCAAAAACCAAAAAAAACAUGUUAAUGUUUUAUUGAAAAGUUAAAAAAAAAAAAAUUAAAGAAAAUUGAGAGGGUAAAAUAUACAGAUAACCAUUAAUUUUAUAAAUUUUAAUUUUUAUUAAAUUUAAUUACAUUUUAUCACUUUUUUAAAAUUAAAAUUUUGAUUACCGAUAAAAUGAGUGAUAUAAAUUGUAAGAUGGUAAAUUUAUAACAUUAUUCUCAUUUGAAUUUGGGCUAGUUAUACUUCACACACAUGACUUUUUUUUAACCUAAAUAUUAUCCUCCAUUGAAUUUAAAUUAGUGUGAAUAAAUAAUUGUUAUUUUCUUCAACGUUUUAGUUAUUUUUUUUUUUAUUUUUUUCAAGUCAGGUGCUUUUUGUAUAUCAAAUAUUUAGUUAAAUUUAAUUUGUAUCUUCAUUUAACAUUAUAUUUUGAAUAUUGAUAUAAUAUUAAAUUAAAGAUACUCUCUUUUAGAUAAUCAAGCUUCUAGAUAAUAAUUAAUCGUAAUUUAAAUUUUUGAAUUUUAACACCCUAUGUUAUAAAAAUACUGUCUUUAAAUUUAAUUUUAUCUUCAUUUACCUAUAUUUUGAAAAUUGAUAUAAUACUAGUUUAAAGAUACGGUCCCAUGCUAUAAAAAUAUUGUGUCUCAAAUCUUAAUUUAAUCAAGUAGUUUUGAUAAUCUCUUCCUAGAUAUUAAAAUACUAUACUUCUAAUAUAUUUAUAUUUAAUACAAAAAUAUAUUUACUAUUACUACAAGAAAAACGAAAUUUAGAUGUUAAACUUAAGUGUUGAUUAAGCAUAGGACAUAAAUAGAGUGGACCAACAGAUGUUAGAUGAUGUAAAAUAAGUAGUGUAGGUUAAACCAUUAUAAUGAAAGGACUUACUUGAAAAUAAAAUAAAAUAAUUAAAAUAAAAAUGCAUUGCAUAAGUCAAGUCGAUGUUGAUGUUGAUAACAUUAAUUCUUUAACUAUGGGUUGGACCAAUACAUAUUUAUUAUUCUCUUUUUACAAUUUUGUUAAAAUUUAUUUUAUGUACUAGUGCGACUGGACGACUAAGUGAGUUGGCCAAAACUCGGAUCGAAUCGCUACCUAGGCCAUCGUAGGAGGGUUAUGUGACGGCAUAUGGCCGAUCGAUCCUUGACACUGAUUCAAUGAUUGACCAAGUUAGCAGGAUUAACCCGUGGUUAAGGGUUGUUUAGCGCAACCCUAAAUCAAACCCACCAAUGAAGGCUCAUUAAGGUAAUAUAAAUAACACACAUUUCAAGAAGAAAGGUACGUUAUUAUCUACCGUACUCUGACACCUGAGUGCUGACACCCUGACUGACUUGAGCGUUGGAGUGUCUUCUGCAGGUACCAUCCCCGCCUGUGAAGCCAGACGACCGAGAGGAGGAAGGUGUAACAAAGAGCUUAGAGCAUUGUAGACCGACCGAAGGUGGAAGAAGGAGCAAUCAUUCUCCAGGUCCCAAACCCGUUCGAGAACAUUUUAUAACUAUGUUGAUUAGGACAUUAGGUGUUAACUUUUAUUUCUUUUAGAUAAUAUCAUUUAAUUUUUUGUUGAUGACAAGUAUAUGUAAUUAAAAUGAUUUAAUUGUUAAACUAUUUAUAAUUGUUAAAAGUAAGGCUCACAUAUCAUAUUGUUGACAAAAUAAAUUAUAAUGUUGGUGCUGUUGAAAGUAGGAUUCACAUUGUUGCAAAAGCUACUCAUAAAACUGUGAAUGUGAAUGUUGCUUCAAAUAUGAGGCACAUGCGUCUCAAAAUUGUAAAUUUGUUCAGUUAAUUUUCUUUCAAUUUUAGAAUUAAAAACUGGACAGAUAUGUAAUAAAAAAUGAUUAGACAUUCUAUUAGUAGACCGUUUAUUUUGAAAAUAUGUUUCUUUUUUUAUAAUAUGAUCACAGUGGAAAUGGAAAACUAUAAGAAUGAAAAAAAAGGUAUAUAUGCAGCACAAAUAAAAACAUGAAUUAUGCAGAUACAUAAAAAAUAUUUUUAAAAAAAUAUUUGUUUUUAAGAAAAAUAUUGAAAGUUUACCAAGUAAACUCCCAUGUAAGAGAUGUGGAUCACAAUUGGACACUCUUAAGUACCAAGCCUUUCCUGCCAGAGUUCUUCUUAGAUCACUUGAACAAAUUUCCUUAAAAGUUUUUGUUGAGACUUAGAAAUUAAAAGGGGAAAAAACUUAAGUUUAAGUUGAGAACAAAAAUAAGAAUAAAAUUGUUAAAAUAAUCAGGAAAAAAUAUAUAAAAAUUGAAAAAAAUAGAAAUUAAGAAUAAAAAAAUAAAAACAAAAAUAAACAAAAUAAUGGGAAUAAAAAUAAUUAAUAACAUAAAAAGAAAUAACAUAAUAUAUAUUGAAUUAAAAUAAAAUAAAGAUAUUUGUUUCCUCUAGUUUGGUUAAAAUUAAUAUUGUUGGUGUUGUUAGGGAUUCUCUUGGUCACUUGCUGCUUGUGGUAGUAUUUUUCGUGGGAGUAUGGGGGAGUUCAUUGGUGAUUUCUCUACUUAUCUUGAUAUCUAGAUGGGAGGAUGGGGAAUUCCAAGAUGAGUGGUGGAGAGUCACCACUUAGAGCAUGCUCUCAUAAGAUAAGGCCCAAAACUUUAGGAGAAAAUACUCACUAAACACUCAAACAGGGUUUCUUUACUUCAAAAUUCAAUGUGAAAUAUAUGAGGCAAGACACCCUAUUUAUAGGAGGGGUGCCUUGAUGGGCAAGAGUAAGAGGAGAAAGGAAAGGGGAGAGGCGAGGGGCGGUUAGGGUUGACUCUAGGUCAAUGCCACCCCUUUUAGGCUUCCUUCUAAAGGGUAGGUCAACAAAACCCUAACUUAGGUGCACAUGUCAUGAAAGUUGGGCUUGGAAAAAGCCCACUUUACGCUAUGUUCACCCUAAUUUGAGGAAUGAUAGGUUCUGAGGCACUGGUUGUAGAAUGAUCUUGAGCUAGUCCUGGGUCCUGUAUCAUGAUCCUAGUCAUCCUUCUGAAAGGUUGAGCUAGCUCAUUGGAUGCUCUAUCUCUCAGGACUUCAUCAUCUAUUGUGUGAACCUCUGACUUUCCGACUUUACCGCCAUGUCAUCGACAUAUGCUUGAACAUUAUGUCCCAACAUGGGUUGUAAAAUCCAAUCCAUAAGUCUUUACUAGGUCGCCCCUGCGUAACAAUAGUUGGCUACUUUGGCCAUGGACACUGUUUUUUCUUCAUCCCUCGGUUGCAUUCGAAUUUGAUUAUACCCUGAAAAAACAUCCAUGAAGCUGAGCAAACUACAAUAGGAUGCGUUGUUCACCAAGGAUUCUAUGUUAGGUAGGGGACAAGAAUCCUUGAGACAAACAUUGUUGAGAUCGAUAAAUCUACGCACAUCCUCCACUUUUUGUUUGGUUUUUUCACCAUCACAACAUUUGCUAGCCAUUUGAGAUAUUGAAUUUCCUGCAACAUGACCAGCUGUAAGGAGCUUUUGAGUCUCAUCCUUUAUAUCCAAGCUCUUUUCUUCAUUGAAUUUUCUUCAUCUUUGUACAAUAGGCUUUACGUUCUCGUCCAUUGUAAGAUGAUGACAUAAGAAGUCUAGGUCAAUGCCAGGCACGUCAGCGGACGACUAUGCGAAUGCAUUCAUGUUCUUUGAAAUAAUCUCCUUGAUCUUUUCCUCUAACUCUUCUCCUGGGGGCUCGGGACGUCUUUCCUCAAAGUGGGGAUGCUCCAUGUCUACAUCUGGUCUCCCUAAGCGAGUUCUAAUCGUGUGCGUACCUUUUCUGCUCCUCAAACUAUUCUUGUAACAUUUGCAAGCUACCUUUGGAUCCACCCUCAUGGUUAUUACUUUGCCUUCGGGCGAGGGCAGUUUCAACUUCAUAUGCAAAGUGGAAACCACUGCGCCUUGCCUGUUCAAUGAUGGUCGUCCCAGGAGCAAAUUGUAAGAAGAAGGGGCGUUCACCAUAAUGUACUUGAUCAUUAUGGUGUUUAUUGCAUUCUCAUCCAAAAAGGUUGUCCUCAGCUUGACAUACCCUCGAACUUCCACUUUGUUGCUGUGAAGGUAACAAGACAACCAUCAAAGAGCUUGAGUUGGUCGGGGAAAAUUUAUAGGGCCAAAUAAGUAUCCCAAAACAUGAUGUCGACUGAACUUUCCUGAUUAAUCAGGACUCGAUGCACAUUUUGUCCCAUAGUGAUAACCGAUAGCACCACAAGGUCAUCUUCAUGAGGAAAAACAUCCUCAGAAUCUUUGGUUGUAAAGCAGAGAAAAGGAAUCAAGAGUCGCUUGGGUUCUUGAGUUUCCAAUAUCACGGCUAUGAAGUAACGUUUUCGGCUAGAUGUUGACGAUCCUUCGCCAGAGAACCCCCUGCUAUGGCAUUAAAAUCUCCUAGAAUUGGGGCUUCAUGGCUUCGUCCUAAUAACUAUUCAAUGCUUUUCUUAAUGGUCUAAGUCCAACCAAACUUAUAAAUAGGUGAUGGCUCUCUCAGUAAAGGAAGACACUAACUAUAUUCUAUACUCUUAACUUUCGUAUUGUUAAGAACUUAUCAUCAUCUUUGUGCUUCUAUUGACUUGAGCAUUGGAUAGUCUUUUUUAGGUGGGUCUCCCUCUUUCAUUUAAGACCAACUAAAAGCUCGUUCUCUGAGGAACACGUAGUCCUCACUGAGGUACCCUCCAAGUUCAUUUCCGGUAGGAACUUUUGGUGCCCAUCGUGGGACCCUGGUAAAAUUUUUCCCUAGGACCACCAUAACAAGUAGACGCACCUUAAAAACAUAUGUUUUUCACAAAACAACAUGACCACCCAGCUUGAUGCUAUCCUCCGAAAGAACGAGGAAAGCAUGCAAAAGGCAAUGGAGAAAGUCCUUGAACAAAUGUAAGAUAAGAUUGAAAGGGAUAUAGCAUCCCUGAAAGAGCAACACAGGGUGGAAGCUGAAAAAAACCAAGCUGAGAUAUAAGCUUUACAAGAUCAAUUGAUGACAAGAAAUAACGAUCAUACUCAGACUGGUAGGAAUCCUACCCAGUAUGCAAAAAAGUCCCAACAGUUAUCGCUUGAACCAUCUAUUUAGUAAGAACAUAUUUCUCCUUACACAUAUACUCCAAGUUCAUCCUAGAGGGAGAUUUGUUAUGCUCUAACUCCAAGAUCAUCCUGGAGGGAGACUCGUUAUGCUCUGACUCCAAGAUCAUCGUGGAGGGAAACUUGGGGACACGAGUAGAUACCAUUCAAGGAAGUACCCAAUCAUCCUCUCAAUUAAGCAAUGAAAGCCAAUCUAAAAGGUUUCCACCCUUUUACCUCUGAGGUCAUGAGUGCUCAACUACCCCAAAAAUGGAAAUAGGCGAGCUUUAAAAAAUACAAUGGGACUUCAGACCCCGAUGCUCAUAUCAAAGCAUGCAUGACCCAGGUGAACCUGUUCUCAGGGAACAUGGUCGUACAUUGCAUACUCUUUCCAACCACGUUGGUGAAGCUGGUCUUGGAAUAGUACUAUUCCUAGCCUAGAAAUUCCAUUGACUCCUUUAACACACAAUGUGCACAGUUUUUACCCAUAUUUGAUGAUUGCAAACCAAUAGUUGCGAUGUUCGCUUUGUUGCACAAUGUGGUCCAAGGUGACAAAGAAAGCAUGCGACAAUAUAUGGCACAAUUUGCAAAAGCAACAUCAAACAUUCUUGACCUCCAUUCGGUUGUAGCCAUGGACGCCUUACAGAUAGGAUUUCAUUCAGGGAAGUUCUUAGACACCCUUUACGCAAAUUCUCUCGCCAACAUGGAUGAACUUCGCAGCCGAGUUGCCCGAUACAUCAACAUUGAGGAGAAUUUGAUACAAGAAGGACAAUAAUGAAAACCUCGAAAGUUGCCACUUCGGAAAAAUAAUUCAAAACAAAGCUAACAAAAAGAUUUGAAGAUUAUACUCCUUUGAAUACAAGUCGGGACGUGAUUUUGCACGAAGCGUGCAACCUCGGGUUGGUACAACUUUCGCCUCCACCAACUAGUCAUCCAUCAGUUGACUCGACCAAGAAGUGCUAUUAUCAUCAAAACAUGGGUCUUCUCCCUCGUAUCUUCUUUUUGUGAUUUUUUUAUUGACGUGCCUCCUUACCUGGGUGCAAACAACAUAUGAAAGUACUUGUCUGAAUUUUUUCAGCUCAAUAUGGACUCAGAAUAAAAUUUUAGAAAGUAGCGCGAAAUUUCACAAGUUUUGGUAGAGGAUAGCCUUGGUUUGCACAAAAUAUCUGAAAAAUUCUCCCAAAAUAGUUUCUUCCUGAAAUUCCACGUAAGAAUCUCCACUGAAUUUGGGACAAACACACGAAAAUUUCAGGUCAAACGGAUGAGUACUCACCCACGAAAAAAAUCAAACAGUUUCACACACAAACGAACCUUCCUUUUGGCCCUGGCAUUGAUGAAUAAAAAAUUUAUUGCCAAUCUUGUGGGACGAAUCCGGGGCUUAAAUCUCAGUAGACACAGUGACGAACGUCUGGUAAAAAUUUCAGACCAAAAUACCCAAGGAGUAAGGCGUAGUAAGUCCCAGACCGAGAGUGAACAAAACUAGUUUUCCGAAAACAAAACGUCCUGGCUUUUCUCCCCCGUAUCUUCUUUUUGUGAUUUAUUUAUGGAUGUGCCUCCUUACCUGGGUGUAAACAACAUAUGAAAGUACUUGUCUGAAUUUUUUCAGCGCAAUACGGACCCAGAAUUAAAUUUCAGAAAGUAGGGCGAAAUUUCACAAGUUUUGGUAGAGGAUAGCCUUGGUUUACACAAAAUUUCUGAAAAAUUCUCCCGAAAUAGUUGUUAGAAUGGAUGGCUUUAAACUAGAGGGGGGUGAAUUGUUUAAAGAGGGUUUUCGCAAACUUUUAAAACAAGAAUGAAAUUAUCUCAAGAAAUAAUUGAUAAGAAAUUCAGUUUGCCAAAACAGCAAUAAAAAACAGCAGUACCAGAAAAACAAUCGGUUGUUUCACAGAAACAAUCGGUUGUUUAUACCAGCAAACAACAAACAAAACUGAAUUUAAAGAGUUUAAGGAUAGAGAGAUUGCACACUGAUGUUUAUACUGGUUCACUCCAAAUCCAAAGCUACAUCCAGUCUUAGAAACCCUGAGGAAAUCCACUAAGCAAUCACACCUUGAUCACUUACACCACAACCAAGAAAGUGACCUUGAACACCUCAAGACACACACUCUUCUUGGCCAACACACCAACACUAAGAUUGCUGAUCUUGAUCCCCUUAAGAACACACAACAAAUCUCAGCAAACACAGAAAUGAAACUUGUUCAGUAGAGUACAAGGAUUACACUUGUUACAGAAGAUAAUAUGAAAUCAAUACAAGCAGAAUCCUAUUCCACUCACUUUGAUCAAUCACAAACUCUAAGCAAUCUUAGCUCUUUGAAAAACUAAAAAAAUCUUUUCAAAAUCUUGUAAAAGAUUGUUACUCAAAUAUGUUAUUCUGAAUUUAUUCAAAGAUGUUGUUUGUUAUCAAAUCUUAACAAACUCUUAAAUUGCAUUAAAAGAUUGGUCAAAGCUUUUAAUGACUGGAGCGUAAGCAGUUAAAUCAUUUAAAGCUCAAUCAAAGAUAAAACAGUUUUUCUGUUAUGGUCCCAAAACAAAAAAUCGGUUGUUUCCUCGAAUCAAUCGGUUGUUUUGGUUUUAACAGCUCAACCAUUUGAAAAAUAGUUUUCAAUCUUUUCUCAAAACAUCUAAGUAUAAACAAUCGGUUGUUUCAACAAAACAAUCGGUUGUUUUAACUUAGUUUGAAAAACAUUUUACUUUCACAAAGAUUGAGAAUGCCUAUGCUUUAGAUUUAAUCAAAUGGUGGAUUACAACACUCAAACUACCCCAAAACUAAACUAAACCAGCACAGUAACAACAAGCACAACCAAGGCUUCAACAUCCUUCAAAGGAUUUGGAUUCUUCAAAGCUUGAACACCACAUGGUUCAACAAUCUCCCCCUAUUUGAUGAAGACAAAUCCCUGAUGCUUGUGUUGUACCUGAUUGAAUCUGAAGCAGUUCCUGCAAGAUACAAUUUUGAACAAAGCAUAGAACUUCUAAUAUUUGGUUAGCACAAAUAUAAGAAUUAAAGUCCAGAGCUAAAUAUCAUAAACAAAUAUUACUCAUCCAAACUUGUUUUAACAACUAAAAAACAGAAAUUUAAACACAACAUAUAUAUCUCCCCCUAUUUGUCUUCACAAAUAGACAAAGAGAAGAGAUAAAACAAGAUAUAAUUGUUUUGAUUACAUCAGAAUUAAAGCAGUAACAACAGAAGGAAAAAAAAAUUGAAAAACAGAUAUAACCACAAAAAACAAUCGGUUGUUUCGAUACAUCAACCUGUUGUUUUUCCUCAUUCAUCAUCAUUUGCAAACUGAAGAUCAAAGAUUUGGUUCUGGACAGCUUCAAUCUGUUCAUCUAGAGUCAUGAAGCGUGCAUCCAUGUUGUCAAACCUGUUGUCAAUCCUCUGGAAAUUACUAACACAGAGAUCAUGGAGGUUUCUUUGAUUCUCCCCAAAGCUAUCAAGCCUAUUCAUCAUGAGUCUUUCAAAAGAAGACAUGGUUUGCAUCCCUUCUUCUUGAUUUCCAGCACCAGCACUAGGUCCAACAUCUUGAUAAUCUUCAGGUGGAUCUUCAUGUUGAACAUCCAUAUCAGCAGGCUCAUCUUGUUCAAGAUCAGCAGCACCACUAGAUGAGGCACCAAGAUCACCAUCCUUGCUAAUCCAUUUGCCAUCUACUUUGGUAAAACCCAUUUUGCUGAGUGAUCCAUUGUUCAACUCUUGAGUUGACUUGACCAACUCAGAUGUUUCAUCUUCAAGGUUCACUUCAAAAUAGAGUAGAAAUUUAGAUACCAAAACAACAUAUGGAUAGUGAUAGUCACAUAACCUCAUAGCCUUUUGCAUGUGCUAUUUGAUGAUGUGAAUCCAAUUGAUUUUGAUCUUCUUCAUGAUGCAGAAAAUAUAUACCAGAUCUUCUUCAGUAAGAACAAAAUGAUUACUCCCCCUUGGAGUUAAAGUCCAAGUCACAAUGAGAGUAAGCAAUCUUUCAUCAAGCUUUAGACCUCCAACCGAGCAUGUUCUCACUUGAGCAUGUUGAUUCUUCAAGCAACUCUUGUAGUAUUGGAUUUUGUUAAAAUCCUCCACUACACCAAGAUUUCCCUUGUUGAUUCUAAGCCCAGAGAACUUGAGACCAGCAACAACAGUCCAUACUUCAUGAGUUAUCUCCAUUUCUACACCUUUCACAUGAGAAACUAGAUUGUUUCCCUCAAACUUUAGGUUUGUGUAGAACACCCUUACCAAAUCUGGGUAAAUGUUUCCCUUCAUCUCCAGAAACUUUCUGAGAGAUUGAUCUUUGAGCAGCCUCCUUACAUUCUCAAGCUUUUGACUUUUCAGCCAAUCAAAGCACAACCUUGGGGUUGUUUAUCUUUUUGAUACUUGUUUCAUACCUAUACCUCUCAAUAAGAUCAUUGUCUCCAGAAAACCAGCCUUCUAGCCUUCCUCCUAACCUUACAACUCUGGUUUUGACUCUCUUUGAGGUGGGAGGAGUUGAUUCCAUGAUGGCAGAGAAGAAAACAGAUAAGAACUCACUUCACAGGUUUUUGCAAGAGAUGUUGCAAUAGAUGUUGCAAUUGGUUGUUCUUGUGGAAGAGAUUAGCUGCACCAGAUUUUAUAGCAGAAAAAGAAUAAAUUAGCAUUCAAUGUUAUGAGUGGGUACCUGAUUUUCAGAGAGAGAGGACUUGACUCUGCCCUGCACAGAAAACGUCAGAAAAAGCUGAAAAUCACAUGGUCUUCACAUGUGAUCUUUGAGCAGUGAUUAAGGCUCUUGAAUUUCUAAGAUUUUGGAAUAUAUUCCUUUAUGACUGUUGUAACUUCUCUCUGAACGUGAUCAACUUUCAACACAGAUUCUUUGACCAAGAUUCUCUCUUUGAAUUGAUCUGCAACGGAUAGAAAUUCAAAAUAACAAUUAAAAAGAUUUCUUCACAGUGCUGUCAGACCUAAAACAAUCGGUUGUUUUUCUGCAGCAGUUAAAACUGAUUUUGAAUUUUAACUAUGAGCAGAAAGAGUUCAAAGCAGAUGACAUUAAGCAUAUUAAAAAGAUUUUUUACCAUGAGAAAGAAAUUUGUACCGAUCUGGUAAUCGGAAGUGAUGACGUGGCAGCAAGCGAUAAUAUAGGCAUGUUGAACGGGACACCUGGCUGACAGAAGGGAAGCACAUUGGGAAGUUUGUGUAGUCGCCAAUUGUCAGCUUGGCGUUCUCCGAUCUCUAGUAUGUAUAACCGGCGGUCACCAGGCUCGCGUCAUAGUCGCCAUAUGUGAGUUCUAGGAGAUCAGGUGGUUAGAGACCGCCGAGUGGGGCACAUCGCCGAGAGAUCAGGAAGGCUUGCUUAAGGCUUUCGAGAGGUACAAGCACGAAGGAUGAGGUUAUCAGAUGAUCAUUCCCUAACCAGAAGUCGGGACAAGGGAACAGUUUCCCAGAACAUGCAUGAUGUGCAAGUGAAGCAGAUCGUGAUAGCGGCAGGCGAGACCACAGAGCAGGUGUGCAUGGUGACACCCCGUACUCGCCACUUAGAAGAGAUCGCACUCCAAGGAAGCUAUGCACCGAGUUACUCCUUGCAUGGGUAACUUAGUCGAAUAGCUUGAAGAGUAGAGGUGACGCUUAAGUAGAAGGGGGCUUCAGAUGGUGACACGUGUACAACUGGAUGCGAGCCACGUGUCCAGAGGUGUAACCGUCAGGAGAGAGAAAGUGCUCAGGUAUAUAAGGAACUCUAACGAACUUCUGAGGUACGCGCGUUUAGAACACUUCUUUACGCUUUCUGAGAACACUAGAGUACGCUUUUCAGAACACUGAGAUUCACUGCGCACGGUUCCUUGAGUUUGAUAUUCUCUCUGAGUAUUUGGUGAUUCCGUCACUGACUUGAGCGUUGGAGCGCGAUCGGCCGCAGCGGCGCCACUCUGUUUCUUUGUUUUCUUCAGGUUCUUACGAGGAAUAGAGACGUGAAGAUCGAAGGCUAACGUGGUGCGAAGCUGAUCGAGAGAAGAUACCUUUGACGUGGCAAGACUCUUGCACUCGAGUCAACCGGUAGGAUCAUCAGGCGCCCACCGUGGGGCCGUGUAAAACGUGUUUCCCAUCCACAGCGUGAGUUCUUGAAGUUUCUGUGAUUCUUGUGUGGUUGUGUGCUGGUGCAACCAUUUUCAGCGUUUUCACCGUUUGUUUGAGCUUUUGUUCGGUGAAUUGAAGUUCUCCACUGUUCAUUUGGGUUUUUAAUCGGUAGUUUGAAGUUUUCCACCGUUUGUUCGAGCUUUCGAUCGGUUUCUUGAAGUUUCUUACCAUUUGUGCGGGUUUCAAUCGGUAAAUCGAAUUCUUUACCGUUCGUUCGUGUUUCUGACCGGCGAAUCAGGAGUUUUAGUGGAGAAGUGGUAGGUUCGUGUUAAGAUUGCAAGUUUCUGUGGAGGUUUUGGCAUCCGAAUCUGUCGGCGUGCUGUUGUGGUUGCGUUCUUGGAAGUUCUUUGGAGUUUGAGAGUUUUUGACCGAUUGAUUGCUGGAUCGAUCGUUUCGCUGGUGAAGGUUUUGUUUGCUGAAGUUUGAUUUGCUGAUUUUUCAUGAGAAAGAUGAGAAGUACGCGUUCAAGUCCCGUUGUGCCGACCGCUACCGAAGGCGCCAUGACCAUGGCGCAGAUGAUGGAGAUCAUGUGUGCGUUGGAAGCAAAUCUGGAGGCAUCGCACGUAGAGUAGGCGAAGAUGCAUGAAGACCUGGUCGCCUCUCAGGCCAGAAAUGAGGAGCUCAGCAAAGUCACUGAGGAGUUGCGUCAAACUCUUCAUGAGUAGAGAGGAUGCACAACCGUGGAAGAAGUUGCGUCGUCAUCAUCACCGCGCGUGUUUCCGAUGCCUUUUGCUCAGGCGAUCACGGACACACCGAUCCUUGCGAGCGUGGUACCUGUGAAAGCUUCCUUCACCGGUGUGGAGGAUCCUGAAGCACAUCUCACUGUGUUCCACACGCAGAUGAUGCUGUCAGGAGGCUCAGAUGCUGUCUAUUGCAAGAUGUUUAUGAGCACGCUCCAGGGAACAGCGCUGGAAUGGUUUGUUAGCCUGCCUACAGGUCACAUAACCAAUUUCCAGCAGUUUUCGAAGCUUUUCGUCGACCAGUACAUUCUGAACAAGGCGCCACCGAGGGUGUCUUACGACUUGUUCGACGUGAGGCAGUAUCAGGGAGAGUCCCUCAAGGACUAUCUGAACCGAUUUGGAGCACAGAUGGUCCGCUCGCCUGCCAAAGACGAGGAGAUGUUGGUAUAUGCCUUCAAAAAGGGCGUGCUGCCGGGACCUUUUUGUGAGGCGCUGAUUAGGGGCCACCCCGCCACGUUUGCUGAAGUUCGACGACUUGUUGUGGCCCACAUCGCCGACGAGAGUGAGGUCGCCGAGAAGAGAUGGAGCGUGGCUCCUGCUAGGCCACGAGCCCAGACUAGAAUGCAGCCGUAGAGGGUGCUGGAGACGGCGGUGGCUAAAAUGGAUCAAAGGACUCGCCAUCCUUAUGAUCCAAAGAAAAACAAGGGAAGGGGCCCAGGGCGCCCUAGGGAGUUCAAUCGCCCACCCAGGUACAAGUUCGUCAUGGGAUUGGCAGACCUGAUUGCCAUUCCCAACAUAGCAGCCAGGCUUAAAGCGCCUGAGAAAGUUGGCGACAAGGUGUUAGGGCCAAAACCAAACGCAUGGUGUGAGUUCCACCAGAGUUUUGGUCACACCCUUGACUCGUGCUUGGCCCUGGGUUACCAGCUCAACGAUCUGGUCAAGAGCGGCUUCUUGAAUGAUUACCUGUUGGACAAGAGGACGGGGGGUGCGUCGAGCUCUCAGCCGGCGAGCGGUGAAGGCCAACAGCAUGAAGUGCCCACCCAUGGCGAGAUCCACACCAUUGCUGGAGGCUUCUCAGGUGGUGGAUGCACUGCAUCACAGCGGAAGAAGUAUGCAAGGUCUGUGAUGGCAGUGGAUGUCUUCGAAGAUCACUCGCCAUAUGUGGACAUUACGUUCACAAAGGAGGAUCUCAGGGACGUUGUGCCUCAUGACAACGAUCCCAUAGUUGUCUCGCUGAUCACGGCGGGAAGGUCCACCGAGUACUGGUGGACCAAGGAAGCUCGGCAGAUGUAAUGUUCUGGCCGACUUUCACCAAGCUACAACUACCCCUUGACCAGCUAAGGCCCUAUGGAGGAUGCUUAUAUGGGUUCGCUGGCGACCAGGUGGAGGUCAGGGGGUACAUUGAGUUGAGAACUACGUACACAGACGAGGCGGCCUCGAGGAUGGAGAAGAUCAAGUACCUCGUCGUGAAUGCCCCCUCAGCGUAUAACAUUCUGUUGGGAAGGCCAACCCUCAACAGAAUAGGAGCUGUGCCCUCAACCAGGCACAUGAAGGUUAAGUUGCCAUCGAUGGAAGGGGUGGUGAUCACCAUCAGAUCUGACCAGAAGGAGGUGAAGAAAUGCUACGAGAAUAGCCUCAAGAAUAAGAGGUCAGUAAGCUACAUCACAACGACACCGCCUCCCGGUGUGGAGCCCAGGCCACCAGAGGGACGAGUUGUUGAUUCGGCGAUGGAGGUGACCGCCGACGGCAAUGUCGUCAUGAUAGAUGCUGAAGCAAGGGGAGAGAACGCUGAUCGGGGGAAGAAGCGAGAAACCGCCCAGAGGAGGCUAGGGAGUCGGGAAUUGCCAGGGCGGUGAUCGCUAGGGAAACUAGGCCCAAACCCGUCGAGGAGUGGCUCGAGAGGGAGAUCGGGGGUAAGGUCUUCAAGUUGGGAAGAUCUUUGGAAGGUGAGCUCCAAGACCAGAUCGCCAAGGUGAUAGAACGACAUCUGGAUGGUUUUGCAUGGUCUGCUUCAGACAUGCCGGGAAUCGAUCCCGAUUUCUUGUUUCACCAUCUGGCAAUGGACACACAGGUAAGACCAAUGUGACAGAGAAGAAGGAAGUUUAACGAGGAGAGGAGACAGACGAUUAGGGAUGAAACGCAAAAGCUCCUCACCGCAGGCCAUAUCAGGGAGGUCCAGUACCCUGAAUGGUUAGCUAAUGUCAUGCUGGUAAAGAAGAGCAACGGGAAGUGGCGCAUGUGCGUCGACUUCACAGACCUAAACAAGGCUUGUCCAAAGGAUUCAUACCCUUUGCCAAGUAUAGAUGCCCUGGUCGACAGCGCAGCAGGGUGCAAGUUGUUGAGUUUUCUGGACGCCUUCUCAGGGUACAACCAAAUAAAGAUGCAUCCCAUGGAUGAAGAGAAGACCGCCUUCAUGACUGAGAGAUCGUGCUACUGCUACAAGGUGAUGCCCUUCGGGCUGAAGAACGCGGGGGCCACGUACCAAAGGUUGAUGGAUAAGGUACUUGCAUGAUGCUGGGAAGGAACGUGCAAGCGUACGUAGAUGAUAUGGUCGUGACCUCGUUAGAGAAAAGCAAGCACGUCUCAGAUCUGGAGGAGCUGUUUACCACGAUCGCCAAGUUCAGAUUAAAGCUAAACCCCGAGAAGUGCAUUUUCGGCGUGGAGGCGGGGAAGUUCUUGAGUUUCCUCUUAACUGAAAGAGGAAUAGAGGCAAAUCCUGAUAAGUGUGCUGCCAUUUUGGCGAUGAGGAGCCCGGCUACCGUGAAGGAAGUGCAGCAGCUUAUAAGUCGGAUGACUGCCUUGUCUCGUUUCGUAUCAGCUAGUGGAGAGAAAGGCCAUCCGUAUUUUCAAUGCUUGAGGCGAAACAAUAAGUUUGUCUGGUCGAAGGAAUGCGAAGAAGCUUUCGUGAAGCUUAAAGAAUAUCUGGCGAGCCCGCCGGUUUUGUGCAAACCUUUGGUGGGAACCCCUUUCAGGUUGUAUUUUGUUGUAACUGAGAGGGCGGUGAGUGCGGUGCUCGCCCAAGAUCAAGACCAGGCUCAGAAACCUAUUUACUUCGUCAGCAAGGUGUUGCAAGGCCCAGAAGUCAGGUAUCAGGCCUUGGAGAAAGCUGCACUGGCGGUCGUGUUUUCGGCGAGGAGGUUGCGCCACUAUUUUCACAGUUUUACAGUGCUGGUGAUGACCGACUUGCCUAUCCAGAAAGUCUUGAAGAAGCCCGAUGUAGUUGGGAGGAUGGUGAAAUGGGCGGUGGAGCUGUCGGAGUUCGACAUCAAGUACAAGCCCCAAGGACCGAUCAAGGGGCAAAUUUUCGCUGAUUUCGUGGUCGAGCUCUCGUUGGAAGCAGCACGAGUUGAGGGGGACGAUUUUCGUUGGGUACUUUCAGUGGACAAAUCGUCUAACCAGCAGGGUGCGAUGCUGAAGUCAUUCUAGAAGGGCCCAACGGCGUGCUGAUAGAACAGUCCCUAAGGUUUGCUUUUAAAGCCAGCAAUAAUCAAGCAGAAUAUGAGGCGUUGAUCGCAGGCAUCUUGUUGGCUAAGGAGAUGGGGGCUAGGGUGUUGAUGGCCAAGAAUGACUCAUUGUUGGUCACGGGACAAGUAACAUGCGAGUUCCAGGCCAAGGAUCCACAAAUGGCGGCUUACUUGGAGUAUGUGCAGGAGUUGAAGGGUUCUUUUGCCUCGUUUGAGGUGGUGCAUGUACCCAGAGAGCAAAAUGCCCGAGCUGACUUGCUAGCCAAGCUCGCCAGUUCGGGCAAGGGGGGUAGGCAGAGGACAGUUAUUCAAGAAACUCUGAAGACGCCCAGGGCGUUUGUGGCAGACCACCUGGUUCUUUAAAUAAGCAAGUCGACGGAGAAGGCGGCGAGGAGUCACAGGUCCUUGACCCAGGAGACCUUGAGAUCGCCGAGAAUAAGAGCAUGUCGAGGGGAGAGGGUGAACGUGGCGUAGGUCUGCGCUACGCAUAAGCCAGACACAUGGAUAACGCAAUACCAGCGCUGCCUGGCAGAUGGCGUUCUCCCGCUGGAUCCGACGGAGGCUAGNNNNNNNNNNNNNNNNNNNNNNNNNNNNNNNNNNNNNNNNNNNNNNNNNNNNNNNNNNNNNNNNNNNNNNNNNNNNNNNNNNNNNNNNNNNNNNNNNNNNNNNNNNNNNNNNNNNNNNNNNNNNNNNNNNNNNNNNNNNNNNNNNNNNNNNNNNNNNNNNNNNNNNNNNNNNNNNNNNNNNNNNNNNNNNNNNNNNNNNNNNNNNNNNNNNNNNNNNNNNNNNNNNNNNNNNNNNNNNNNNNNNNNNNNNNNNNNNNNNNNNNNNNNNNNNNNNNNNNNNNNNNNNNNNNNNNNNNNNNNNNNNNNNNNNNNNNNNNNNNNNNNNNNNNNNNNNNNNNNNNNNNNNNNNNNNNNNNNNNNNNNNNNNNNNNNNNNNNNNNNNNNNNNNNNNNNNNNNNNNNNNNNNNNNNNNNNNNNNNNNGAGCCAGUAGCCCAGAUCACCGCACAUAAGAUCGAGAGCUUUGUAUGGAAGAACAUCGUGUGCCGGUUUGGUGUGCCUAAGCGCCUGGUGUCGGACAAUGGGACUCAGUUUGCAAGUCACCUAUUGAAGAAGCUGUGCGAAGAGGUGGGAAUACAGCAGGUGUUUGCAUGUGUCGAGCACCCACAGACAAAUGGCCAAGUAGAGUCUCCAAAUCGGGUGUUGCUGAGAGGUUUAAAGAGAAGGCUAGAGAAAGCUAAGGGAUCGUGGGCUGAAGAGGUACUGCGCAUAGUUUGGGCGUACCAUACCACUGAGCAGUCAGGAACCCACGAGACCCCGUUUAGCUUGGUUUAUGGAUGCGAUGCAAUGAUUCCAGUUGAAAUCCAGGAGAGCUCGCCGAGAUUCCAGAACUUUGUGGCGGAAGACUCAAACGAAGAAAGAAGGUUGAAUCUGGAUUUACUGGAUGAGGUCAGGGAGGAGGCAAGAGUAAAGGCCGAGGCAGUAAAAAGGAGGAUUGAGCGAAGGUAUAACUCCAAGGUAAUGCCAAGGCAGUUUAGAGAGAGCGACCUGGUGAUGAGGAAGGCCCAUCAGUACGAGAUGGAGAACAAGUUAUCGCCUAAGUGGACGGGAUCGUUCAGGAUAACCGAGGUGCUCGGGAACGGCGCCUACUGCUUAGAGACGUUAGAAGGAGGGGCGAUUCCUCGCACUUGGAACGCCACACAUCUCAAAUUGUAUUACAGUUAAAGCUUUGUAAGUAAAACGAACAUGAAGAGAUUUACAUGCUUUCUGUUAAAACAGUUUGAAAGGGGGCACUCUUUUUUCCCUAAGGAGGGUUUUUAAUGAGGCCACCCAAUAAAGAAGAGUUUUCAAGCUUAAGUUUUCUGAGAUUGCAUGCUUUGUGUUUUGAAAGUUUUUAGAAAAAAGACCUUAUCACCCGUACGUGAUUUAAGGCAAGUUCGAAGUUAUAUUGCUUGCUUUCAGUUAAAAGUUUUGAAGUCCCCAUCGUUUUUCGGCGAUUGGCAGCACCAGUUAAAAGUUUUAAAGUCCCCAUUGUUUUUCGGCGAUGGGCGGCAUCAGUUAAAAGUUUAAAGUCCCCAUCGUUUUUCGACGAUAGGCAGCAUCAGUUAAAAGUUUUAAAAGUCCUCAUCGUCUUUCGGCGAUCGGAGGCACCAAUGAUGAUUAAAGACCUCAAACGCUCUCAUGCGUCUUGAGGCAAGAAGAGAAAAAGACCUCCUCGCCUUUCAGCGAGUGCAGGCGAGAAAGAGAAAAGUCCUCCUUGCCUUUGAGCAAGUGCAGGCAAGAAAAAGACCUCAUCGCCUUUGAGCGAGUGCAGGCGAGAAAGAGAAAAGUCCUCCUUGCCUUUGAGCAAGUGCAGGCAAGAAAAAGACCUCCUCGUCUUUGAGUGAGUGCAGGCAAGAAAAAGUCCUCCUUGCCUUUGAGCAAGUGCAGGCAAGAAAAAGUCCUCCUCGACUUUGAGCGAGUGUAGGCAAGAGAAAGUCCUCCUUGCCUUUGAGUAAGUGCAGGUGAGAAGAAGUCCUCCUUGCCUUUGAGCAAGUGCAGGCGAGAAGAAGUCCUCCUCGCCUUUGAGCGAGUGUAGGCAAGAACAGAUCGAAAGACCUCUCUGCGCAAGCAGAUAGAGGCAAGAUUGAAAGUCCUCAGCACGUCCAGGAAGGAGGAGAUGCACACCCUGGGCAAACUGAGGCACCAAAAAAAGUCCUUCUCACCUCAGAGUGAGUUCAGGCAAGAUAAAUUGAAAAGUCAGGGGUGUUCGUGACCUUAAACGGGGGGAAGGGAAGGAAAACGCCUUUUCCCCUUUAAGUGAAACAUCAAUAUUGACCCAGUAAGACUAGAUCAUUGUUCUGACACUCAGGGAGGUAGAGAAGGAUCCGAAAGGCGCCUCUACCCCCGGAUGAGGGAACAAUGGUCAAGUUAUGAAGUAAGAAAGAUCACAUCGCCAGAACCCUACGACGAUCAGAAGAAUUCUAGGCGAUGACAGGAGUAAGGGCUCACUUCAUUGGGCAGAUCAGGUGAACUGUGUCUUAAAUACCAGUUUGAGUUAAAACUUGCUGUUUAGUAAGUAGUUUUGUUGCCUUAAGUUCACAAGUUAUAUUAAGUGCCAUCGCGUGAAAGUUAAUAGUUGCUCAAGUUUACUUUGAGUUAACAGUUUGAUGAGUUGUUACAAGGUUAACAGUUUAUUCAAGUUAACAGUUUGAUAAGUUGUUACAAGGUUAACAGUUUAUUCAUGUUCGAAGCAGUGUGUGAAAGCAAAUAAAGGCAAAGGCGUGCAAAGUAAGUAGAAAGACGAUGUUGAAGAAAUGAAAAUUAUAUAAAGCGAUGUCAAUACAAAUCUAUACACAAACAACUAUUACAAACAAAAGAUGAAGGGCAAGUUUCAAAAACAAGGUGAUGGAGGGAGGCAGCUAGUCUUCGGAGGGUACAAUCUUCCCAUCCACCACCUCGUUGCAGAUUGACACCAUGGAAAGGUCGAGCUCGGGGUAUUGACAUGCUACUUGCUCCAGAGCGGCGUCAAACCCGGCGGUGAGGACUUGGGCAGUGCUCUGCUCGAGCUCUUGUGUUUGUUUCUUCAGCUCUUCGAUUUCCUCGCGAGCUCGAGCAAGUUCUUCAGCAGCCUUUUUUCCUUCGUCCCGGGCCUGGGCCAGCUCUGCAGCAGUCUUUGUGGCCUCCUCUCGAGCUUUGGCGAGCUCAGCAAGAGCAUCGUCCCUUUCCUUUUCGACCUUUCCAAGCAGAACCUCCUGAUCUGUUGACCUUUUCUCAAGGUUUUCCACCUUGGUCGCAUCCGUCUUUUUUGCAGCCUCCAAGUUUGCCACUUUGAGCCUGUAAGGGACCAACUUGCUUUCCAAGUCGAUCUUCUCUUGGACUUGGAGAUGCAGUUUCUGGCGCAGGUUGGAGGCUUCCUUGCGCAUGCUCCUUAGCUCAGCAACCAUGGCGUCCUCUAGCCUUGAGUGCUCCAACUCAGCCAUCAGCAGGUUGCACGUGAGCUUUUCAGCCUCAGCCCUUGUCAUCAGAUUUGACUCCUUGAGCGCUGAGUUCUCUUCUUGGAGCUUCUUGAGGGAGUCCUUCAGGGCUUUCGAUACGAUCAAUGGGAGAUCCUCCGCCAUCAUCUUCAGUUUGGCUGUGAAGGGUCCCAAGAUCUCUUCGAAGGAGGUUGGGAGGCUUGAGGUUGUUGCUGGUGGAGGUGCUGAAGGAGUUUGGUGCUGACUUUCACCACCACCCUCUUGGGUUUGAAGGGCAAGGGGGGCUUCUUAGCGUGGUGGUGAGGUCAGAGAUUCCGUUAUGAGUAUCGGCGAGUUAUGAGCACCCUCAUCUUCGCCUAAUGCGGCCCCAGCAAUAGACGUGGUGGAAGGAGGACCCUCUCCAACAGAUACGAACGGUGUGGAGGCGCUUGGAGGGUUCUCUAUGAAGUUGGGGUCGCUGCUUUUACCCACGGGGAGUGCGGCGGCCAAGGGUGUUGCUUGGACUGGUUGUAAUGGAGCUGGAGGUGAGGGCGGUGUUGGGAGUGCGGGUGGUGAAGAGGGAGCCGCCCUUUUUCUCUUGGUAACGAGCCCAUCCUCAGUCUCCUCAUCAUCCUCUUCUUCCUCUUGCACCACUUGAGGAGCUUUUCUCUUGGGUUUCCUCAAGACCAGUUUCUUCCUUUGGGGGGCGGGCAGUACCCCAGAGGAAGUUGGACCUCGGGGAGGAGUCUUGCCUUGAGCAGCGGCGAUCUCCACCACCGAGUUGGGCACGGUUUGGGAGCCCGCCGCGAGCUUGUGAGAUCGGGCAAUCGCCCUCAGUUCUGCCAGUUUUCCUUUCCCCAGCAUGUUAUCUGCACAAGGUAAAGGGUAGAUGAGCAACAAAAACAAAAGCAGAAAAUACAAAGUAUAUUUAUGAAGAGACAACACAAGCAGUACAUGGAUGAAAGAUCAGAGUCAACACAGAAUAAUGGAAUGCCAAAAUAGAGUGGUGAAGACGCUAAGUUAGUGUUAACUCGAAGUGAAAGACUUGGUGCUGAGGCAGGAGCUAACCUAUGUGAGCUUCGAGUUGGUCCUCAAGGAACUCGAAGGAGAUUAUUGAGGCGGUGGGGAGGGUGAUGUUGGCAGCAGCCACACUCUUCCAGAAGAGGCAGAGAUCUUUGUCUAACUCCCCCAUGUUGUCGGGACUUCUUGGCCUCCUGAAGCUUUCUUUAGAGUCUUUGUUCCCCUUGUGUACCCAGUACAAGGGGAAGCCGUCGAGCAGGGAAGGGUCUUGGUCGUUUUGGCACACCUUGACGAACUUCCCCUUCCAGUCUUUGUAAGAUUGCUGGAAGAUCGAGAGGAUUGACCUCCCAGCAAUCCCGUUCAAGCUAAUCCAGAGGCGAUCUCCGGGAUUCUUAGCCUCGAACAGGAAAAGAAAGACAUCCACCGAAGCCGGCAGCCCCAAGUGUGCACAGAUGAUUUGGAACGCCCUCACGAACGCCCAGCUAUUGGGAUGAAGCUGGGCAGGGGCGACGUUGAGCUCAGUCAGUAGCUCUCUCUCGAAGCGGGUGAAAGGAAACCUAAGCUUCACCUUCUUGAAGAAUGUCGCGUAGAUAAAGCAGAACAACUCGCCGUUGUUCCCCUUAUUAUCCGCGCAAAUCGGUUCUCCUGAGAGGCAGGGCAACACAGUCAUUUUGCUAUCGUGCUCCUUGUGGAAUGAGAGGUCGGAUUGGUCUCCUUUCCUCAGUCGGUGCACGCCCAAAUCAGUAUUUAUCGAAGAGGUCUCUUUCAGCAGAGUUGGGGUGGCCCAGGGAUAGAGUUCUUUGUAGUCUUGCGGAAGAAGGGGGGCUCCUCCGGCGACUGGUGGAGUUGCCUGAGUGGCGUUGGCGUGAGAAGAGGCAGGCCUCUCAGCCUGAUUAGAAGGAGCACCAGAGGCUCGUGGUGGGUUGCGCGCUGGUGGAGGAUUUGCCCAUGGGCAACCCUACGCGUUCUGAGUGGAGGGUUUCGCGAUGAAGGAGGAGGGUUAGCGGUGGACUUCGUGUGAGCCAUCGCAGGAACUGCAAAGGAAAGAGAAAGGGAUGAAAUGAAGAAAACAGAGAAUGACUCGAUUGGGGACAAAGAAGAUAGAACGAACAGUUAAGGGUUCGCUGGGAUGGACGUUAUCAAGGACGAAACCUUAGGUUAUGAGAAAAGGAAAAAACAGCCCACAACGUAUGCUUCAGACAAACAAUGGAUGAUGCAAACCGAUUAAAAUGCAGCAAGUAUCCAUAGAAGGAGUAAAAGGGUUACCUUUUUGUGAUCAGAUGAGCGUUGAAGAAAGUUGAAGAUUGAGAGAGGCGAGAAGCUUCGUGGUUCGCAGAGAAAAUGCUUGGAACGCUUGAGAGUGAAGGAAGAUGAUGGAACAGUGAAAAGCGCGAAGGUUUUAAGGGUUUUCAAACGUUUUAGGAAGCGCAAACGUCAACUGAAGACGACCGUUGAUGAAGCCACGUGUCGUGUGAUUGAAAAAGAGGUUCUUUACGCGCAAACGCUUGAGAACACUUCUUUACGCUUUCUGAGAACACUAGAGUACGCUUUUCAGAACACUGAGAUUCACUGCGCACGGUUCCUUGAGUUUGAUAUUCUCUUUGAGUAUUUGGUGAUUCCGUCAUUGACUUGAGCGUCGGAGCACGAUCGACCGCAGCGGCGCCACUCUGGUUCUUUGUUUUCUUCAGGUUCUUGCGAGGAAUAGAGACGUGAAGAUCGAAGGCUAACGUGGUGCGAAGCUGAUCGAGAGAAGAUACCUUUGACUUGGCAAGACUCUUGCACUCGAGUCAACCGGCAGGAUCAAACUUUAAAACAGAAAUUAAGAACAAAUAAAGGAAAGUCUUAUCCUUAUGUUAAUUCGUCAAUGAGCCAUGUUCUUUAUGAUCAAGAAGCCUCUUUUCACUGUUGAGGUCCUUUGGACAGAUGCAUAACAUUGAUUCAGCUUCAAUGAUUGUCUUUUUCUUCCAAGAACUUGAUCAUAUGACUUAGUCCUUCACACUUCUUUAGAAUUCCUGCACAAACAUGAGUUCAAGCAACAAGAUUUGGUCCCUUCACAAAUGUGGGUCCAAUAGAUUUCUUUUUCUCAUUUGGAACCUCACAUCCUUUCGGAAUCCAUUUCAUGUAGCCUCUAGGAACAAAUAAUUUUCUUAUUUUGCAGAAUCUAACCAAAUGGCCCUUUUUCAUGCAAUAAAAACAUGUAACAACCGAUUGUUUCGAUUUAACAAUCGGUUGUUUUACUGGCUUUCUUGAAAAUUUUUUUUGAAAACUUAUCUUGUUGGUUCUGUGGAUUGAAACCCAAACCAGCCUUUCCAAAAAUAUAGCUUUGAGAUGCCAAGACAUUCUCAAAGUUAGAUUUCCCCUUUGAAAGCUUGUCCACAGUUUCAACAAGAUAGUGAACCUUUUUCUUAAGAUUUUCACAAUUUUCGCAAAUGAGAGUGUCACACUUGCAAGAAGCAUUUUUGAAAUGGUUUUCCAGAUUUUUGAAAUCAUUUUUAGAUUUUUCAAUCUCAUCUUCAAGUGAUUUCACUCUCUUUUCUAGCCAGCUGUUAAGUUCUUUCAAUCGAUUGUUUGAAAGAACCAAUCGAUUAGCUUCAUCAUGAGUUUCUUGAAAAGCUUCAAGUAAUUCACUGUAAUUUUGUUCAUUCAAGGAAGCACAUGAACUUACUUCACUUGAGCUGCAAGAUUCAUCAUCAUCUUCAGCAACCAAGCAGAUGUUUGCUUUCUCAUAUUCACUUGAUGAAGAACUUGAUGAUGACACCUCAUUUUCAUCCCAAGCUAUGUAGGCUCUUUUUGUCUUGCCUUUCUUUUCCUUGUAGCUAGGAUUUUUCUCCUUGCUCUUGUUUGGACAAUCUACCUUUUAUAUGACCUUGCUCACCACAACCAAAACAAGUAUAGUUAUUGGAAUUAAACUCAUUGGAUUUCUUGUUUCCAUACCUAUCUUUGUUGUUGUCUUUGUUGCGGUUUCUCUUUAGGAAUUUGAUGAACUUUCUUGACAGCAAGCUAAGGUUUUCCUCAUCACUAUCAUCACUGGAUUCUUGUUUUCCGUUGUGCUUGGAAGCUUUUAAGGCUAUGCUCCUUGUGUGCUUGUCUUCACUCUCUUGAACAUUGAGUCUAUUCAUCUCUAACUCAUGUUCCCUAAGCUUUCCAAACAAAGAAGCAACACUUAAUGAUGUUAGAUCUUUAGAUUCGGAAAUAGCAGUUACCUUGGGUUGCCAUGCUCUCAUGAGAUGAUUGAUGAUGUGCGUGAAUCUUUUCUGCACCUCAACAAUUGUUUCUCCUUUAAGCAUUCUGAACAUCUCAUACUCUUGGAUUAGAGCAUGCUUCCUAGCUCUCUUCACCUCAUUUGUUCUUUCAUGAGUGACUUCCAAGGUGUCCCACAUUUCUUUUGAUAAUUUGCAUUGGGAGACCCUGAAAAACUCAUCAGAAUUUAAAGCAGAGGUUAUAAUAUUUUUUGGCAAUGCAAUCGAAUUUGGCCUUUUUGCUUUCUGCAUCAGUCCAUUGAGAACAUGGCUUCUCAAUGCAAGAUCCAUCUUUUCAAACUUUGGGAUAAAAGGACCAUUUUCAAUUGCAUCCCAAAUUCUUUUGUCAAGUGAUUCCAUAAAUAUUUUCAUUAUCACUUUCCAAAAUUGGUAGUUCAAACCACAAAACAGAGGUGGUCUGUUAAUUGAAGCACCUUCCCCAAAAGGUAGUCUAUCAGCCAUUUUAAAAAAAGUUUUAGGAUCAACUUGAAUAACUUUCAAGAACCAAACUCUUGAUGCCAAUUGUUAGAAUGGAUGACUUUAAACUAGAGGGGGGUGAAUUGUUUAAAGGGGGUUUUCACAAACUUUUAAAACAAGAAUGAAAUUAUCUCAAGAAACAAUUGAUAAGAAAUUCAGUUUGGCAAAACAACAAUAAAAAACAGCAGUACCAGAAAAACAAUCGGUUGUUUCAUAGAAACAAUCGGUUGUUUAUACCACCAAACAACAAACAAAACUGAAUUUAAAGAGUUUAAGGAUAGAGAGAUUGCACACAGAUGUUUAUACUGGUUCACUCCAAAUCCAGAGCUACAUCCAGUCUUCUCAAAAACCCUGAGGAAAUCCACUAAGCAAUCAAACCUUGAUCACUUACACCACAACCAAGAAAGUGACCUUGAACACCUCAAGACACACACUCUUCUUGGCCAACACACCAACACUAAGAUUGCUGAUCUUGAUCCCCUCAAGAACACACAACCAAUCUCAGCAAACACAGAAAUGAAACUUGUUCAGCAGAGUACAAGGAUUACACUUGUUACAAAAGAUAAUCUGAAAUCAAUACAAGCAGAAUCCUAUUCCACACACUUUGAUCAAUCACAAACUCUAAGCAAUCUCAGCUCUUUGAAAAACUCAAAAACUCUUUUCAAAAUCUUGUAAAAGAUUGUUACUCAAAUCUGUUAUUCUGAAUUUAUUCAAAGAUGUUGGUUGUUAUCAAAUCUUAACAAACUCUUAAAUUGCAUUAAAAGAUUGGUCAAAGCAUUUAAUGACUGGAGCGCAAGCAGUUAAAUCAUUAAAAGCUCAGUCAAAGAUAAAAUAAUUUUUCUGUAAUGGUCCCAAAACAAAAAAUCGGUUGUUUCCUCGAAUCAAUCAGUUGUUUUGGUUUUAACAGCAUAACCAUUUGAAAAUCAGUUUUCAAUAUUUUCUCAAAAUAUCUAAGUAUAAACAAUCGGUUGUUUCAACAAAACAAUCGGUUGUUUUAACUUAGUUUGAAAAGCAUUUCACUUUCACAAAGAUUGAGAAUGCCUAUGCUUUAGAUUUAAUCAAAGGGUGGAUUACAACACUCAAACUACCCCAGAACUAAACUAAACCAGCACAACAACAACAAACAAAACCAAGGCUUCAACAUUCUUCAAAGGGUUUGGAUUCUUCAAACCUUGAACACCACAUGGUUCAACAAUAGUUUCUUCCUGAAAUUCCACGUAAGAAUCUCCACUGAAUUUGGGACAAAACGCGACAAAUUUCAGGUCAAACGGAUGAGUAUUCACCCACGAAAAAAAUCAAUCAGUUUCACACACAAACAGACCUUCCUAUCGGCCCUGGCAGUGAUGAAUAAAAAUAUUAUUGCCAAUCUUGAGGGACAAAUCUGGGGCUCAAAUCUCAGCCAAAACUCAGUAGACACAGUGACGAACGUCUGGUAAAAAUUUCAGACCAAAAUACCCAAGGCGUAAGACGUAGUAAGUCCGAGACCGAGAGUGAACAAAAUUGGUUUUCCGAAAACAAAACGUCCUGACUUUUCUCCCCCGUAUCUUCUUCUUGUGAUUUGUUUAUGGACGUGCCUCCUUAUCUUGGUGCAAACAACAUAUGAAAGUACUUGUCUGAAUUUUUUCAGCGCUAUAAAACUUAGGAUAAAAUUUCAGAAAGUAAGGCGAAAUUUCACAAGUUUUUUUAAAGGAUAGCCUUGGUUUGCACAAAAUUUCUUAAAAAUGCUCUUAAAAUAGUUUUUUUCUUGAAAUUCCACAUAAGAAUAUCCACUAUAUUUGGCAAAAAACGCGAAAAAUUUCAGGUCAAACGGAUGAGUAUUCACCCACGAAAAAAAUCAAACAGUUUCACACAAACAAACUUUCAUUUCGGCACUAGUAGUGAUGAAUAAAAAAUUUAUUGCCAAUCUUGUGGGACGAAUCUGGGACUCAAUUCUCAGACAAAACUCAGUAGCCACAGUGACGAACGUUUAGAAAAAAUUCCAGAAUAAAAUACCCAAGGAGUAGGGUGAGUGAGUCCCAGAUAGAGAGUGAACAAAAACUGUUUUCCGAAUACAAAACGUCCUAGCUUUUCUUUCCCAUAUCUUCUUUUUGUGAUUUGUUUAUUGACAUGCUUUCUUACUUGGGUGCAAACAACAUAUGAAAGUACUUGUCUGAAUUUUUUCAGCGCAAUACGGACCCAUAAUAAAAUUUCAGAAAGUAAGGCGAAAUUUCACAAGUUUUGGUAGAGAGAUAGCCUUGGUUUGCACAAAAUUUAUGAAAAAUUCUCUUAAAAUACUUUUUUCCUGAAAUUUCACGUAAGAAUCUCCACUGAAUUUGGGACAAAACGCGACAAAUUUCAGGUCAAAUGGAUGAGUAUUCACCCACAAAAAAACAGUUUCACACAAUAACGGACCUUCCUUUCGGCCCUGACAGUGAUGAAUAAAACAUUUAAUGCCAAUUUCGUGGGACGAAUCUGGGGCUCAAAUCUUAGCCAAAAGACAGUAGACACAGUAACGAACGUCUAGUAAAAAUUUCAGACCAAAAUACCCAAGGCGUAAGACGUAGUAAGUCCGAGACCGAGAGUGAACAAAAUUGGUUUUCCGAAAACAAAACGUCCUGACUUUUCUCCCCCGUAUCUUCUUCUUGUGAUUUGUUUAUGGACGUGCCUCCUUAUCUUGGUCCAAACAACAUAUGAAAGUACUUGUCUGAAUUUUUCAGCGCGAUACAGACUUAGAAUAAAAUUUCAGAAAGUAGGGCGAAAUCUCACAAGUUUUGGUAAAGGAUAGCCUUGGUUUGCACAAAUUUUUUGAAAAAUGCUCUCAAAAUAGUUAUUUCCUGAAAUUCCAGUGAAGAAUCUUCACUGAAUUUGGGAAAAAACGCGAAAAAUUUCAGGUCAAACGGAUGAGGAUUCACCAACGAAAAAAAUCAAAUAGUUUCACACACAAACAAACCUUCAUUUCGGCCCUGGCAGUGAUGAAUAAAAAAUUUAUUGCCAAUCUUGUGGGACGAAUCUGGGGCUCAAUUCUCAGCCAAAACUCAGUAGACACAGUGACGAACGUAUAGAAAAAAAUUCCAGACCAAAAUACUCUAGGAGUAGGGCGUAGUAAGUCCCAGACAGAGAGUGAACAAAAACUAUUUUCCGAAAACACAACGUCCUAGCUUUUCUCCCCCGUAUAUUCAUUUUGUGAUUUGUUUAUGGACAUGCUUUCUUACCUUGGUGCAAAUAUGAAAGUACUUGUCUGAAUUUUUUCAACGCAAUACGAACCCAUAAUAAAAUUUCAAAAAGUAGGGCGAAAUUUCACAAGUUUUGGUAGAUGAUAUCCCUGGUUUGCACAAAAGUUAUGAAAAAUUCUCUUGAAAUAAUUUUUUCCUGAAAUUCCACGUUAUAAUCUCCACUGAAUUUGGGACAGAACGCGACCAAAUUUCAGGUCAAACGAUGAUUAUUCACCCACGAAAAAAAUCAAACAGUUUGACACACAAACGGACCUUCCUUUCGGCCCUGGCAGUGAUGAAUAAAAAAUUUAUUGUCAAUCUUGUGGGAGGAAUGUGGGGCUCAAAUUUCAGCCAAAACUUAGUAGGCACAGUGACGAACGUCUGGUAAGAAUUUCUUUCCAAAAUACCCAAGGUGUAAGGCGUAGCAAGUCCCAGCCAGAGAGUAAAAAAAUUCGUUUUCCGAAAAGAAAACGUCCUGGCUUUUCUCCCCCGUAUCUUCUUUUUGUGAUUUGUUUAUGGACGUGCCUCAUUACCUGGGUGCAAACAACAUAUGAAAGUACUUGUCUGAGUUUUUUCAGCGCAAUACGGACCCAGAAUAAAAUUUCAUAAAGUACGGCGAAAUUUUACAAGUUUUGGUAGAGCAUAAGCUAGUUUGCACAACAUUUUUGAAAAAUUCUUCCGAAAUAGUUUUUUCCUGAAAUUCCACGUAAGAAUCUCCACUGAAUUUAGGACUUAGCGCGACAAAUUUCAGGUCAAACGGAUGAGCAUUCACCCACAAAAAACUCAAACAGUUUCACACACAAACAAACGAUCCUUCCUUUCGGCCGUGACAGUGAUGAAUAAAAAAUUUAUUGCUAAUUUUGUGGGACGAAUCUGGGGCUUAAAUCUAAGCCAAAACUCAUUAGAGAUAGUGAUGAACAUCUGGUAAAAAUUUCAUACCAAAAUACCCAAGGAGUAAGGCGUAGCGAGUCCCAUACUGAGAGUGAACAAAACUGGUUUACCGAAAAGAAAACAUCCUGACUUUUCUCCCGCGUAUCUUCUUUUUGUGAUUUGUUUAUGGACUUGCCUCCUUACACGGGUGCAAAUAACAUAUGAAAGUACUUGUCUGAAUUUUUUCAGUGCAGUACAGACCCAAAAUAAAAUUUCAGAAAGUGGGGCGAAAUUUCACAAGUUUUGGUAGAGGAUAGCCUUGGUUUGCAAAAAAUUUCUGAAAUAUUCUCCCGAAAUAGUUUUUUCUUGAAAUUUGAUGUAAGAAUCUCCACUGAAUUUGGGACAAAAAGCGAAAAAUUUCAGGCCAAACAGUUUCACACACAAACGAACCUUCCUUUCGGCUAUGGCAGUGAUGAAUCUGGGACUCAAAUGUCAGCCAAACCUCAGCAGACAAAAUGACGGACGUCUGAAAAAAAUUGCAGAUAAAAGUACCUAAGGAGUAAGGCGUAGUAAGUCCCAGACGGAGAGUGAACAAAACGUGUUUUCCGAAAAGAAAACGUCCUAGCUUUUCUCUCCAGUAUCUUCUUUUUGUGAUUUGUUUAUGGACGUGCCUCUUUACUUGGGUGGAAACAACAUAUGAAAGUACUUGUCUGAGUUUUUUCAGCGCAAUACGGAUCCAGAAUAAAAUUUCAUAAAGUACGGCGAAAUUUUACAAGUUUUGGUAGAGGAUAAGCUAGUUUGCACAAAAUUUUUGAAAAAUUCUCCCGAAAUAGUUUUUUCCUGAAAUUCCACGUAAGAAUCUCCACUGAAAUUGUGACAAAACACGACAAAUUUCAGGUCAAACAGAUGAGUAUUCCCCCACAAAAAAAUCAAACAGUUUCACACACAAACGAACCUUCCUUUCGGCUCCGACAGUGAUGAAUAAGUAAUUUAUUGCCAAUCAUGUGGGACGAAUCUGGAGCUCAAUUCUAAGCCAAAACUCAGUAGACACAAUGACGAACGUCUGGUAAAAAUUUCAAACCAAUAUACUGAAGGCAUAAGGUGUAGUAAGUCCGAGACCGAGAGUGAACAAAAGUGGUUUUCCGAAAACAAAACGUCCUGGCAUUUCUCCCCCAUAUCUUCUUUUAGUGAUUUGUUUAUGGUCGUGCCUCCUUACAUGGGUGCAAACAACAUAUGAAAGUACUUAUGUGAAUUUUUUCAGCGCAAUACGAACCCAAAAUAAAAUUUCAAAAAGUACGGCGAAAUUUCACAAGUUUUGGUACAAGAUAGCCUUCGUUUGCACAAAAUUUAUGAAAACUUAUCGCGAAAUAAUUUUUUCCUGAAAUUCCACGUAAGAAUCUCCACUGAAUUUAGGAUUUAACGCGACAAAUUUCAGGUCCAACGGAUGAGCAUUCACCCACAAAAAACUCAAACAGUUUCACACACAAACGAACCUUCCUUUCGGCGCCAAUAGUGAUGAAUACAAAUUUUAUUGCGAAUCUUGUCGUAAGAAUCUGGGACUCAAAUCUCAGCCAAAACUCAGUAGACACAGUGACAAACGCCUGGUAAAAAUUUCAGACCAAAAUACCUAAGGAGUAAGGCGUAGUAAGUCCCAGACCGAGAGUGAACAAAACUGGUUUUCCGAAAACAAAACGUCCUGGUUUUCUCCCCCGUAUCUUCUUGUAAUUGUUUUAUGGACAUGGCUCCUUACCUAGCUGCAAACAACAUAUGAAAGUAGUUGUCUGAAUUUUUCAGCGCAAUACGGACCCAGAAUAAAAUUUCAGAAAGUAGGACGAAAUUUCACAAGUUUUGGUAGAGGAUAGCCUUGGUUUCCACAAAAUUUCUGAAAAAUUAUCCCGAAAUAGUUUUUUCCUGAAAUUCCACGUAAGAAUUUCAAUUAAAUUUGGGACAAAACGCGACAAAUUUCAGGUCAACGGAUGAGUAUUCACCUACGAAAAAAAUUUAACAGUUUGUUCGAACAUUCCUUUCGACCAUAGCAGUUUUUUAAUAAAAAAUUAAUUCCCAAUCUUGUGGGACGAAUCUUGGGCUCAAAUCUUAGCCAAAACUCAUUAGACACAGUGACGAACGUCUGGUAAAAAUUUCAUACCAAAAUACCCAAGGAGUAAGGCGUAGUCAGUCCCAAACCGAGAGUGAACAAAAUUGGUUUUCCGAAUACAAGAUUUCCUGGCUUUUCUCCCCCGUAUCUUCUUUUUGUGAUUUGUUUAUUGACGUGCUUCCUUACCUGGAUGCAAACAACAUAUGAAAGUACUUGUCUGAAUUUUUUCAGCGCAAUACAGACCCAGAAUAAAUUAUCAAAAAGUAGGGCGAAAUUUCAAGAGUUUUGGUAGUGGAUAGCUUUGGUUUGCACAAAAUUUCUGAAAAAUUCUUCGAAAAUAGUUUUUUCAUGAAAUUCCAAGUAAGAAUCUCCACUGAAUUUGGGACAAAACGCGACAAAUUUCAGGUCAAACGGAUGAGUAUUCACCCACGAAAUAAAUCAAACAGUUUCACACACAAACAAACCUUCCUUUUAUCCAUGGCAGGGAUGAAUAAAAAAUUUAUUUUCAAUCUUGUGGGACGAAUCUGGGGCUCAAAUCUCAAGAAAAACAUAGCAGACACGGUGACAAACGUCUGGUCACUUGUUUGAAUUUUUUCAGCGCAAGACGAACCCAAAAUAAAAUUUCAGAAAGUAUGGCCAAAUUUCACAAGUUUUGGUAGAGGAUAACCUUGGUUUGCACAAAAUUUAUGAAAAAUUCUCCCGAAAUAGUUUUUUCCUGAAAUUUCACGUAAGAAUCUCUACUAAAUUUGGGCCAAAACGCGACAAAUAUCAGGUCAAACGGAUGAGUAUUCAACCAUAAAAAAAAUCAAACAGUUUCACACACAAACGAACCUUCCUUUCGGCCCUGGUAGUGAUGAAUUAAACAUUUAUUGCCAAUCUUGUGGGUCAAAUUUGGGGCUCGAGUCUCAGCCAAAACUCAGUAGACACAGUGAUAAAUGUCUGGUCACUUGUCUGGGUUUUUUCAGCGUAAUACGGACCCAGAAUAAAAUUUUAGAAAGUAGGGCCAAAUUUCACAAGUUUUGGUAGAGGAUAGCAUUGGUUUGCACAAAUUUUCUGAAAAAUUCUCCCGAAAUUGUUUUUCCCUCAAAUUCCAUGUAAGAAUCUUCAUUGAAUUUGGAACAAAACGCGACAAAUUUCAGGUCAAACGGAGGAGUAUUCACACAUGAAAAAAACAAAACAGUUUCACUCACAAACGAACCUUCCUUUCGGUCGUAGCAGUGAUGAAUAGAUAAUUUAUUGCCAAUAUUGUGGGACGAAUCUAGAGCUCAAAUCUCAUCCAAAACUCAAUAGAGAAAGUGGCGAAGUUUUGGUAAAAAUUUCAUACCAAAAUACCGAAGAAGUAAGGCGUAGUAAGUUCCAUACCGAGAGUGAACAAAACUGGUCUUCCAAAAACAGAACGUCCUGAAUUUUCUCCACCGUAUAUUCUUUUUGUGAUUUCUUUAUGGACGUGCCUCCUUCCCUGGGUGCAAAAAACAUAUGAAAGUACUUGUCUGAAUUUUUUAAGCGCAAUACAGACUCAGAAUAAAAUUUCAGAAAGUAGGGCGAAAUUUCACAAGUUUUGGUAAAGGAGCCUUGGUGUGCACAAAGUUUCUGAAAAAUUCACCCGAAAUAGUUUUUCUCUGAAAUUCCACGUACGAAUCUCCACUGAAUUUGGGACUUAACGCGAAAAAAUUUCAGUUCAAACGGAUGAGUAUUCACCCACGAAAAAUAUCAAACAGUUUCACACACAAACGAACUUUCCUUUUGGCCCUGGCAGUGAUGAAUAAAAAAUUUAUUGCCAAUCUUGUGGCACGAAUCUGGGGCUCAAAUAUCAGCCAAAACACAUUAGACACAGUGACGAACGUCUGGUAAAAAUUUUAGACGAAAAUACCCAAGGACUAAAGUGUAGUAAGUCCUAGACCGAGAGUGAACAAAACUGGUUUUCCAAAAAUAAAACGUCCUGGUAUUUAUCCCCCGUAUCUUCUUUUUGUGAUUUGUUUAUGGACGUUCCUCCUUACCUGGGGGCAAAAAACAUAUGAAAGCAUUUGUCUUAAUUUUUUCAGAGCAAUACGGACGAAGAAUAAAAUUUCAGAAAGUAUGCCGAAAUUUCACAUGAUUUGGUAGAGGAUACACUUGGUUUCGACAAAAUUUCUGAAAAAUUCUCCCAAAAUAUUUUUUCCUGAAAUUCCACGUAAAAAUAUCCACUGAAUUUGGGACAAAACGCGAAAAAUUUUAGGUCAAACGGAUGAGUAUUCACGUACGAAAAAAAUCAAAUAGUUUCACACACAAACAAACCUUCCUUUCGACCCUGGCAGUGAUGAAUAAAAAAUUUAUUACGAAUCUUGUGGGACGAAUCUGGGGCUCAAAUGUCAACCAAAACUUAGUAGACACAGUGACGAACGUCUGGUAAAAAUUUUAGACCAAAAUACCCAAGGAGUAAGGCAUAGUAAGUCCGAGACCGAAACUGAACAAAACUGGUUUUCCGGAAACAAAACGUCUAGGAUUUUCUUCCCAGUAUCUUCUUUUUUGUGUUUUUGUUUAUGGACGUACCUCCUUACCUGGGUACAAACAACAUAUUUGAAAGCACUUGUCUGAAUUUUUUCAGCGCAAUACGGACCCAGAAUAAAAUUACAGAAUGUACGGAGAAAAUUCACAAGUUUUGGUAGAGGAUAGCCUUGGUUUGCACAAAAUUUCGGAAAAAUUCUCCCGAAAUAGUUUUUUCCUGAAAUUCCAUGUAAGAAGCUCCAUUGAAUUUGGGACAAAACGCGACAAAUUUUAGCUCAAACAGAUGAGUAUUCACCCAAGAAAAAAAUCAAAUAGUUUCACACACAAACAAACCUUCCUUUCGACCCUAGCAGUGAUGAAUAAAAAAUUUAUUGUGAAUCUUGUGGGACGAAUUUGGGGCUCAAAUGUCAACCAAAACUUAGUAGACACAGUGACGAACAUCUGGUAAAAAUUUCAGACAAAAAUACCUAAGGAGUAAGGCGUAGUAAGUCCCAGACCGAGAGUGAACACAACUGGUUUUCCGAAACAAAACGUCAUGGCUUUUCUCCUACGUAUCUUCUUUAUGUUAUUUGUUUAUGGACGUCGCUCCUUAUCUGGGUGAAAACAACAUAUGAAGGUAUAUGUCUGAAUUUUUUCAACGCAAUACGGACUCAGAAUAAAACUUCAGAAAGUAGGGGAAUAUUCCACAAGUUUUGGUAGAGGAUUGCCUUGGUUUGCUCAAAAUUUCUGAAUUUGACGCAAAACGCGAUAAAUUUCAGGUCAAACGGAUGAGUAUUCACCCAUGAAAAAAAUCAAACAGUUUCGCACACAAACAAACCUUCGUUUUAGCUCACAAAAAAAAAUCAAACAGUUUCACACAGAAAGGAACCUUCGUUUCGGCCUUGGCUUUGAUGAAUAAAAAAUAUAUUGCCAAUCUUGAGGGACGAAUCUGGGGCUCAAAUCUCAACUAAAACUCAAUAGACACAGUGACGAACGUCUGCUAAAUAUUUCACACCAAAAUACCCAAGGACUAAGGCGUAAUAAGUCCCAGACCGCGAGUGAACAAAACUGGUUUUCCGAAAACAAAACGUCCUGGCUUUUGUUCCCCGUAUCUUCUUUUUCUGAUUUUUUUAUUGCGUGUCUCCUUACCUGGGUGCAAAAAACAUAUAAAAGUACUUGUAUGAAUUUUUUCAGUGCAAUACGGACCCAGAAUAAAAUUUCAGAAAGUAGGGCGAAAUUUCACAAGUUUUGAUAAAGGAUAUAGCUUUGGUUUGAACAAAAUUUCUUAAAAAUUCUCUCGAAAUAGUUUUUUCCUACAAUUUCACGUAAGAAUGUACACUGAAUUUGGGACAAGACGCGACAAAUUUCAGUUCAAACGGAUGAGUAUUCACCCACCAAAAAAAUCAAACAGUUUCACACUGAAACGAACUUUAAUUUCGGCCUUGGCUGUGAUGAAUAAAAAAUUUAUUGCCAAUCUUGUGGGACGAAUCUGGGGCUCAAAUCUCAUCCAAAACUCAGUAGACACAGUCACGAACGUCUGGUAAAAAAUUCAGACCAAAAUACGCAAGGAGAAAGGCGUAGUAAGUCCUAGACCGAGAGUGAACAAAACUGGUUUACCGAAAACAAAACGUCCUGGCUUUUCUCCCUCGUAUCUUCUUUUUGUGAUUUGUUUAUGGACGUGCCUCCUUACCUGGGUGCAACCAACAUAUGAAAGUACUUGUUUGAACUUUUUCAGUGCAAUAGGACCCAGAAUAAAAUUUCAGAAAGUAGGGCGAAAUUUCACAAGUUUUGAUAUAGGAUAGCCUUGGUUUGAACAAUAUUUCUGAAAAAUUCUCCCGAAAUAGUUUUUUCCUAAAAUUCCAAGUAGGAAUCUCCACUGAAUUUGGGACAAAACACACAGAUUUCAGUUCAAUCGGAUGAGUAUUCACCAACGAAAAAUAUCAAAGAGUUUCACACACAAACGAACUUUCCUUUUGGCCCUGGUAGUCAUGAAUAAAAAAUUUAUUGCCAAUCUUGAGGCACGAAUCUGGGUCUCAAAUAUCAGAAAUCACAGUAGACACAGUGACGAACGUCUGGUAAAAAUUCCAUACGAAAAUACCCUAGGAGUAAGGCGUACUAAGAACCAGACCGAGAGUGAACAAAACUGGUUUUCCGAAGACAAAACUUGAUGGAUUUUUUCCCCAUAUCUUCUUUUUGUGAUUUUUUUAUAAUCGUGCCUCCUUACCUAAGUCCAAACAACAUAUGAAAGUACAUGUCCAAAUUUUUUCAGCAUAAUAUAGACCCAGAAAAAAAUUUCAUAAAUUAGGGCAAAAUUUGGAAAGUUAUGUGAGAGGACAACUUUGGUUUGCACAAAAUUAAUGAAAAAUUCUCCCAAAAUAUUUUUUCCUGAAAUUCUAGGUAAAAAAUCUCGACUGAAUUUGGGACAAAACGCCACAAAUUUCAGGUCAAUUGGAUGAGUAUUCACGCAAGAAAAAAAUCAAACAAUGUCACACACAAAUCGACCUUCCUUUCGGCCCUAACAGUGAUGAAUUAAAAAUUUAUUGCCAAUCUUGUGGGACGAAUCUGGGGCUCAAAUCUUAGCCAAAAGUCAGUAGAUACAGUGACAAACGUCUGGUAAAUAUUUCAUACCAAAAUACAAAAGGAGUAAGGCGCAGUAAGUCCCAGACUCAGAGUGAACAAAAUUGGUUUUCCGAAAACAAAACGUCCUGGCUUUUGUCCCCCGUAUCUUCUUUUUGUGAUUUGUUUAUGGAAGAUCCUCCUUAGAAGGGUGCAAACAACAUAUGAAAGUACUUUUCUAGAUUUUUUCAGCGUAAUACGGACCCAGGAUAAAAUUUCAGAAAGUAGGGCGAAAUUUCACAAGUUUUGGUAGAGGGUGGAAGCCUUGGUUUUACACAAAUUUUCUGAAAAAUUCUCCCGAAAUAGUUUCUUCCUGAAAUACCACGUCAGAAUCUCCACUGAAUUUGGGACAAAACGCGACAAAUUUCAGGUCAAACGGAUGAGUAUUCUCUCACGAAAAAAAUCAAUCAAUUUCACACACAAACGAACCUUCCUUUCGGCCCUGGCAGUGAUGAAUAAAAAAUUUAUUGCCAAUCUUGUGGACUAAUCUGGCCGCAAAUCUCAGGCAAAACUCAGUAGACACAGUGAUGAACAUCUGGUAAAAAUUUAAGAGCAAAAUACCUAAGGAGUAAGGCGUAGUAAGUCGCAGACAGAGAGUGAACAACACUGGUUUUCCGAAAACAAAACGUCCGUGCUUUUCUCCUCCGUAUCUUCUUUUUGUGAUUUGUUUAUGGACGUGCCUCCUUACCUGGGUGCAAACACAAUAUGAAAGUACUUGUCUGAAUUUUUUCAGCGCAAUACAAACCCAUAAUAAAAUUUCAGAAAGUAGGGCGAAAUUUCACAAGUUUUGGUAGAGGGUAGCCUUGGUUAGCACAAAAUUUCUGAAAAAUUCUCCCCAAAUAGUUUUUUCCUGAAAUACCACGUAAGAAUCUCCACUGAAUUUGGGAAAAAACGUGACAACUUUCAGGUUAAACGGAUGAAUAUUCACCGACCAAACAAAUCAAACAGUUUAACACACAAAAGAACCUUCCUUUCGGCCUUGGCAGUGAUGAAUAAAAAAUUUAUUGACAAUCUUGUCGGACAAAUCUGGGCCUAGAAUCUUAGCUAAAACUCAAUUGACACAGUGACGAAUGUCAGGUAAAAAUUUCAUACCAAAAUACCCAAGGAGUAAGGCGUAGUAAGUCCCAGACCGGGAGUGAACAAAACUGGUUUAUCGAAAACAAAACGUCCUGGCUUUUCUGCCCCGUAUCUUAUUUUUGUGAUUUGUUUAUGGAGGUGCCUCCUUACCUGGGUGCAAACAACAUAUGAAAGUACUUGUCUAAAAUUUUUCAACGCCAUACGAACCCAGAAUAAAAUUUCAGAAAGUAGUGCGAAAUUUCACAAGUUUUGGUAGAGGAUAUAGCCUUGGUUUCCACAAAAUUUCUGAAAAAUUCUCCCGAAAUAGUUUUUUCCUGAAAUUCCACGUAAGAAUCUUUACUGAAUUUGGGACAAAACGCGACAAAUUUAUGGUCAAACGGAUGAGGAUUCACCCACGAAAAAAAUCAAACAGUUUCAUUGACAAACAAAUUAUCCUUUUGGCCCUAGCAGUGAUGAAUUAAAAAUUUAUUGUGAAUCUUGUGGGACGAAUCUGGGGAUCGAAACUCAGCCAAAACUCAGUAGAGACAGUGACGAACGUCUGCGAAAAAUUUCAGACCAAAAUACCCAAGGAGUAAGGGGUAGUAAGUCCCAAACUGAGAGUGAACAAAACUAGUUUUUCGAAAACAAAACGUCCUGGAUUUUCUCCCCCGUAUCUUCUUUAUGUGAUUUGUCUACGAAAAUACUUGUCUGAAUUUUUCCAGCGCAAUAGGACCCAUAAUAAAAUUCCAGAAAGUAAGGCGAAAUUUCACAAGUUUUGGUAGAGGAUAGCCUUGGUUUGCACAAAAUUUCUCCCGAAAUAAUUUUUUCCUACAAUUCCACGUAGGAAUCUCCAUUGAAUUUGGGACAAAACGCGACAAAUUUCAGGUCAAACGGAUGAGUAUUCACCCACGAAAAAAUUCAAAUAGUUUCACACACAAACGAACCUUCCUUUCGGCCCUGGCAGUGAUGAAUAAAAAAUUUAAUGCCAAUCUUGUGGGACGAAUCUGGGUAUCAAAUUUCAGCCAAAAUUCAGUAGACACAAUGACGAACGUCUGGUAAAAAUUUCACACUAAAAUACCCCAGGACUAAGGCGUAAUAAGUCCCAGACCGAGAGUGAAAAAAACUGGUUUUCCCAAAACAAAACGUCUUGGCUUUUGUCCCCCGUAUCAUAUUUUUAUGAUUUGUUUAUGGACGUGCCUCCUUACCUGGCUGCAAACUAUAUAUGAAAGUACUUGUCUAAAUUUUUUCAGCGCAAUAGAACACAAAAUAAAAUUUCAGAAAGUAGCGCGAAAUUUCACAAGUUUUGGUACAGGAUAGCCUUGGUUUGCAAAAAAUUUCUGAAAAAUUCUCCCGAAAUAGUUUUUUCCUGAAAUUCCACGUAAGAAUCUCCACCGAAUUUGGGAAAAAACGCGAAAAAUUUUAGGUCAAGCGGAUGAGUAUUUACCCAUUAAAAAAAUCAAACAGUUUCACACACAAAUGAACCUUCCUUUCGGUCCUGGUAGUGAUGAAUAAAAAAUUUAUUGCAAAUCUUGUGGGACGAAUCUAGGGCUCAAAUCUUAACCAAAACUCAGUAGACACAGUGACAAACGUCUGGUAAAAAUUGCACACCAAAAUACCCAAGGACUAAGGCGUAAUAAGUCCCAGACCGAGAGUGAACAAAACUGGUUUUCCGAAAACAAAACUUCCUAGCUUUUGUCCCCCGUAUCUUCUUUUUCUGAUUUGUUUAUUGACGUGCCUCCUUACCUGGGUGCAAAAAACAUAUAAAAGUACUUGUGUAAAUUUUUUCAGCGUAAUAGGAUCCAGAAUAAAAUUUCAAAAAGUAGGGCGAAAUUUCACAAGUUUUGGUAGAGGAUAGCCUUGGUUUUAAGAAAAUUUCUGAAAAAUUCUCCCGAAAUAGUUUUUUCCUGAAAUUCCACGUAAGAAUUUCCAAAGAAUUUGGGACAAAACGCGACAAAUUUUAGGUCAAGCGGAUGAGUAUUCACACACGAAAAAAAUCAAACAAUUUCACACAAAACGAACCUUCGUUUCGGCCCUGGCUGUGAUGAAUAAAAAAUUUACUGAGAAUCUUGUGGGAAGAAUCUGGGGCUCAAAUCUUAGCCAAAACUCAAUAGACACAAUGACGAAGGUCUGGUAAAAAUUUCAGACCAAAAUACUCAAGGAGUAAGGCGUAGUAAGUCCCAGACCGAGAGUGAACAAAACUGGUUUUCCGAAAACAAAACAUCCUGGCUUUUCUCCCCUGUAUCUUCUUUUUGUGAUUUGUUUAUGGACGUGCCUCCUUACCUGGGUUCAAACAACAUAUGAAAGUACUUGUCUGAACUUUUUCAGCGCAAUAGGACCCAUAAUAAAAUUUCAGAAAGUAGGGCGAAAUUUCACAAGUUUUGGUAGAGGUUAGCCUUGGUUUGCACAAAAUUUCUAAAAAAAUUGCCCGAAAUAGUUUUUUCCUUAAAUUCCACGUAAGGAUCUCCACUGAAUUUGGGAGAAAACACACAAAUUUCAGGUCAAACAGAUGAGUAUUCAUCCACCAAAAAAAUCAAACAGUUUCACAGAGAAACGAACCUUUGUUUCGGCCUUGGCUGUGACGAAUAAAAAAUUUAUUGCCAAUCUUGUGGGACGAACCUGGGGCCCAAAUAUCAGCCAAAACUUAGUAGACAUAGUGGCGAACGUUUGGUAAAAAUUUCAGACCAAAAUACUCAAGAAGUAAGGCGUAGUAAGUCCCAGACCGAGAGUGCACAAAACUGGUUUUCCGAAAACAUACGUCCUGGCUUUUCUCCCCCGUAUCUUCUUUUUGUGAUUUGUUUAUGGACGUCCCUCCUUACCUUGGUGCAAACAACAUAUGAAAGUACUUGUCUGAACUUUUUCUGCACAAUAGGACCCAUAAUAAAAUUGCAGAAAGUUGGGCGAGGAUAGCCUUGGUUUGCACAAAAUUUCUGAAAAAAUCUCCCGAAAUAGUUUUUCCUAAAAUUCCACGUAAAAAUCUCCAAAGAAUUUGGGACAAAACGCGACAAAUUUCAGAUGAAACGUAUGAGUAUUCACCCACCAAAAAAAUCAUACAGUUUCACACUGAAACAAACUUUCGUUUCGACCUUGGCUGUGAUGAAUAAAAAAUUUAUUGCCAAUCUUGUGGGACAAAUUUGGGGCUCAAAUCUCAGGCAAAAAACUCAGUAGACACAGUGACGAACGUCUAGUAAAAAUUUCAUACCAAAACACCCAAGGAGUAAGGCGUAGUAUGUCCCAGACCAAGAGUGAACAAAACUGGUUUUCUGAAAACAAAACGUCCUAGCUUUUCUCCUCCCGCAUCUUCUUUUUGUGAUUUUUUUAUGGAUGUGCCUCCUUACCUGGGUGCUAUCAACUUAUGAAACUACUUGUCUGAAUUUUAUAACGCGCAAUAUGGACCCAGAAUAAAAUUCCAGAAAGUAGUGCGAAAUUUGACAAGGUUUGGUAGAGCUCGCCUUGGUUUGCACAAAAUUUCUGAAAAAUUCUCCCGAAAUAGUUUUUUCCUAAAAUUUCACGUAAGAAUCUCCACUAAAUUUGGGAGAAGACGUGACAAUUUUCAGGUCAAACAGAUGGGUAUGAACCCACCAAAAAAAAAUCAAACAGUUUCGCACUGAAACGAACUUUCGUUUCUGCCUUGGCUGUGAUGAAUAAAAAAUUUGUUAACAAUCUUGUGGGACGAAUCUGGGACUCAAAUCUCAUCCAAAACUCAGUAGACCCAGUGAUGAAUGUUUGGUAAAUAUUUUGGAAAAAAAUACCCAAGGAGUAAGGUGUAAUAAGUCCCAGACCGAGAGUGAACAAAACUGGUUCUUCGAAAACAAAACGUCCUGGCUUUUCUCCCCCGUUUUUUCUUUAGGUGAUUUGUUUAUUGACGUGAAUCCUUACCUGGGUGCAAAAAACAUAUAAAAGUACGUGUGUGAAUUUUUUCAGCGCAAUAGGACCCAGAAUUAAAUUGCAGAAAGAAUGGCGAAAUUUCACAAGUUUUGGUAGAGAAUAGCCUCAGUUUGCAGAAAAUUUCUGAAAAAUUCCUCCGAAAUAGUUUUUUCCUGAAAUUCCACGUAACAAUCUCCACUGAAUCUGGGACAAAAUGCGACAAAUUUCAGAUCAAACGGAUGAGUAUUCACCCACGAAAAAUAUCAAACAGUUUCACACACAAACGAACCUUCGUUUCGGCUCUGGCUGUGAUGAAUAAAAAAUUUAUUGCCAAUCUCUUGGAAGGAAUCUGGGGCUCAAAUCUCAUCCAAAACUCAAUAGACACAGUGACGAAUGUCUGGUAAAAAAAUUCAGACAAAAAUACCUAAGGACUAAGGCGUAGUAAGUCCCAGACCGAGAGUGAACAAAACUGGUUUUCCGAAAACAAAACGCCUACCUUUUCUCCCCCGUAUCUUCUUUUUGUUAUUUGUUUAUGGACGGGACUCCUUACCUGGGUGCAAACAAUAUAUGAAAGUACUUGUCUGAACUUUUUCAGCGCAAUAGGACCCAGAAUAAAAUUUCAGAAAGUAGGGCGAAAUUUCACAACUUUUGUAGAGGAUAGCCAGGGUUUGCACAAAAUUUCUAAAAAUUUUCCCGAAAUAGUUUUUUCCUAAAAUUCCACGUAAGAAUCUCCACUGAUUUUUGGACAAAACGCGAUAAAUUUGAGGUCAAACGGAUGAGUAUUCGCCCACACAAAAAAUCAAACAGUUUCACAUUCAAACGAACCUUCGUUUCGGCCUUGGCUGUGAUGAAUAAAAAAUUUAUUGCCAAUCUUGUGAGACGAAUCUGGGGCUCAAAUCUCAGCCAAAACUCAGUAAACACAGUGACGAACGUCUGGUAAAAAUUUCAGACCAAAAUACGCAAGGAGUCAGGCGUAGUAAGUCCCAAACCAAGAGUGAACAAAACGGGUUUUUUGAAAACAGAACAUCUUGGCUCUUCUCCCCCGUAUCUUCUUUUUGUGAUUUUUUUAUGGACGUGCCUCCUUACCUGGGUGCAAAAUUUUUUUAUCGCUAUAGGAAGCAGAAUAAAAUUUCAGAAAGUAGGGCGAAAUUUCACAAGUUUUGGUAGAGGAUAACCUUGGUUUGCACAAAAUUUCUGAAAAAUUCUACCGAAAUAGUUUUUUCCUAAAAUUCCACGUAGGAAUCUCCACUGAAUUUGGAACAAAAAGCAACAAAUUUCAGGUCAAACGGAUGAGUAUUCACCUACGAAAAAUAUCAAAAAUUUUCACAAAAACACAAACCUUCCUUUCGGCCCUAGUAAUGAUGAAUAAAAAAUGUAUUGCUAAUCUUAUGGGACGAAUCUGGGGCUCGAAUCUCAGUCAAAACUCAGUACACACAGUAACGAACCUCUGGUAAAAGUUUCAGACCAAAAUACCCAAGGCGUAAUGCGUAGUAAGUCCAAAACCAAGAGUGAUCAAAACUGGUUUUCCGAAAACAAAAGGUCCUGGCUUUUCUCCCCCGUAUCAUUUUUUGUAAUUUAUUUAUGGACGUGCCUCCUUACUUUGGUGCAAACAACAUAUGAAAGUACUUGUGUGAAAUUUUUCAGCACAAUAUGGACCCAUAAUAAAAUUUCAGAAAGUAGGGCAAAAUUUCACAAGUUUUGGUAGAGGAUAGCCCUGGUUUGCACAAAAUUUAUGAAAAACUAUCCCGAAAUAGUUUCUUUCUGAAAUUCCACAUAAGAGUCUCCACUGAAUUUGGGACAAAAGUCCACAAAUUUCAGGUCAAACGGAUGAGUAUACACCCACGACAAAAAUCAAACAUUUUCACACAAAAACAAAUUAUCCAUUCGACCCUGGCAGUGAUGAAUAAAAAAUUUAUUGGCAAUAUUGUAGGACGAAUCUAGCGCUUAAAUAUCAGCCAAAACUCAGUAGACACAGUGACGAACGUCUAGUAAAAAUUUCAGACCAAAAUACCAAAUGAGUAAGGCGUAGUAAGUCCAGACCAAGAGUGAACAAUACUUGUUUUCCGAAAACAAAACGUCCUGGCUUUUCUCCCCCGUAUCUUGUUUUUGUGAUUUGUUUAUGGACGUGCCUCCUUACCUAGAUGCAAAAAAAAAAAAAUCAAAGUACUUGUCUGAACUUUUUCAGCGCAAUACGGACUUAGAAUAAAAUUUCAGAAAGAAGGACGAAAUUUCACAAGUUUUGGUAGAGGAUAGCCUCGGUUUGCACAAAAUUUCUGAAAAAUUCUCCCGAAAUAGUUUUUUCCUGAAAUUCCACGUAAGAAUCUCCACUGAAUUUGGGACAAAACAUGACAAAUUUCAAGUCAAACAGAUGAGUAUUCACCCACGAAAAAAAUCAAAGAUUUUCACACACAAACGAACCUUCCUGUCGGCCCUGGCAGUGAUGAAUAAAAACUUCAUUGCCAAUUUUGUGGGACAAAUCUGGGGCUCAAAUCUCAGCCAAAACUCAUUAGACACAGUGACGAACGUUAGGUAAAAAUUUCAGACCAAAAUACCCAAGGAAUAAGGCAUAGGAAGUCCCAGACCGAGAGUGAAAAAAACUAGUAUUUCGAAGAAAAAAAAACGUCUUCGCUUUUCUCCCCUGUAUCUUCUUUUUGUGAUUUGUUUAUUGACAUCCCUCCUUAACUGGGUGCAAAAAAUAUAUGAAAGUACUUGUCUGAAUUUUUUUAGCUCAAUACGUACCCAGAAUAAAAGUUGAGAAAGUAGGGCAAAAUUGCAAGAGUUUUGGUAGAGGAUAGCCUUGGUUUGCACAAAAUUUCUGAAAAAAAUCUUACGAAAUAGUUUCUUCCUGAAAUUCCACGUAAGUAUCUCAUCUGAAUUUGGGACAAAACGCGACAAAUUUCAAGUCAAACGGAUGAGUAUUCACCCACGAAAAAAAUCAAACAGUUUCAUACACAAACGAACCUUCCUUUCGGCCUUGGCAGUGAUGAAUGAAAAAUUUAUUUUCAAUCUUGUGGGACGAAUCUGGAGCUCAAAUAUCAGCCAAAACUCAGUAGACACAGUGACGAACGUCAGGUAAAAAUUUCAGAACAAAAUACCCAAGGAAUAAGGCAUAAGAAAUCCCAGACCGAGAGUGAACAAAACUUGUUUUCUGAAAAUAAAACGUCCUGGCUUUUCUCCCCCGUAUCUUGUUUUUGUGAUUUGCUUAUGGACGUGCCUCCUUACCUGGAUGCAAACAAAAUAUGAAAGUACUUGUCUGAAUUUUUUCAGCGCAAUACAGACCAAGAAUAAAAUUUCAUAAAGUAGGGCGACAUUUCACAAGUUUUGGUAGAGGAUAGCCUUGGUUUGCACAAAAUUUCUGAAAAAUUCUCCCGAAAUAGUUUUUUCCUGAAACUCCACGUAAGAAUCUCCACUGAAUUAGGCACAAAACUCGACAAAUUUCAGGUUAAACGGAUGAGUAUUCCCCCACGAAAAUAAUCAAACAGUUUCAUACACAAACGAACCUUCCUUUCGGCCCUAGCAGUGAUGAAUAAAAAAUUUAUUGCCAAUCUUGUGGGACGAAUCUGGGGUCAAAUAUCAACAAAAACUCAGUAGACACAGUGACGAACGUCUGGUAAAAAUUUCAAACCAAAAUACCCAAGGAGUAAGGCGUAGUAAAUCCCAGACCGAUAGUGAACAAAAUUGUUUUUCCGAAAACAAAACGUUCUGGCUUUUCUCCCCGUAUCUUCUUUUUGUGAUUUGUUUAUUGACUUGCCUCCUUACAUGGGUGCAAACAAAAUAUGAAAGUACUUGUCGAAAUUCUUUCUGCACAAUACGGACCCAGAAUAAAAUUUCAAAAAGUAGGGCGAAAUUUCAUAAGUUUUCGUAGAGGAUAAUUUUGGUUUGCACAAAAUUUCUGAAAAAUUCUCUCGAAAUAGUUGCUUCCUGAAAUUCCAUGUAAGAAUCUCCACUGAAUUUGGGACAAAACGCGACAAAUUUCAGGUCAAACAGAUGAGUAUUCACCCACGAAAAAAAUCAAACAGUUUCACACAAAAAGGAACCUUCCUUUCUGCCUUGGCAAUGAUGGAUAAAAAAUUUAUUGUCAAUCUUGUGGGACGAAUCUGGGGCCCAAAUCUCAGCCAAAUCGCAGUAGACACAGUGACAAAUGUCUGGUAAAAUUUUCAGACCAAAAUACACAAGGAGUAACGCGUAGUAAGUCCAAAACCAAGAGUGAACAAAAUUAGUUUUCCGAAAAUAAAAUGUCCUGGCUUUUCUCCUCCGUAUCUUCUUUUUGUGAUUUGUUUAUGGGUGUGCCUCCUUACUUGGGUGCAAACAAAAUAUGGAAGUACUUUUCUGAAUUUUUUCAACGCAAUAAGGACCCAGAAUAAAAUUUCAGAAAGUAGGGCGAAAUUUCAAAGUUUUGGUAGAAGAUAGAGAGCCUUAGUUUGCACAAAAUUUCUGAAAAAAUCUCCCGAAAUACUUGUCUGAAAUUCCACGUAAGAAUCUCCACUGAAUUUGGGACAAAAUACGACAAAUUUCAAGUCAAACGGAUGAGUAUUCUUCCAUGAAAAAAAUCAAACAGUUUCAUACACAAACGAACCUUCCUUUCGGCCCUGACAGUGAUGAAUGAAAAAUUUAUUGCCAAUACUGUGGGACGAAUCUGGGGUCAAAUCUCAACCAAAACUCAGUAGACCCAGUGACGAACUUCUGGUAAAAAUUUCAGACCAAACUACCCAAGGAGUAAGGCAUAGUAAAUCCCAGACCGAGAGUGAACAAAACUGGUUUUCCGAAAACAAAACGUUCUGCAUUUCUCCCCCGUAUCUUCUUUUUGUGAUUUGUUUAUGAACUUGCCUCCUUACCUAGGUGCAAACAACAUAUGAUAGUACUUGUCUGAAUUUUUUCCACGCAAUACGGACCAAAAAUAAAAUUUCAGAAAGUAAGGCGAAAUUUCACAAGUUUUGGUAGAGGAUAGCCUUGGUUUGCACAAAAUUUCUGAAAAAUUCUCCCGAAAUAGUUUCUUACUGAAAUUCCACGUAAUAAUGUCCACUAACUCUGGGACAAAACGCAACAAAUUGCAGAUCAAAUGGAUGAGUAUUUACCCACGAAAAAAAUCAAACAGUUUCACACACAAACGAACCUUCCUUUCGGUCCUGGAAGUGAUGAAUGAAAAAUUUAUUUCCAAUCAUGCGGGACGAAUCUGGGUCUCAAAACUCAGCCAAAACUCAGCAGACAUAGUGUAGAACAUCUGGGAAAAAUUUCAGACCAAAAUAACCAUGGAGUAAGUCGUAAUAAGUCCCAGACCGAGAGUGAACAAAACUGGUUUUCCGAAAACAAAACGUCCUGGCUUUUCUCCCCGUAUCUUCUUUUUGUGAUAUUUUUAUGGACGUGCCUCCUUAGCUAGGUGCACACAACAUAUGAAAGUACUUGUCUGAAUAUUUUCAGCGCAAUACGGACCUGGAAUAGAAUUUCAGAAAGAAGGGCGAAAUAGCACAAGUUUUGGUAGAGGAUAGCCUUGGUUUGCACAGAGUUUCUAAAAAAUUCUCCCGAAAUAGUUUUUUCUUGAAAUUCCACGUAAGAAUCUCCACUGAAUUUGGAACAAAACGCAAAAAAUUUCAGGUCAAACGGAUGAGUAUUCACCUACGAAAAAUAUCAAACAUUUUCACACAAAAAACUAACCUUCCUUUCGGCUCUGACAGUUUUGAAUAAAAAAUGUAUUGUUAAUCUUAUGUGACAAAUCUAGGACUCAAAUCUCAGCCAAAACUCAGUACACAAAGUGACGAACCUCUGGUAAAAUUUUUAGACCAAAAUACCCAAGGCAUAACACGUAGUAAGUCCAAGACCGAGAGUGAACAAAACUUGUUUUACGAAAACAAAACGUCCUGGCUUUUCUCCCCCGUAUCUUCAUUUUGUGAUUUGUUUAUGGACGUGCCUCCUUACCUAGAUGCAAACAAAAUAUGAGAGUACUUGUCUGAACUUUUUCAGCACAAUAGGCCCCGGAAUAAAAUUUCAGAAAGUAGGGCGAAAUUUCACAAGUUUUGGUAGAGGAUAGCCUGGGUUUGCACAAAAUUUUUAAAAAAAAUUCCCGAAAUAUUUUUUUCCUAAAAUUCCACGUAAGAAUCUCCACUGAUUUUUGGACAACACGCUAUAAAUUUGAGGUCAAACGGAUGAGUAUUCGCCCACCAAAAAAAUCAAACAGUUUCACACUGAAACGAAUCUUCGUUUCGGCCUUGGCUGUGAUGAAUAAAAAAUUUAUUGUCAAUCUUGUGGGACGAAUCUGGGGCUCAAAUCUCAGCCAAAACCUAGUAGACACAGUGACGAACGUCUGGUAAAAAUUUCAUACUAAAAUAUCCAAGGAGUAAGGCGUAGUAAGUUUCAGACCAAGAGUGAACAAAACUGGUUUUUUGAAAAUAAAACGUCCUGGAUCUUCUCCCCUGUAUCUUCUUUUUGUGAUUUGUUUAUGGACGUGCCUCCUUCCUCGGGUGCAAACAAAAUAUGAAAGUACUUGUCUGGAUUUUUUCAGUGCAAUACGGACCCAGAAUAAAAUUUCAUAAAGUAGGGCGAAAUGUCACAAGUUUUGGUAGAGGAUAGCCUUGGUUUGCACAAAAUUUCUGAAAAAAUCUCCCGAAAUAGUUUCUUCCUGAAAUUCCACGGAAGAAUCUCCAUUGAAUUUAGGACAAAACGCGACAAACUUCUUUUUGUGAUUUGUUUAUGGACUUGCCUCCUUACCUAUGUGCAAACAACAUAUCAAGUACUUGUCUGGAUUUUUUCAGCGCAAUACGGACCCAAAAUAAAUAUUCAAAAAGUAGGGCGAAAUUUCAAAAGUUUUGGUAGAGGAUAACCUCUGGUUGCACAAAACUUCUGAAAAAUUCUCCGGAAAUAUUUGUUUCUUGAAAUUCCUCGUAAGACUCUACUCUAAAUUUGGGACAAAACGCGACAAAUUUCAGGUCAAAGGGAUGAGUAUUCACCUACGAAAAAAAUCAAACAGUUUCACACACAAACGAACCUUCGUUUCAGCCCUAACAAUGAUGAAUAAAAAAAUGUAUUGUUAAUCAUGUGGGACGAAUCUAGAGCUCAAAUCUCAGCCAAAACUUAGUAGAUACAGUGACGAGCCUCUGGUAAAAAUUUUAGACCAAAAUAUCCAAGGGGUAAGGCGUAGUAAGUCCCAGAGCGAGAGUGAACAAACCUGGUUUUCUGAAAACAAAAGGUCCUGGCUUUUCUCCCUCAUAUCUUCUUUUUGUGAUUUGUUUAUGGACGUGCCUCCUUACCUAGGUGCAAACAACAUAUGAAAGUACUUGUGUGAAUUUUUUCAGCACAAUAUGGACCCAUAAUAAAAUUUCAGAAAGUAGGACGAAAUUUCACAAGUUUUGGUAGUGGAUAGCCUUGGUUUGCACAAAAUUUAUGAAAAAUUCUCCCGAAAUAGUUUCUUCCUGAAAUUCCACGUAAGAGUCUCCACUGAAUUUGGGACAAAACUCGACAAAUUUCAGGUCAAACGGAUGAGUAUACACCCACGAAAAAAAAUCAAACAGUUUCACACACAAACGAACCUUCCUUUCGGCCCUGGCAGUAAUGAAUAAAAAAAUUAUUGCCAAUCUUGUGGGACGAAUCUGGGGCUCAAAUCUCAGCCAAAACUUAGUAGACACAGUGACGAACGUCUGGUAAAAAUUUCAUACCAAAAUACCCAAGGAGUAAGGCUUAGUAAGUCCCAGACCGAGAGUGAACAAAACUAGUUUUCAGAAAACAAAAUGUCAUGGCUUUUCUCCCCCGUAUCUUCUUUUUGUGAUUUGUUUAUGGACGUGCCUCCUUACCUGGGUGCAAACAACAUAUGAAAGUACUUGUCUGAAUUUUUUCAGCGCAAUACGGACCCAUAAUAAAAUUUCAGAAAGUAGGGCGAAAUUUCACAAGUUUUGGUAAAGGAUACUACGAAAGAAUGCUUUAAUUACAAGAUCUAAUAGAAGAACUUAUCCAAUUAGAUGCUUUUGGCCACUUCGUACAACAGGCAUGACUCGAUUUUGGAGGACACUCCCCAAACAUCUAUGGAAGAAACACCUUUCUUUUUUACUCAAGGUGCAAACUAUAUGGUUUUGAACAUGAUGAAGUACUCUUUUUUCUUACCUCAAUUUUUUUUAUCUCUAAGGAGGGUAAGGUUUUAAUGAGGCUUGUACCGAUCAGUCCUCGGGCGUCGUUGACCACUAGUGGUGAAAACGCCACGUAAGCUGGGUCCCACGAGCGGCGUGGGUCAGUGUCUCGCGAGGCGCCUGCGACAAGGUACCGAAGAGUGGUAAGACAUCGGUCAUUAGGAUGUAUCGAUGUAUCACUAGGCAGUGUAGAGAGGUCGGACAUUAGUGACUCGGACAGCAAAGCUAGGCCACGAGAGGUGGAUCCCAGACCACACACCGGUUAUCAGUUAGGGAGAAGCCUAGGUCACGAGAGCCCAUGCGUAUGGUGUGGAUGACGCGUUCAGGCGUUACACAAGUAUAGAGCCACUGGAAAAGGUACGACUUGUGAGGGUCACGUUCCAGAGGUGAGCUGCAUGCGUGGCUUGUGAACAACUAGGACGCUCCCAAGACGAGUGACCCUAGAGAUCAGGUGUGCGAGGAGGCAUCCAAGUGGUCAUCCCGUCAGAGGUUUGCACUCCAGUUAGGGAACCCCAAGCGCUAGGUUAUCCUAAGAGUGGGUAACAGCGACGCUGGGGCCCACCCUCUCAGGAAGCCUAUUUUGGGUAAUGGAAACAGUGGAAACCCUAGGCUAUAUAAAGGGAAGUAACAAACUUAGUAAGGUACGCUAUUCAUUUGCGUCGUUGAACACACACAGUUACACAGAGCUUAACGUUUAAUAGUUUUGGUGUUUCCUAGCCCUAAGAUUGACUUGAGCGUCGGAAUGCAAACAGCCUUUAGGGUGCCCUUUGUCUUUGUGUUUUUAGGCAUUCAAAUGAGAAGGAAAACACGAGUAAGCGUAGGGAUUAUGGGCGUGAGAUUGACGUAGACGCACGAAAAUAUCGGUAGGAACAUUUGGCACCCACCAUAGGCCUCGAUCUAAAACACUGUCCCACCAGCAAGAACUAGAGAGAUCCAAAAGAUGAGAAAUACGAGGCAAGGACCUAUUGCACCAAACGGGGGGAAAGCCUCACCCUGCAACAUGUUAUGAAAACGAUGCAGGCCCUUCAAGAAGAAGUGGAUGCGUUAAGAGCGAAUCAAGAACGCAUCCAGGCUUAUUUGGCUUCAUCGCGGGCGAAAAAUGAAGAACUGCGUCGAUCGAAUGAAGAAUUGCGCAGAGAUCUGCAUAAUCAAGCAGGCGAACGUGAGGAGGAAGAUCAAGAACCUACGACGUCGCCCAGGGAGUUCCCAAUGUCGUUCUCGCAAGAGAUCAUCGAUGUCGUGAUACCAGCCACGUUCGUAGGGCCUAGAGUUACCUUCAUUGGUAUGGAGGACCCAGAGGCCCAUCUCACGGCUUUCCAUACACAGAUGAUGCUAGUUGGGGGCUCUGACGCCGUGCGAUGUAACUUGUUCGUGAGCACCCUGGUGGGAACAACGAUGGAUUGGUUCAUCAGCCUCCCUAAUGGCCACGUGACGUCGUUCCCACAACUCACUAAGUUGUUCAGAGCACAGUACAUCACGAACCCCCCCCCCCCACCUAUCUCUUAUGAUCUUUUUGACAUAAGAAAAUAUCAGAGAGAGUCCCUGAAGGAGUUCCUUCACCAUUUCGGAGCACAGGAGGUGAGGUUGAACACCAAGGACGAAACGAUGAUGGUGCACGCGUUUAGAAAGGGCAUUGUGCCAGGACCUUUCGGUGAAUUGCUCAUCAGCAACCGCCCCAAGACUUUCACCGAGAUAAUGCACCGCGCGGUGGCUCAUAUUGCGGCUGAAGGGAAAGUUAACGAGAAGCACAUGUGUGUGGUACCCACGCGCCCCGCGUGCAUCAGGUCGACCUCAACCCCUAAGGGUGCAUGAGGCGACGAUAGAGAAGAAAGUCCUCGUGAAGCAGCAACUCUACCAACUAAGAAAGCCUCAAACCAGGGGGCGCGAGAGAGAGAACGUGUCGUCGAGGCCAACUUUGUGGUAGAAUGGAAGGAUCUUAUCGCUAUCCCCAACAUAAUGGAGAGGCUAAAGAUACCCCCCAUGACCGACAAGAAGCUCGGGCCCAACAAGAACGCCUGGUGUGAGUUCCACCAAGCGUUCUGCCACCCCAUAUGCAACUGUCUAGCGCUGGGACACCAGCUAGAUGAGUUGGUGAAGAACAGUUUCCUGAGAGAUUACUUGUAGGAAAAGUAGGGUGUCGAGGACGUGGCGGUGACAGGGGGUGAGCGGGGGCAUGGAAUUCCCGUACAUGGUGAGAUCCACACCAUUGCGGGAGGGUUCUCAGGAGGAGGUUGCAUCGCUUCCUAGUGAAAGAAGUAUGCGCGGGCGAUGAUGUCAGUAGAAGCACAAAGGGCAAACGAUGCCUUUGACGUCGACCUUGUCUUCACCAAAGCAGACCUUCAAGACGUCGUUUCCCAUGACAACGACCUGGUGGUGAUCUCAGUAGUAAGUGCACCGGGUACGGAUAGAUCAAGGAAGCUCGACAGACGUGAUGUUUUGGACGACUUUUAACAAGAUGCAGUUGUCCCCUGACAUGUUAAGGCCCUAUAUUGGCUGCCUGUACGGUUUCGCGGGAGACCAAGUGGAGGUGCGUGGGCACAUGGAGCUGAGCACCACCAUCACGGAUGGUACCGCGUCCCAUACGAAGAACAUCAGGUAUCUUGUCGUCAAUGCCCCUAUAACAUGUUGCUGGGUAGACCUACGCUGAACAGGCUAGGGGCGGUGUAGUCGACGAGGCACAUGAAGAUGAAGCUACCUGACUUGGCGGGAAAGGUGAUUACCAUCAAGUUAGACCAGAAGAAGGCCAAGAGGUGUUAAGAGAACAACCUCAAAACAAAGAGAGGUGUAUUCAAGGUCACUACACGUGCACCGCACUCAGGAGAGGUCGCUCAGCCUGAUAUCAAUCGCAGGGACCGCUCAGGAAAGGCGACCUGAGCCGAUCGGCGAUGCAAGGGAAAGAGAGAUUGGAGGAAGGGUCUUCAAGCUUGGCAGUGCUCUCGACCAAACAGCGCAGGAUCAAAUUGCCAAGGUUCGACCUAUCCACCGACGAGUGAAAGAACGACACUUUGUUGACUUAGAAUAGUUAUUCACGACAAUAGCUGAGUCCAGAUUGAAGCUGAACCCCGAGAAGUGCGUGUUCGGAAUAGAAGCUAGGAAGUUUAUGGGUUUCUUGCUCACCGAGCGUGGGAUAGAAGCAAACCCAGAAAGGUGCGCGGUGACGAGGUGCAUGGCUGCCCUGUCCAGAUCCGUGUCAACUAGAGGAGAUAAGGGCCACCCUUACCGCCAGUGCCUAAGAAGGAACAACCGGUUUGUACGGGCCCAGUGUAAAGAGGCGUUCAUCAGGCUGAAGGAGUACCUAGCAAGCCCUUUGAUCCUGUGCAAACUGCAGCCAAGCACACCACCUAGCCUCUAUUUUAUGGAGACCGACCAGGCGAUCAGUACAGUCCUUGUUCAGGAACAGGACUAGUUUCAGAAACUCAUAUGUUUCGCGAGUAAAGUAUGGCCAAAACCUGAGGUAAGAUACCAGGUAUUGGAGAAGGCGACCCUGGCGGUCCCAUGUCAGCUGAGGAGCAAGCUCAGAGUGAUAGAGGUCCUUGGGGACGGAGCAUACAGACUUGAGACGCUGGAAGGAGACGCGAUUCCUCGCACAUGGAAUGCGGUCGACCUCAAGUUUUAUUCCAGUUAAACAAUAACAUUGUACAUCGUAUUAGGGGACGCUCUUUUUCCCUUAUAAGGAUUUUUUGACGAGGUCACCCAAUAAAUUUCGGUCAAAUAUUUUCUCGAGUUUUGUACAAUUCAGUUAAGAACUUGUUUUCCUUGGGUUAGAAGUCUCGAGAGUGGUAAAGGUAGGUUCGUAGAGAACACUUCCCCCCUCGAGUGAGAAUGCUAAGGUUGAAAAUAGUUCACCAGAUAAAUCCUCCUCGCACUUGAAAGAAACUGAGGUCAGUUAAGAACUUGUUUUCCUUGGGUUAGAAGUCUCAAGAGUGGUAAAGGUAGGUUCGUAGAGAACACCUCCCCCCUCAAGUGAGAACGCCAAGGUUGAACGAAAUAGUUCACUAGAUAAAUCCUCAUCGCCCUUGAGCGAAACUAAGGUUAGUUAAGAACUUGUUUUCCUUGCGUUAGAGGUCUAGAGAGAAGAAAUGCAGGUUCGUAGAAAACGCCUUCCCCCUCGAGUGAGAACAUCAAGGUUGAACAAAAUAGUUCACCAGAUAAAUUAUCUUCGCCUUUGAGCGAGAAUGAGGUCAAUUGUUAGUUGUCCCUUGGGUUAAAAUUCUCGAGAGUGGUAAAGGUAGGUUCGCAGAGAACACCUCCCUCCCUCGAGUGGCUGAACAGCCCAGUUCACAGUUAAGCCCUCCUUUAGCUUAAUACAGCAAGGGCGGGGUCAACACAAGUUAACAGUCGAGUAAGAUAGAAGAGCGGUUCUCAGUCACACAGAGCCACGUAGGACGCCAAUGGCAAGGACUUAAUCUCUUCGCUGAACAAGUUACAGCUCGAGACUAGGGGGCUUGUGUACCGACCAGUCCUCGGGCGUCAUUGACCACUAGUGGUGAAGGGGCCAUGUAAGUUGGGUCCCACGAGCGGCGUGGGUCAGUGUCUCGCGAGGCGCCUGGGCCAAGGUACCGAAGAGUGGUCAGACAUCGGUCACCAGGAUGUAUCGAUGUGUCACUAGGCAGUGUAGAGAGGUCGGACAUCGUUGACUCGAACAGCAGAGCUGGGUCACGAGAGGUGGAUCCCAAACCACACACCGACUAUCAGUUAGGGAGAAGCCUAGGUCACGAGAGCCCAUGCGUGUGGUGUGGAUGACGCGUUCAGACGUAACACAAGUAUAGAGCCACUAGAAAAGGUACGACCUAUGAGGGUCACGUUCCAGGGGUGAGCUUCAUGCGUGGCAUGUGAACAGCUAGGGCGCUCCCAGGACGGGUGACCCUAGAGAUCAGGUGCGCGAGGAGGCAUCCAUGUGGUCAUCCCGUCAGAGGUUUGCACUCCAGUUAGGGAACCUCACGUACUAGGUUUUCCUAAGAGUGGGUAACAGAGGCGCUGGGGCCCACCCCCUCAGGAAGCCUAUUUUGAGCGUCGGAGUGCAAAUGGCCUCUAGGGCGCCCUUUGUCUUUGUGUUUUCAGGCAUUCAAACAAGAAGGAAAACACGAGUAAGCGGAGGGAUUCUGGGCGUGAGAUUGACGUAGACGCACGAAAACAUUCUUGGUCAACCGGUAGGAACAAGGCUUAUUCCUUUAAAGUAAAGUUCAUUUCCUUUUUACACAUAAAAGUUUAUAAUGAUACUGUUAUUCGAGUUUAAACGAACAUAAAAAAAACUUUAUCAAACUUGAACCAAACGGUCAAGUCACAAUCCGAAUUCAAACGAUUAUGAGAAAUAUUCAUUACUCAAAAUCACAAUAAAGGGUUGACCUAUGCUAAAUCCAAACAGGUCCAAACUAAUCUCGUUCAUCCUUCAAAUUUAUCUACCUAUACAUCUUCUCGAAUUCUGAGCUAGGGGGCUUUCUGUACAUACCUCCAAUUACGACCGUGUACAUUCAGACAAUAACUGUUUGUUUAAUAUUAUAUUUAAGACACAUAAAUUCGACCAUAAACCGGUUAUAAGUUAUUAGCAGUUAUAAAUUACUGUUAUAAAAUCCAUUUAUAUCUCAUUAUAACUAUUCAAUGCUUUGUGGAGAUGGACCUCCUCCUUUCAUUGGAGACGAACUAAAAAUUUGUUUUCCUAAGAAACAUGCAGUAUUCACCGAGUUACUCCAAGUUCAUUUUCGGUAGAAACAAAUUGUAAAUUGAAAAAGAACUAUUACUUUAUUAAAUAUAUUGAUAUGAUUUAUAAUUUUUUGGGUAUUUGAAAUUAAACCAAAAAAAAAUCGAUUAUUGAUAUGACUUGAUCACUAGGUUUUUUUAAAUUAUUAAUGUAAUACUUAUAUGAUGCGAUUGUUUGAAUUAUUAGAUUGAGUCCCAUUAUUUGUCACAGGUAAAACAUAGUACGGAUUUGAAUAUCUCAGAAUAAGAUAAAUAUACUUUAGAAUAAAAACACGAAAAUCAAUCAAAUAAUAGCAAAAAUAAUAUUCAAAAGAAUUAAUAAGUAUGUUGUUCCAUUAAAAAUGUAUGAUUUAUUUAUUUAUAUAAUAUAAUAUAACUACGAGCUUAUAAUAGAUAAUAAUAGGAUAUUAGUGUAUAAAUAGACUUUGAUAAAAAACUGGCUCAUGUAUUUCGGUGGAGAAUAGGAAAAUUUAGCAAGAAACCUUGCACGGGUCAUCAUUGGGAAGAGAUAGAAGCCGGUUGAUUUAUAUACUGAGAAACUUUCACAUUACAAUCACGAAACUAAACACAUAAAUCUGGAGCAUCAAGAUUGUAUUAGUUCUUGAAAUCUAAUUGUUUAACAAGCAUUUGGUGAGCAUAAUUGGGUUACUUCAACGUGGCUUUGGGUCGACAAUCUCGGAAAACAACUCAAGCAUCAACUUAUCAUUGUCCUUGGAAUUAUUGUGGUGCUCUUCUGUAUCAAUCACAUCUUCACGAACUCCCUCUUCGCUUUCGUCGGCACUCUCUUGCAGUUUCAAUGCAGACUCCAGCAUCAAAACGACAUCGUUCAUGGACGGCCUCUGCAUCCCUUCUUGUGACAAACAACUGAUUCCAAUCUCGCAAAACAUGGCGAAACACUGGGGAGCGAUCUUCCCCUUUAAUAUGGGAUCCACAAUCUCCGCCACUGUCCCGUUUUGGUAGCAAUAUCUGGCCCAACUAGCUAGUGACACCUGUUCGGUUUCUUCCGUAUGGAUCAGAGGAGAACGGGCACAGAGUACCUCAAACAACACCACCCCAAAAGAGUACACAUCAGACUUCUCCGUCAGCCGCUGCCGAAUAAAAUACUCCGGAUCCAAAUACCCAAAGCUGCCUUUCACGGCGGUGCUCACAUGGGCCUUCGACAUCUCAUUUGGCCCUAUUUUGGAUAGCCCGAAGUCCGAAACUUUCGCCACCCACCUCUCGUCCAGCAAGAUGUUCGUCGUUUUCACGUCCCGAUGGAUGAUCAUGUGCUUCGCGCCACUGUGAAGAUAGCGUAGACCGCGCGCGGCGCCAAUGCAAAUCUUCAAGCGCUGCCUCCACGAGAGGGAGGGAUUGUCGGUGCCGUAGAGAUGGUCGCGAAGGUUUCCACGUCCCAUAUAGUCGUAAACCAGGAUCAUCUCUUUCUUAUCGCAGCAGUAACCGAUGAGUGAUACCAGAUGGCGGUGGCGGAGCUGUGAAAGCAUCUGGAUCUCGUUCAAGAACUCGCAAGCCCCCUGCUGGGAACCCUGUCUAAGGCGCUUGAUUGCGACGGGGAUUGAACCGUCUUUGAUGAAGCCCUUGUACACGUGGCCAAAUCCCCCGUCGCCGACGAUGAAGGCGCUGUCGAAGAUUUUGGUGGCGGCUUUGAUCUCGACGAUGGUAAACCGACGGCAUUGAUCAGAUGGCAGAGAAAAAUUGUGGUCGUUGGUUGACUUCGUUAAGAACAACAGUGGAGUCCACUUGGAAGUGGUGGAGAACAGGACAAAGAAAACGACAAGCGAGAUGAAAACAACACCGGAUACUACCCCCGCCGUGAUACCAAUCAUCCGCCUUCUGUUAUUAAUCGGGUCCGGUCCGGCGUGGCUGUUAGACUGAACCGGGUCUGGGUUGCGUCCGGCUAGGUUGUUUGAUUCGGCUUCGCUGAUUUUAAAGAUCUCGAGACCGUUCAGGAAGGGGUCGCUGUAUCUCGUAUCCACACCGCUUUCGUAAGGGUGCAUUUGAAGCGAGAGAUUAAACCUUUUCUGAUUACCAUUCUUGGGAAUCAUAACGGCGUAGUUUUUGUGCACAGCUAGGCCUUUUUGUUUCUUACUCCAUUUCAUUACAUCUGCACGUUCUUCAGCCAACUGGCUAUUUAUGUAAAUGAAGAAUUGUCUGUCAGCGAUGUCAUUGAUAAGAGGAUCAAGCUCGCAAAAGUGGAGCCUGAGAACGUAAGUGAAGCCACAAUCAACGGGGAACACCCAAGUGAGGUAGCUGAUUUUGUUCAGAGUGCCGUUUGUGCCCUGGCUACGCGCUGUUCUGAACAGUUCCUUCGGUGCCACGUAAUCAGGAUUCACGGUUAUGUUCAUCUCCCCAUCGAUGUCAGCUUGUAGGUCAUUAUUCUUUGGAUUUUGUUUAAUAAAAUAAGGUAGUUCGUCAGCCCAAUCCCUAAACAAACCGGUGUCGUUUUGUGGCGGGAUUUCUUGGCCUCCAGAGUUGAUUCUAUACUCAGUCUGGAGCGCAUCGCUGGUUCCAACGCUUAAUAGCGUACCAUGUCCCACUAGCGUGAAUCCUAUAUCAUUUCGUUGAGUAUAAUAUAAAUCCGUUGGCAUGGAAAGCACCUCAAUUCCGUUGAUGAAAGCGUAGGAGUUUGGAUCGGAUGGAGUGAAGGUGACGAUAAGCCUCUCACCGUGGUUGACGUUGACCACGUAUUCUCGGAAGAUAGUCUGAGUGGCUUGAGCGUCGGCGUGAAGAGAGGCGUUGAAAGCGUUGAGGAGAGUGAAUUGGUUGGAUUGAUGGGUGAAAGAAGCUUGGUUGCGGGGAAAGGAAGGGUAGUCGGAAGGGUAGAAGAAGAGGCGAAUGAAUUUGGGGCCUGGGGAGACGGGGAAGGAGUAGUUGAAUUGGGAACGGGACAAGCGUGCACUGGAGUAGGGGAUUUGAUUGGUGGAAGGAGACUGUGUUGUUGCCUUCUCUGAAACGGAGCCGUCUUUGAAAGAUAAGUACUUUGUGUCUUCGUCGCCGAUCCACCUUCUUUGACCGUCGAAGGAUAUCCCGGUGGAGCCGCAACUGAUGGUGAAAAUAUCCUCCGGGGUGUAGGCCUGGAGAUGUACGGAGAAGUGUAGAAGGAAGAAGAAGAGUGUCAAGGAGGUGAUGAAGGUGAUAGCCAUUGUUUCUGGUGGGAGGGAACAGAAGUGAAUGAAGUCGCGAAAGACUUAUCAUGAGUGUUAGGUUAGAAUUACAUGGAAGGCAUGGAGAAAAGAACAUGCAGCGUUGUUUGUUAGCGAAAGCUCACUGCCUGUCUAUUUAGUUGACGGUUUCUUCUUCAGUAUAGAACAAAAAAAUAUACAGAUAACAUUAAUUUUAUAAAUUUUAAUUUUUCAUUAAAUUUAAUUAUAUUUUACCACUCUUAUAAAAUUAAAAUUUUGAAUACUGAUAAAAUGAAUGAUAUAAGUGGUAAGAUGGUAAAUUUAUAACAUUCUUAUUCAAUUUUGAGCUCCUUAUACUUCACACACAUGACUAUUUUCUUAACCUAAAUAUUAUCCUCCAUCGAAUUUAAAUUAGUGUGAAUAAAUAAUUAUCGUUUCUUUCAACGUUUUUUGUUUUUUUUUUUCAGGUCAGGUGCUUUUUUUUAUAUCAAAUAUUUAUUUUUUUAUUUAUAUUUUUCAUUUUUUUUGUUAAAUUUAAUUUGUAUCUUCAUUUAACUUAUAUUUUGAAUAUUCAUAUAAUACUAAAUUCAAUAUUCUCUCUUUUAGAUAAUCAAGUUUCAAGAUAAUUAUUAAUCGUAAUUUAAAUUUUGAAUUUUAACAACCCAUGUUAUAAAAAUAUUAUGUCUUUAAAUUUUAUUAGUUAAAUUUAAUUUUUAUCUUCAUUUACUUAUAUUUUUAAUAUUGAUAUAAUACUUGAUUAAAGAUACGGUCCCAUGUUAUAAAAAUAUUGUGUCUUAAAUCUUAAUUUAAUCAAGCAAUUUUGAUAACCUCUUCCUAGACAUAAAAAUACUAUACUUUUAAUCUAUUUAUAUUUAAUACAAAAAUAUAUUUAUUAUCAAGAAAAGCAUAGAUGUUAGAGUUAAGCAUGGACUAAUAAAAUUAUUUUUUAAUUUAUUAAUUAGAAAUAUUAGUACAGAUUGGGCCAACGCAUAUUUUUUUAAUUUUUUUUACAAACUUAUGAAGUUUUAUUUCGUAAAUGUGUUGGUUAUGACGAUACAUACGUGUGUUAACUUUAAAAAAAAUUUGACGAUAUCUUUUAAAUUUUUUUUAGAGGAUAUCAUUCAAUUCUUUGUUAAUGAUAAGUAAAUGUAAUUAAAAUAGUUUAAUUGUUAAGCUGGUUAUAAAUGUUAAAAGUGAAUUGGAGUAUUAUUCUUUUGAUUAAUAUUUGAUAUAAUUAAAGAAGAAUUCCUAAUAUUAAAAUUAUUAAAAAUAAAAAUUUGAAAAGAUUAAGAAAGAAAUGAAAUACAAAGAUACAAACUGUUGAGUAAAUAAAAUAAUAGGUAGAAGAAGUACUUAAAAAUAAAUAAAAAUGAUUGAGGAAAGAGAAUCUUAUAAAAUUUGUAAUAUCAUAAAAUUUAAAUAAAAAUGUUUUUAUAAGCAUAAAAAUAAAUAAUUAUGACUUUGGAAAUUUUAUAUAAAAUACUAACACAUUUUAGAUAGACUAAUUUUACAUUUAUUCUUUUAUGUGAAUUAAUAAUUUUGAAAAUUAAAAAAUAAGAACCAAAUUGAAGUUUUAAUAUUUGAAAACAAACCUAGAAAAAAAAUUGAAGAUAAAACUUUGUUUUCCUAACAUUGUUUAAUAUGAAGGAUGUAACUAAAUUGAAAAUGAAUAUUGAAAAUUGACAUUUUAAUUUAUCGUAUUGUUAUAAACUUUUAAAUUUUGUUAACUUAAUUUGUUUAAUUUUUUUAUAUAAUAGUGAGUUAUUUCACAAUUUUUUUUAUAUAAAUAAAUGAAUUUGCGUUUUAGAAAUUCACUCCAUCCUUACUAAUAAGUAUCAUUAUUUAUUAAAUUUACAUGACAAAAGUUGGUCACUUUUGGUCUUAAUGGCUGUUUAAAAUUGAAAUCAUCCCUAAUUUGAGAAUUACUAAAUUUAAAUAUAUGUUUGAGUCAUAAAAAAAAUAAGAUAUUUAAUAUUAUUUUUGUAUAAAUUUUAGGUAAUUAAGAAAAGAGAAAGAAAGGGAUUGGAAGAUGCAUGAAAGAAAUCAUAAGAAGAUAGAAAAUAGGAGUUUUGAUGUUUUGAACUCCUCAAGUUAGAAUUCACUCAAGUAAGAAUGUCUUGCUUAGGUGAGAAUUAUGCAAAGGCAGAGAAGUAUUGCUAGAUCACUGGAAAGGAUACGACCUGUGAGGGUCACGUUCCAACGGUGAACUGCAUGCAUGGCACGUGAACAAUUAGGGCGCUCCCAAGACGGGUGACCAUAAAGAUCAGGUGCACGAGGAGGCAUCCAGGUGGUCAUCCUGUCAGAGGUUGCACUCCAAUUAGGGAACCCCACGCGCUAGGUUAUCCUAAGGUGGGUAGUUGCGGCGCUGGGGCCCACCCCCUCAGGAAGCCUAUUUCGGGUAAUGGAAAUAGUGGAAACCCUAGUUUUCAGUCUAUAUAAAGGGAAGUAACAAACUUGGCAAGGAACGCUAUUCAUAUGCGCCGCUUAACACACACAGUUACAGUUUUAUGUAAAGAGUUUUGGUGUUCCCUAGCCCUAAGAUUGACUUGAGCGUCAAAGUGCAAACGACCUCUAGGGCGCCCUUUGUCUUUGUGUUUUCAAGCAUUCAACCAAAGGGAAAGCACGUGCGAGCGCAGGGAUUUUGGAUGUGAGAGUGACAUAGACGCAUUUGGUCAACCGGAAGGUGUUGAAGCUGGAGGAAGCUUCUUCCCUACCAAGACUUGAUAUGUGUUUGAUGAAGAAAAUGGCUUGAGUGCUUUGAAAAUUGUAAUAGGUUUUUAGAUUCAUUUGUAAUUAGGCUUGUAAGUGUGUAUGAUUGCCUUUUGCUGUAUAACCUAUCCUAGAUGCCUAACCAAGUCUAGAUCAAGCACAUGAUGUGGUUAAAUGGUUUUUGAAAAGCUUUUUAAAAUGAUUUUAAAAGUUUUAAAUCAGUACACAAAUAAAUCUGUUUUAUGGAGAAAGAAUCUGUUUAUUUCUUCUCUGUUAAAAGGCUUUUCUAAAUUUAUGUUAGGGCACCACAGGCAAAGCUUAGAUCAUUAUUUCAGUUAAAGCUGAGCUGGCCUAUUUGCUCUCAUUUAAUCUGUUUCAUUGUGAAAGAAUCGGUUUGCCCUUCUGGUCAGUUAAAAGGUUUUUCACAAGUUAGUUAGGGCACCAAAGGUACAACUCAGACAGUUAUUUCAGUUAGCUGAGUUGGCGGUUUUCACAAAAAUAAAUCUGUUAAGUUCAAAAAUGAAUUUGUUGUUUUCAUAACUGCUUUUCAACUGAUUUUUGAAAACAAGUUAGAAACUGCUUUUCUAUAUAAAGAAAAGUCUCUCUCACAUGAGAGUGAGCUGAGCAAUUACGUUUUUUACAGAGAUCAAACAUUUUCCAUGUGAGAAGAAGGAUGGAAAGAUUUUUGAAAGGUUUUCCAAAGAGAUUUUCAAGUGUGCUUGUUCUAGGAAACCUUUGAUCUUGGUGAAGGUGCUGGUGCAGUUCUGCAGCAAAUUGAACUACUGGUUUUGAGUUCUUGCAUCUUCUUUUCAGGUGUAAUCUUUCCUUUAUUCUGUUUUGUAAAGGUGUAAGUGUUAGUCACUCCUUGAUAGGGUUUCUUGGAGUGCAAGGUGUGCUGAAAUAGGGUUUUUCAGCAUUGUUGGUGUUGUUCUUGUAGUGUUCAAGAACUGCUAAGUUUGUAAGUAAUUGGUACUGUUUUUAGUGGAUUCCACCUUGGGGUAAGGUGAGACUGGAUGUAGCUCUGUAUGAGUGAACCAGUAUAAAAACUUGUGUGCCUUUUCUUCUCAUCCCUGCACUCAUUNNNNNNNNNNNNNNNNNNNNNNNNNNNNNNNNNNNNNNNNNNNNNNNNNNNNNNNNNNNNNNNNNNNNNNNNNNNNNNNNNNNNNNNNNNNNNNNNNNNNUUAAUUCUGGGUUUAAAUAAGAACUGUUCUUCCUGAUUUGUUAAAGCUUUCUAAUCUCAAACAAGGCAGUUGUAUAUGCUGUUUUAAUUGAUUUGAAAAACAAAUUGUCUAUUCAUUAAAACCUGAGGAAGAUUCAUUCUCAUUAAAAUCUUGUGUUGAAUGAAGUUGAUUGAUUUCUUGGCAUAGCUGUAUUCUUCAUACUCAUAAAAUCAAAUUAAUCUGAUUCUGUUAUAGCUCUUUGCUGAUUACAAUUUUAAUUUGAACAAAGUCAAAUUGUGCUAGACUGCUCUGAAGAAUCAAUCUGUUUCAUGUAAAAUCAAUAUGUUCUUUUUGUCUCUGGUAUACUGAAAAUUGUGUGAUCUUGCGAAAAUUUUAUAAGCUCAAUUCACCCCUCCCCUCUUGAACUUAGACACUAAUAGACCCAACAGAAGGAACAUUUGGCGCCCACCGUGGGGCACUAUACAAAACAUUGUCCCACCAGCAAGAACCAGAAAGAUGAGAAGUACGAGGCAAGGUCCUGUUGCACCAAACGGAGGCGAAAGCCUCACCCUGCAACAGGUUCUGGAAAUGAUGUGGGCCCUUCAAGAGGAAGUGGAUGCGUCGAGAGCAAACCAAGAACACAUCCAGGCUGAUUUGGUUGCGUCACAAGCAACGAACGAAGAACUGCGCCUUUCGAAUGAAGAAUUGCGCAGGGAUCUGCAAAACCAGGCAGGCACACGUGAGGAAGGAGAUCGAGAACCUGCGACGCCACCCAGGGAGUUUCCGAUGCCGUUCUCGCAGGAAAUCAUGGAUGCCGUGAUACCGACCACGUUAGUAGGGCCCAAAGUUACCUUCAUUGGUACAGAGGACCCGGAGGCCCAUCUCACGGCUUUCCACACGCAAAUGAUGUUGGUUGGGGGCUCCGACGCGGUGAGAUGCAAACUGUUCAUGAGCACUUUGGUGGGAACAACGAUGGAUUGGUUCAUCAGCCUCCUUGAUGGCCACGUAACGUCGUUCCCACAACUCACCAAGCUAUUCAGAACGCAGUACAUCGCGAAUCGCCCCCACCCCACCCCACCCAUCUCUUAUGAUCUUUUUGACAUAAGACAGUAUCAGGGGGAGUCCUUGAAAGAGUUCCUUCACCAUUUUGGAGCACAGGUGGUGAGGUUGAACCUCAAGGACGAAACGAUGAUGGUGCACGUGUUCAGAAAGGGCAUUGUGCCAGGCCCCUUCAGUGAAUUGCUUAUCAGAAACCACCCUAAGACCUUCGCCGAGAUAAGGCGUCGCGCGGUGGCUCACAUUGCAGCAGAAGGGGAAGUUAACGAGAAGCGCACGUGUGUGGUUCCCACGCGCCCGCGUGCAUUAGGUCGACCUCAACCUCUAAGGUUGCAUGAGGCAACGACAGAGAAGAAUACCCCCGCGAAGCAGCAGCCCUAUCAGCCAAGGAAGUCUCAAACCAGGGGGCGGGGGAGGGAGAACGUGCCAUGAGUAGCUAACUUGGUGUUUGUAAAGACUAUAAUGAGUAGCUAACUUAUUUCUUGGGAUUGAACUUAAUCUUUUCUAACUCAUGUAUUUUGGUAAGAUUUAUAUGGUCCUAUAUUUUACUUGUUAUUGGUAUUUUUGUUUUGUGCUUAUUGCUAGAUUUUAUCUGAUCAAUAAAUUCUUGAUUUUGAUUCUUAAAUGUAACUAGAAAGUAUUUAUAAAAAUAUGAUCUAAAUGAAAAUAUUCAAUAUAUUUUAAUGCUAGUAAUAAAUUUCAACAUGUUGAUUGCUUUACAACAUCUAAUCCUAAUGUUGGUUAAUUUGCUAGAUAGCUGAGGAAUCCGUGUUUAGGAAACUUCCCUGUGAAUUUCAUGCAUGAAGAAUCAGUAUGUUGUAUCAAUAUCAAGUAAUUUUGAGUAUUAUAUAUUUUUAUCAAUCCCGAAUAUAGAUAAAUAAGAUAAAUUAAGUUCAAUCACAAUCUUGUUAACUAAAUUUUGUAGUUAAAUUACCUUGACGCUCUUUAGUUUCAUAUGCAAAGUCAUUAUUGUAAUUUCAAUGUAUUAUGAACAAAAUCAUUAUGCAUGUUUAUAUAUUUAGUGAGUGUUACAGUAUAAAUUUUUAAUUAAAAUGCUCCUUGUGGGUUUGACACUCGUACUUCAAAGUAUUAUUCAAAAUAAAUAAAUUAAUCUAUUUAUUUGGAGUAUAAUGAAAUUGAAUAAAAUAAAUAAAUCAUAGAAAAAAAGUGAUCCUGCUGGUUGACUUGAGUGCAAGAGUCUUGCCACGUCAAAGGUUUCUCCUCCUAGAUCAGCUUCGCACCACGUUAGCCUUUGUUCUUCACGUCUCAAUUCCUCGCAAGAACCUGAAGAAAACAAAGUGGCGCCGCUGCGGCCGAUCGCGCUCCGACGCUCAAGUCAGUGGAAGAAUCACCAAAAACUCAGAGAGAAUAUCUCAACUCAAGGAACCGUGCGCAGUGAAUCUUAGUGUGCUAUAAAGUAUUCUGAAAGCGUACCUCAAAAGUCUGUUAAGUGUUCCUUAUAUACCUGAGGAUUUUCUCUCUCCUGACGGUUACACCUCUGGACACGUGGCUCAUAUCCAGUUGUACACGUGUCGUCAUCUGGAGCUUCCUCCACUUGAGCGUCACUUCUACUCUUCAAGCCAUUCGACUAAGUUACCCAUACAAGGAGUAACUUGGUGCACAGCUUUCCUUGGAGCGCGACCCCUUAAGUGACGAGUACGAGGUGUCACCAUGCACACCUUCUCUGUGGUCUCGUCUGUCGCUAUCACGAUCUGCUUCACUUGCACACCAUGCACGUUCUGGGAAACUGUUCCCUUGCCCCGACCUCUGGCUAGGGAAUGAUUAUCUGAUAACCUCAUCCUCCACUGCUACGUGACAAUCAUAUCACUCGUCCCCCGUACUUGUACCCCUUGGAAACCUUAAGUAAGCUUUCCUGAUCUUUUGGCGAUGUGCCCCUCUUGGCGGUCUCUAACCACCUGAUCUCCUAGUACUCACAUAUGGCGACUAUGACGCAACUCUGGUGACCGCCGGUUACACACACUAGAGAUCGGAGAACGCCAAGUCAACGAUCGGCGACUACACAGACUUCUCGAUGUACUUCCCUUCUGUCAGUCAGGUGUCCCGUUCAACACGCCUAUAUUAUCGCUUGAUGCCACGUCAUCACUCCCGAUUACCUGAUCGGUACAAAAAGUAAUGAAGCACUUUUUUUUAAAAUAUGGGAUAUUUGAAAGGAUGAAUACAUGUAAAAAAAAAAUUGUUAUUGAAGUCAAUAUCAUUUUCAUGAUAUAUUUGUUGCAUUUCGAGACCACCUUCCUUCAAAUUUCCAAAUUUCUUUCCUUUCCUUGAGGGCUCAUGGAUUUUGCAACUCCAUAAUUACUAGUUAGACUCCAUUUAAAAAGAAAAAAAUAGACUAAAUAUUGUGUCUAUAUCGUGUUGUUGACGUCAUUGUUGCAACCACUUUUUCCUUUAGCUAUUUCUCCAUUAUUUAUCGUGUUGCACUCUUAGAGAGUGAGUUGUUCUAAAAAUUUCAUUUUGAAAGGUAUUAUUUAUGUUGUGGAAAGUUUGUUCUAGAAAUUAUGUUGUAAAAAGUUCGUUUCAGAAUGCAAUUCAUAUGUUAAAGAAAACUUGUUUUGAAUAACCCAUUAUGGAAAGCUUGUUGUAGAAGGUAUCAUAUUUCUUUUCGAGAGGUUGUUCCAAAAAUUCUGUAAUGAAAACCUUAUUUUAGAAUGUAUUUUCUUGAAAGUUUGUUGUAGAAAUCUUAUUGUAGAAAUCUUGUUCUAGAAAUCAUGUUUUGGAAAUUAUAGAAUGCUUGUUUUAGAAUAUUUUGAAACAUAUAAUAUGGAAGUCACUUUUAUAAAUGGUGAAAUUGCAAUUUUCAAUUUUAGAGCUACGGUUAAAAAUUAUAAGGGUGCAGCAAGAAAAAACCUUCCUUGAGUCCUAUUCAUACUAUUAAAUCCACUCUAUUAUUUGUAACUUGAUUUUGUCUUUAUUUUCAAGCUUUUAUUUCAUGCAUCCUAUUAUAUAUUUCAUGGCACUAAACUUUCACAUUACAAUCACGAAACCAAACACAUAAAAAUCUGGAGCAUCUAGAUUGUAUUAAUUAGGUCUUGAAAUCUAAUUGUUUAACAAGCAUUUGGUGAGCAUAAUUGGGUUACUUCAACGUGGCUUUGGGUCGACAAUCUCGGAAAACAACUCAAACAUCAACUUAUCAUUGUCCUUCGAAAUAUUGUGGUGCUCUUCGGUAUCAAACACUUCUUCACGAGCUUCCUCUUCGCUUUCGUCGGCACUCUCUUGCAGUUUCAAUGCAGACUCCAGCAUCAAAACGACAUCGUUCAUGGAAGGCCUCUGCACCCCUUCUUGUGACAAACAACUGAUUCCAAUCUCGCAAAACAUGGCGAAACACUGGGGAGCGAUCUUCCCCUUUAAUAUGGGAUCCACAAUCUCCGCCACCGUCCCGUUUUGGUAGCAAUAUCUGGCCCAAUUAGCUAGUGACACCUGUUCGAUUUCUUCUGUAUGGAUCACAGCAGAACGGGCACAGAGUACCUCAAACAACACCACCCCCAAAGAAUACACGUCAGACUUCUCCGUCAGCCGCUGCCGAAUAAAAUACUCCGGAUCCAAAUACCCAAAGCUACCUUUCACGGCGGUGCUCACAUGGGCCUUCGACAUCUCAUUCGGCCCUAUUUUGGAUAGCCCGAAGUCCGAAACUUUCGCAACCCACCUCUCAUCCAACAAGAUGUUCGUCGUUUUCACGUCCCGAUGAAUGAUCACGUGCUUCGCGCCACUGUGAAGAUAGCGUAGACCGCGCGCGGCGCCAAUGCAAAUCUUCAAGCGCUCCUUCCACGAGAGAGAGGGAUUGUCGGUGCCGUAGAGAUGGUCGCGGAGGUUUCCGCGUCCCAUGAAGUCGUAAACGAGGAUCAUCUCUUUGUUAUCGCAGCAGUAACCGAUGAGUGAGACCAGAUGGCGGUGGCGGAGCUGCGAGAGCAUCUGGAUCUCGUUCACGAACUCGCAAGCCCCCUGCUGGGAACCCUGUCUAAGGCGCUUGAUGGCGACGGGGAUUGAACCGUCCUCGAUGUAGCCCUUGUACACGUGGCCAAAUCCCCCGUCGCCGACGAUGAAGGCACUGUCGAAGUUUUUGGUGGCGGCUUUGAUCUCGACAAGGGAAAACCGACGGCAUUGAUCAGACGGCAGAGAAAAAUUGUGGUCCUUGGUUGACUUGUUCGUUGAGAACAACAGCGGAGUCCACUUGGAAGUGGUGGAGAACAGAACAAAGAAAACGACAAGCGAGAUAAAAACGACACCGGAUACUAUCCCCGCCGUGAUACCAAUCAUUCGCCUUCUGUUACUUCCCUUUUGGUGUGGUGUCUUAAUCGGGUCCGGGUUAGGUCCGGCGAGGCUGUUAGACCUUGUGUCGCUCAUUUUAAAGAUCUCGAGACCGUUGAGGAAGGAAUCGCUAUACUUGGUACCCCUACUAUCAUAAGGAUGCAAUUGCAGGGAGAGGUUAAUCUUUUUCUGAUAAAUAUUCUUGGAAAUGAAAACGGCAUACUCUUUAUACACGCCGAAACCUUUCUGUUUCUGGCUCCAUAACAUAACAUCAGCGCGACUCUCCGCCAACUUGCUUGCUAUGUAAAUGAAGAAGACCCUUUCACCGGCGUCUUCAAUAUCGUGCUCAAACUCGCAAAAGUGGAGCCUGAGGACGUAAGUGAAGCCAGAAUCAACGGGAAACUCCCAUGUGAGGUUGCUGAUUUGGUUCAGGGAGGCGUUAGAACCCAUGCUACGCGCUGUUCUGUACAGUUCCUCGGGUGCCACGUAGUCAGUCUUCACUGUUAUGUUCAUCUUUCUAUCCGCCAUUGCUGAUACACCAGUGUUUUGUUUAAUGAAAUAACGUUCUUCGUCACCGGCCCAUUUUCUGAACAAACCGGUGUCGUUUCUUGGCGAUAUUUCUUGUCCUCCCACAUUGAUUCUAUACCCAGUCUCCAUUGCAAAGCGGGUUCCAACAACGAAGGGUUUGCUACUUCCCACGUUCGUGAAGCCCGUGUCAGUUACUGACGUGUAAUAUAAAUUGCUUGGCAUGGAAAGUACCUCGAUUCCGUUGAUGAAAGCGUAGGAGUUGGACUGCGAGGGAGUGAAGAUGAGGAUAAGACCCUGACCGUCCUCCACGUAGACGAUGUAUUCUUUGAAUAUGAUUUCCUUGUUUUCAGCGUCGGCGUUGAGAGAGGCGUUGAAAUCUUGGAGGAGGAUGAAUUGGUUGGAGUGAACAGAGAAGGAUGAGAGGGUGCGAGGAAAAGAAGGGUAAGAAGCGGGGAAGAAGAAGAGGCGAAGGAAUUUUGGGCCCCCUGUGUGGAAAUAGAAGGAGUAACUGAACUGGGAAGGAGAAAGGCGAGCAGUGGCGUAGGGGACAUGGUUGGUGGAAGGAGAUAGCGUUGUGGGUUUAGCUGAAACGGUGGCGUCUUCGUUUGUUAAGAGCAUAGAAUCUAUGUCCCCGGUCCAUGUCCUUUGGCCGUCGUAGGAUGUUCCAGAGGAACCGCAAGUGAUGGUGAAAUUGUCGAGUGGGGUGUAGCCUUGGAAGUGUGGGAAGAGGAGGAGAAGGAGGAAGAUGACAGCGUUGAAGGUCAUGGUUUGCAGUGAGAGUGAUGGAGCCAACACUUAUUAUCAUCUUUAGGUUGCAAUUGCUAGGAAGGCCGCGAGAAACAAUACGACUACUACUACCUGCCAGCUGCGUCAAAUAAAAUACAAAAACUUUUGGUUAACAACCUCUGCAAAAUGUAAUGUGCCAAAAAAAUAUGAUGUCCGAGGCAAUUUUAUAAUAACAAUAAUGAUUUCAGAUGCAUGUGGGAGAAUGCUUUUAUGAAACUCUUGUCCACCACAAUUGAGGACUUCUCCGAUGACGGUCAUCUUCAUAUUCUGGUUUCGUCUCUUCGACGAGUUUCUAUGCUACGAGGCCAAGUUGAAAGUUGUUGUUCUCAUGGGUCGCUAUCCCUCCCAGAUCGUCAUGCGAGAUCGUCAUUGUCGUGUUUAACGUGAUGACAUACCGAAACAACUUUAUCGCGUUUAACGUGCGGUCGCUGUCGUAAACGAUGAUGCGGAACUGGUCGGCAUCAAAACAGAUCCAUACAACUCUCAAAAAGCUGUCAUUUGAUGAUUCCAUUGUUGGAAGACCUACUAUGCUAGAAUCUCAAUAAAAUACCACGACUCAAUAAAAUAACUAUUACAUCUCACAUAAUUACUUAUUUUAUUAUGUAUUAUAUCAUAUAUAUGUAUAUAAAAUUAGAGUGUUAGUAUCUUUACACUAAGAAUAAUAACUGCAUCCUACCUAGUAACUAAAUAAAGAUCCCCGAAAAUAUUCUUACAUUUCAUAAAUCAAUAUAUUAUUACUUUAAUUAUACUUUUUAUAAUUUAAUAUAAAUUAUUAAUAUAUAUUAUUAUAUUGGUAGACUAGUUUGUAAAGGGAAAAUAUUUUAUCUUAUAUGAAUAUCAAAGUAUAAUUUUUUUCUUAAAAAUUAAUAUUUUAAAUGUAUUUUUUAUUUUAAUUUAAAUUUUAGUAUAAUGGAUUUUCUAAUGAUUGUUUCCUUUCGGUAUGUCAAAGUAUUUUAUUUUCCUAAAAAAAUAUAUUCUUUUACUAAUUGAGUCUAAAGAUCAUUUGGAAAGCCGGCAGAUAUUAAUAUUAAUGUCAUGAGUCAAACAAAUACUACACUUGAUAUAAAUUUAUAUUUUUAUAUUUAUAACUAGUCAUAUUCAUUAAAAAUAUAUUUAUGAUUUAUAAUUAUAUAUAAAGGACUUAUGAAAGUUUAGUAUGUAUAUAUUUAACCUUUAAACAUCUAUUUGAUUCUUAUAACUACACUCGUUCACCCUUUCAAACAAUUUGUUUCUGUUUCAGCAAACUAAAAAAAAAUAUUGGAACAUCUCUAAAAUUAGAACAUGGUGAUGUUUUAAGAUUGUUGAGGUGAGUGUUGUGAAAAUCAAUCAUCCUUAUAUCCAGAGUUAUAAUAUAUUUAUAGGAGUAUAAGUUGAAACUAAAUCUUUCUACUUUUCUAAAUAUUUAGAGUUUAUUUUUUCUUUUAUCAACAAUGAAUUAAUAAAAUAAAACGAGAUACUUAAGCGGUGUUCCAACCCUUAUGCGUACCUUUCUCUGUAUUAAAGUUCAGCAAUUCAAAACACAAUAAAGCAAAAAAAAUCUUAAACUACCAUAGACCCUUGCCCUUACAAACCCAAAGGAAUAGAAAAGCACUUUAAACCAGUCCUAACAGUAUUGUUUAGCAAAGCUAUAAACACAUAAAAGAUUGCUUCCUCCACCCUAUGCAUAUGGUUGAGUUGCAUGUGAAUACCUUGCUACUGGACCUCAGAUUUCAAGCAAAAGAAAUUGGGAAUUAAUGCAUCAUAAACAACUAGCCAAUUGCUUACGAAUAAACUACUACAACACACCACGUUUAGGUUCACUUUCCAUUCUAGCAUACCAACUCCUUACAGGCUCACUGCACGGAUAAAACAACCAACAAGUCCAUUGCAUCUCCAUCAGCACACACGGAAGACGCACAAUUACAUCACCGGGAUUAGCAAAUACUGCUACAUACAACGAGAAAAAACCAGCAGAGCACCCUACUUCCCUGCUUUUGGUUAUGCAUUUGGAUAAAGCUGUACCUGCAAAAACUUCAGAUCAAAGUUAGCUAAAGACUGUUUCUGGUAUGUGAUAUGUAUAGUCAUUCUUCUUGCUCCAUAGGUAGUUUUUCUUUAAGACAGUCCCUUGACAUCAGCAUCAGGAAGUCAGAUAACAUAGCAAGCAGGGCUGCUGAGGUAGAAUUGACACCUCACUCUUUCAAUGUUCCACGUCUUUGCAUGCACCUUCCCACCACCUGUUUGAGCUUAUGUCCCACCAAUCUUAAAAAGCAUUAUGGAACCAUCCCACCACCUUCUUGAAUUCAGUUUCUAACCCCUGCACCUUUGUUACUUGGUCUUAGGUAUCGAUUAAGCUAAAGUUUUAUGGCCUUUCAGAAUCUUCUCCAGAGCCCCUCAACCAAUCUGAAUCUGUCAACCCCUUCCUUUGUCCACUUCAAACCAAAAGGCCCAAAAUCAACCCAUCCUUUACUUGAUUCCUCUCAAACUCCUGCAUAGCAGAAAGGUGUAUUGACGCUUCCUGCACUCAACCCCUCUGUGACACCAGUUAUGACUACUACUACUGCUAAGAACCUGCAGUUUUGUUCCCCAAAUUCUUCUGAUACUACCAGGAUCUCUUGUAUGCUAUAUUUGCUUCCAUAAUUGACAGAAUUGUAAUACAAAUACAACAAAUACUGACCAUCACUUAACACAUAGAGGCACAUAUUUCACCCCUCCAUCUCCAGAGUUUAUCCUCCCAUGUGUACACCAAUCACUCCCUCCUGUCAUCCACAGUUUCGAAUACAUUGGUUAGGAUUUAGAAUCCAAUCGGAGAAAGCAUAGAUAUAAAAGACUUUAUCUUAUGUUUCAACCAUAACCAAGAAAGCAGUUGCGCCGAAUGAAAUACUUCUUUUGCCUCCAGAACCCCUUGUUUAAAAAUAAUCUCAUUUCUUUGAUCCCAAAUAUAUCUUACUAUUAAAUCUCUUUGUUAAUGCUUAAUAGGCCCUAUAAAUGACUCUUUGGACAAGUUACAUUCUCUUUUAAUAGAAGAUCAAGCUAACUCUUGGUACACAACCCCUCAGGCCUUUUCAAGCAAAAAGCCUUAUACUCAAGUUUUGGACGAGUUAAGCCUUAAAAAAUUGUUAAACUAAUUCAUAACUAACUAGUUUAUUUUAAACAAGAAAUAGAAAGAUAAAACCCAUUUCAAAAUGGUGUGACAUUAAAACAAAUUUAAUGUAGUUAACCGAAGCAUUUGAGCUAAAAACGUAUCAGAAUUGAAUAACUAUUUGAUCGUCGAUCUGAGUAGAGGUUUAUGAAAUUGUCUUAAUAAGAAUACCUGAUAGAGGACCAUCAAGCCACCACAAAUUUGGACUAAGAAGAUUGAAUAAGAUAGAGCUUUCAUUACAACAUCUAUUUCUAAGAGUCUUUUUCAUCUUCUUAGUCUUGUAUAAAGUAGUGGAGUUUGGUAAUUUUUGUAUAGGAUUUAAUUGAACUUGUAUUUGGGCCUUAUUUGGAAUUUUACUUGGGCCAUGUAUUAGGCUUAUUUUCAUGGGUCAUGUAUUGAGCCAAUUUGAGUAGGGUGUAAAUAGGAAAAAGAGUACAGUUAGAGUUACAAUUGGGCCUCUUUGGACCCAAUGCAACUUUAGACCAUCUAGGGUGCACAAAUAAAUUACUACAAUACAAAUAGAAACACAUGGAGUGUCAAGGAAUGCAUGAAGGUCCCCAUGUCAUCCUCUCAAUGGAGAGGAUUCCUACCAAUGCCAAAACACCACUUGUCUUCAUGGGAAUGGAGAUGAUUCUCUCCAAUUAAAGGAUGAUACUUGUCUACCUCUAAUUUGAGAGGAUUUGCUCUAAUUUGAGAGGAUUUGCUCUAAUGAGAGGAAGUCAAUUGUCACCAUGGGAGUGCAGAGUUUUUAAGGCUAAAACUUGUACCUUGAUUUCCCUUGGACCUAUAAAUACAAUUGUUAGCCCUAUUGUAAAUGAGCUUAGAAUUUAUUAAAGAAAUGUUGCCCAAAGUUGUGCACAUCUUGUCUUCUUUUCUCACUCUUUGUUAGCACUAGUUUUGUGUCUAGCUUAGAAAUUUUUACAAGUUGACCUAACCUCUUCUAAGUCUCUAUAUUGACCAACCAAAUUCAUCUUCUCCGUUUAAAUUUCUUCAUCCAUUUAACUCAUACAAGGCAUCCAAAAAAUCACAAGAUAUUAAAAAUCCCAAAGAGCUACAUGGCUUCAACAUAGGAUUAGAUCACUACCACUUUGACUUACAUGAGUGAAAUAAAGGCCAGAGAGUCUCGUUCUAGAGAGAAGAAACUUACACACUCAAUGAAUGAGAAGUGAAUUGUCCUAAGAUUGAGAUGGUUGAGAUAAAAGGGGGAUGUAGACAAAUGUUAAUGAAAAUCUUAAGUUGUAAAUAAGAUACUUAUAACCGAGCCCUGUUUUUUAUAACUUAUUAAUUGAAACCUUAAAGCUUAAAUUGUAGGUAAUUAACCGAGAUAUAACUUAUAACUUAUCACAACUUAUAAAUAGUGUAUUUAAGUGGUACCUCGUUAUUAGUGCAUGAUGUGUGUCAUUUGAAGACUUCGUGAAUUAAUUAUUAAAAAAGAGAGAUUCAAAUCCCGAUCAAAGUCGUAAUGGGGUGUACAACUCCACGUGCAUGUCCCAACCUAAUGAGGAUUAGAAUCUCGUUUAUAACUGUGUUGAGUUUUACAAACCUUGUGUGCAUCUCUCGACCUUGAUGAAGAUUAAAUUUUUUAUCAGAGUUGUAAUGAGGUGUACAAACCUCGCUUGCAUGUCCUGACCGUGAUGAGGAUUAACAUCUCGAUCAGAGCCAUAAUGAGGUGUACAAAAACCUCAUGUGCAUAUCCUAGUAAGAUCCCGUUAAAAGUCGUAAUGGGUUGUACAAACCUCAUGUGCAUAUUUUGACAGUGAUGAGGAUUACAAUCUCGAUCAUAGUCAUAAUGAGGUGUACAAAACACGUGUGCAUAUCCCGAUCGGAAUGAGGAUUAAGAUCUUAAUUAGAAUCAUAAUGGGGUGUACAAAACCUGCAUGGAUAUCUUGAAUAUGAAGAGGAUUACAAUCCUGAUCAGAAUUGUAAUGAGAUGUACAAAUCUCCCAUGCAUAUCCCGACUGUGAUGAGGAUUAAGAUCCUUAUUAGAGUCAUAAUGGAGUGUACAACCACACAUGCAUAUCCCAAAUGUGAUGAAGAUUAAGAUCCUGAUCAAAGUCAUAAUGGAGUGUACAAACCCCACAUGCAUAUCCCAAUUGUGAUGAGGAUUAAGAUCCUAAUCAAAUCACUUGAAUAUUAGAAAUCACCAACAAUUUAAUUUCUCUACACCGUCAAUAUAGAAUGUUAGCGUAGUGAAUUGUCUGGUUGAAUGAUUGGAUGUUAACCUGGUAAUGAUGGGACAACUAAAAAAACACUGAGAAAAAAUUGAGACAAUAGUCAUCAUAAUUUAUUACGAAAAACUACGGAAAAAGCAAAAGAAAUGAUAUGCGAUACCAGAUUUAGGGUUUGAAAGUCGGUUAAAUGUAGAGAAGGUGUUAGUACCCUACAACGUUUGUCUUAAGACAAUACCUUUUAUUAAAUAUGCAAAAAUGAAUGUGACUUUUUUUAGAAUAUUUAUUUCCUAAAAAAACAAAAAUGCAUGUGAAAAUAAAGAACAUAUUUUUUAAAUUUUUUAUUUGGGUAUGAGUCGUCCGUAUUAGGAACAUGUGUUUUUCUCUUUUCAGAUCAAAUUUAAUGACUUUAUAUUAUAUAUUUUCACAACUACUUAAUAUUCAUGCUAGGUUCUAAAUAACCAUUUACUUUUUAAAAUAUAUUCAUUUUGUUAAUGAUAAUAAUGGAAAUCCUUAUUAAUAAUAAUUAUAUAUAUAACAUAAUUUAAAUAAACAUAAAUAAUAUUAAAAUUAUCUAAAUAAAUUAACUUAACUAACAAAAUUAAUUUAAAUAUACAAAAUUAUUUAUUUAUUUUUUUGAAUUUUAAAUUAUUAUUUUUUUGUUUAUAAUUAAAACUUUAAUUUUUUUUAAUUAAAUAUAAUGUGCACAAAUUAAUUAUCAUUUAUUUCUUCUUUUUCUGUAUACAAGAGUAAAUUUGUAAUCUUACAUUGUACACAAUUAAAAAUAAUUCAAAAUAUCCUUAUCAUCAUCACAUUACUCACAUAUUUUAAUAAAUUUUUAUCACACAUCCACUCUAACAUACAUCAAUCCAAACACUCUCAACUUUUUUUUAGACUUUCUUUCUUCACACUUUUACUCUCCCACACAAUCUUAUCGAAAGCAUUAAAGGGAAUCAAGUCCUUGAACAAAAAGGGUACUAAAAUCUUCCAUCUCAGCUUUACUUAACACCAGUCCAAUCUCAAUUCCUCCACUGAUAUCCCUACUUUCACUGAGAGAAAAUGCUCUGGUUUUGUCUGUGGAUAUGAUAUCCAUCUUCUUUGGCCUUCCCCACCCAAAAUCAAUACUAUAAAUCUCCAACAAUGGAGAUCCAGUAGUAGAAAAGAUUAUAGUGUCCCUGAGUUUAUCCAUACCCGCACCCCAUGUUUCUGCUCCCUUCAACACUCCCUCUUCUUUCACCCUGUUCAAAGUCUCAACUAUCCCCUCCAAAGCACAAAUGAACCCAUCUUUUUCAACCAACUUCUUAGUCGGGACCACAAAGCUCCCUCCUCCAACGCAGUUUCCAAAAUAUGUGGCAGGAAUUGGAGGGUCCAAGCGCGAUCUACAGUCAAUACCAAAUACGAAAAACAUAUUUUCUUCCUUCAUUUGUUUCACUUUGACCAAACACGCCAACACUUAAGCACACGUGACACAAAAGGUUGAGAGAUGAACAUUCACUUUCAUCUUAGAGCUUCCAUGUUGUUUGAGCUUUAGAAUCUGUGAAGGGGUCAAUUCAAACAAACCUUUGAGUGCAUCGCUUGGUGUUUCCGUAAGAGAGUCCCACACCUUGAGACUUCGGUUAUUGGAACCAUUCUUAUUCUUCCACGACUCCGUGUACAGUUCACCGAUUCCAGAAGGGUCUCUUAUCAAUGAUCUGUCAAAGAAAGGUGUAAGAUGCUGAGGUAAGGACGGUGUUGGGGUGGGUGUAGUAGGGUUUUGAAGGGUAGAGCAUAUGUAGGCCCAUGAUUUGAUGAACAUGAUAGAAGAUAUUCCGUCGAAAGCUGCAUGGUGUGAGUUGAUUCCAAUGCAAAAGCCAGCAUUUGGGAACACAGUGACUUGAACUGCCAACAGAGACGAUUUAUCAUGGGAAUUGACCAAGUUGGGUGCUAAGUGGUAUCGUUGUGAUGCUUCACAGAGAUAGGAGGAAAGAUGGUUGAAGUUUUGGUGGGACUCAGCAACAGUGAAGGAAACAGUGUCGCCGGGGAGAUAGUUGAUGAUGGGUUGGGGAGAGUGAGAGGGCCAUGUGAGGGUGCCGGCGAAAGGUAGAAAGUGUUGGAGAGUGAGGGAAAGAGAGUGUUUGAGAGAGGGAAGAAGAGAGUGAAGGAAUGAAGAGGUUGGGUGUGGGAAGGGAUAGAACAAGAGAAGUUCAACAGGUGGAAAUCGAAGCCAUAAGAUGUCGAAGAAGGUUAGUGGAAGAGAGGUGGGAGGAAGGGUUGGUGCAUGAAAUGGUUCCACUGAACAAACUUGGAUAACUUUGAGAGGUUCCGGUGAUGAUGCUGGUUCAGCCAUGGUUCAAAGGAAGCCAAGGGAUGAGGGUUUUUAUAGGAUGGGGGCACCUUCAUAACCUGCUAUAACUACUUUUAGCGGUGAAACUAAAGGGAUUUAUUUUAAAAAUAUAACAUAUUUAUUAUAUAAAUUUAGUUUGAUAAAAAUAAAAAUAGUAUAAAAAUAAGUAAUGCGGUUAUUUGAUAAACAUAUCAUAUCAAUAAUACUAAAUAAAAAGAUUUUAUUGACACCAAAAAGUAAGAUACAUAGCUAUGACAAACUAUUAUGAUAAUAUAAUAAUAUUUUAUAUAUUUUUCCAAUACCAGGAGAAAGAGAAAAAACAAAACAUAAGGUGAAUCAGAGCUAAAUAUUCGACGAAGACCCGUAGGCAGAGAUUGACCCAUCCAUCAACAAACAUUCAGCACAACCAUUCUUUUAUCUGAACAAAUGCUGAUUGGAAAAAAUUUCCAGUCUGGAGAAGUAGUUUUUUUCUUUUUUAUCAUAAUAGAAUGAUAAUCAUCACCGAAUAAACUUUUGGAACGGAACAAAGGUUUAAAAAAGAUGGAGGCUCGGUGGCAAGGAGGUCAGGGAGGACCUGGUUCAAACCGUAAAGUUCAUAGUAGCUCAAAUAAUUUUACAACGUUCUUCUUUGCAAAUAUCUCAAAUGGGUAUGGGAAAUUGGACAUGAUCAAGAUUUUCAAAAGAUGGAUUAGGGUUAAGGAAGUGUUUAUCUCAAGAAGGCUUAAUAAUUGGGAGAGAAGAUUUGGGUUCGUUAAAUUCUUCGAAGUGAGGAAUGUGGGGAGGAUAGAGAUGGAUUUAGAUCAGAUAUACAUUGGUAAUAAGAAGCUACACUAAACAUUUCGAGAUACAGCAGGAGUGAGGUGGAACCUAAAAGGGUGGAGAGCGAAAACAGGGUGAAGCAUACAGAGAAGAUAAGGAACCACAGAAAGAUGCAAGAGGAGACUCGUGUCUUCCAUGAUCAGAAGAGAACAAAGGAGGUUUGGAAGGUGAAGACAGGGAGAAAAUCUUUUGUGUUGUCAAAGAGGAUUCACAAAGGAGUUGGAAGGGGCCAAUCAUUAAAACAGAACAACAGGUUUUACCUUGGAUGGAGUACAGCGUGAUUGGGCAGUUUAGAGUGAAUUGGACUUUGAACAGCUGGGUGACAAAUUUGUGAAAGGAGGCAUGAUCAUGGUUAGAGUGAGGUAUAUGGAAAUAAUCUCGUCCUCCUUACCCCGCGAGAAGAUCACAUGACAGUGCAUAAAGUUCUACACAAGUCCCCACUUGAAAUCAAAGGGGUCCCCAAAUACAUUGACACACCAGAAGUGAAACUAGUAUUGCACUAUCCAAUUCCCUAACCUUAAUUAAGCUCACUAGAGUCCCAUUUGAACCCUCACAAUACCAAAACAAAUAACUUUCAAACAAUAAGUUGGAGGAUCACAUGACAAUGCAUAAAGUUCUACGCAGGUCCCCACUUAAAAUCAAAGGCGUCGCCACAUACAUUGACACACCAGAAGUGAAGCUAGUCUUGCACUAUCCAAUUCCUUAGCCUCAAUUGAGCUCACUAGAGUCUCAUCUGAACCCUCACAACACCAAAAAAAAUAACUUCCAAAAAUUAAGUUGGAGAAUCACAUGACAGUGAAUAAAGUUGUACACAGGUCCCCAAUUAAAAUCAAAUGGGUUUCCACUUCACAGGUCUGGUCUCGUGUGCAUCUCUCGACCUUGAUGAAGAUUAAAUUUUUUUUAUCAGUUAUAAUGAGGUGUCUUUAUUUAAACUGCCUUCUGUGGUGGCAGACAAGUUAGUUCGGAUCCAAAGGAAUUUCCUUUGGGGGUGGGGCUCUGAUGGAAGGAAGAUCGCUUGGGCUUCUUGGGAUAAGGUGUGUGAGCCUCGGGAUUCUAGAGGUCUUGGAAUCAUUGAUCUUAGGAAAUUUAACUUGGCUUUAUUAGGAAAGUGGAUUUGGAGACUGGGUACGGAUAAAGGAGGUUUGUGGAAAGAGAUUCUUUAUUCUAAGUAUGGUGGUUGGAGAAGUUUGAGAGAAGGCGGUAAGUCUAGUAGGGGCUCUCUCUGGUGGAAAGAUUUGAAGGAGGUGUGGGAUUCAGAGGGUUGGGGUAGAAGUUUUAAAGAUGGGUUUAAGUGGAAAGUGGGGAAAGGUAAGGAGAUUUUUUUUCUGGGAGGACAGUUGGUUGAGCUGUGGUACUUUGAAGGGAGUUUUUCCAAGAUUUUUCUCUCUAAGCUCGGCUAAAAACGCAAAAAUGGCUGAGCUUGGGUAUUGGUAUAAUGGUGAAUGAGUGUGGAAUUUGGACUGGCGUAGAUCAUUUUUCGACUGGGAGAAGUCUUUGAACAGCUGUUUCAAAGUCUGCAAAAGGUGAAGUUGGUUUUUAGGGAGGCGGACAGUUGGGUCUGGAAGAUUGGGGAGAGUCAAACUUUCUCAGUCAACUCUGCCUAUGUUCAGGUAAGGCGGGUUAGAGGAGGGGAGUAUUCUCCUGUGUAUAGUAAGUUGUGGAGGUGCAAAGCCUUGCCAUCUGCUUUGUUCACUGCUUGGAGGGUGUUGGAGAAUAGGAUUGCCUCUAGGGUUAACUUGGUAAGGCGCAGAGUGGCGGUAGAAAAUCUCUUGUGUUGUUUGUGUGGGGAGGAGGAGGAGUCAUCUUGUCACUUGUUCUUUGUUUGCAGGUUUUCUUGGCGUGUCUGGUGUCUGUGCUUUAAGUGGCUUGGUGUGUCGUCUGUAAUUCACAAGGACCCUAAGUCAAAUUUUUCACAAUUCAGGAUGAGUCAGGCUUCUGUUUCGGUUAACGAAGUUUGGGGUACAAUUUGGGUUGGCAUUGUGAGCGAAAUCUGGAAACAUAGGAACUCGGUCAUCUUCAAUAGAGGUGUGGCAUAUGUGUCUGAAGUAUUCGCUUCAAUGCAAGUAAAGGUAUGGUCUUGGAUUUAUGCAAAGUCUCGUUCUGCUUAUUUCCCUUAUUCUAGUUGGGUUUUAAAUCCUUUGGCUUGUAUGAGGUUUAUUCAUUAACAUUGGUUAGUGUUGGUAUGGUUAUCCCUUUGCUAAUUUGGUAAGCGUUCUAAUAGGAGACUGGUAUCAAGUAUUUUUGUAUAAGGGUUGGACCACCCCUGAAGUGGUCCCUAUUUAUUUAUUUAUUUGUUUUAUUGUUGAUAAAAAAAAUAAUGAGGUGUCUCGACCGUGAUGAGGAUUAACAUCCCGAUCAGAGUCAUAAUGAGGUGUACAAACCUCAUGUGCAUAUCCUAGUCGCGAUGAGGAUUAAGAUCCCGAUAAAAGUCGUAAUGGGGUGUACAAACCCCGUGUGCAUAUUUUGACAGUGAUGAGGAUUACAAUAUCGAUCAUAUUCAUACUGAGGUGUACAAAACACGUGUGCAUAUCCCGAUCGUAAUGAGGAUUAAGAUCUUAAUUAGAGUCAUAAUGGGGUGUACAAAACCCGCAUGGAUAUCUUGAAUGUGAAGAGGAUUACAAUCCUGAUCAGAGUUGUAAUGAGAUGUACAAAUAUCCCAUGCAUAUCCCGACUGUGAUGAGGAUUAAGAUCCUUAUUAGAAUCAUAAUGGAGUGUACAAACCCCACAUGCAUAUCCCGACUGUGAUGAGGAUUAAUAUCUUGAUCAAAGUCAUAAUGGAGUGUACAAACCCCACGUGCAUAUCCCAAUUGUGAUGAGGAUUAAGAUCCUUAUUAGAAUCAUAAUGGAGUGUACAAACCCCACAUGCAUAUCCCGACUGUGAUGAGGAUUAAGAUCCUGAUCAAAGUCAUAAUGGAGUGUACAAACCCUAAAUAUUAGAAAUCACCAACAAAUUUAAUUUCUCUACAGUGUCAAUAUAGAAUGUUAGUGUAAUGAAUUGUCUGGUUGAAUGAUUGGAUGUUGUUUUAACCUAGGUCAUGACGAGACAACUAAAAAAACAUUGAUAAAAAAUUCAUACAAUAGUCAUCAUACUUUAUUAUGAAAAACUACGGAAAAAGCAAAAUAAAUGGUCUGUGAUACCAGACUUAGGGUUUGAAAUUUGGUUAAAUGUGGAGAGGUCUUACCACCCUACAACGUUCGUCUUAAGACAAUACCUUUUAUUAAAUAUACAAAAAUGAAUGUAAUAUUUUUUAGAAUAUUUAUUUUCUAAAAAAACAAAAAUACAUGUGAAAAUAAAAAGAAAAUAUUUUUUAAAAUUUUUAUUUGGGUCUGAUAAUAAUUAACCUUAGUCGUCUGUAUUUUCAUUUACAAUAGAAAAUUAAGUUUUACAUAAGGUCAAAAAAAUGUUGAUUGGUUUUUAUAAUUUUAAAAUUUUAAAAUUUUAUAUUUUUUAGGAUUUAAUUUUUUUGUAUAAUUCACGCUAAUUAAAAUAUAAAAUUGUUCGAGAGACUAUAUUUAAUACUCUAUAUACUCUUUUAUGAAUCAUAUAGUAAGUACAAAAAAUAAUGUAAAUUAUACAUCGAUAUUUUGAUCGUUUACAUUUUAAGUGAAAUUUUCACUGUCAAAACAUAUUUUUUUUAAUGAAAAUUCAUAUUUCUUUAUUUAUUUCAAUAUAUCAAAGAGAUGAUGUAAUCAUACAAGUGUCUAAAAUUUAUUUGGAGAUAGUAUCAAAAUUAUAUUUUUAUUUCUUCUUUUUAUUAUUUUUGAACAAAAUAAAAAAAAUGUUGUGUAUAUGAAAAACGGGUGCCAAAUAGUAGGAACAGAGCCGAAUAAAAGGCCUGCGCUUUUCAAAGAAAAUUAAAGUUGGUGUAUAAAAUAAAUAGCGUGUGACAAAUAACAAAAAGGUCUGGCCAGCUGUUUGUGAAAAUGGUUGGCUAGACAAAUAGGCCCAGUUUGUUUUGGAAAAAACAUUAAACCGACAGGAUGGUGCAUAUAAAAAAUAUGCUGCAAAUAGUUAAAGACUGGGCCGAACUAAUGGGCCCAAACUCUCUCUUCUUUAAGAGAACAAAAUGCUGGGCUUGGUAAUAUCAAACUGGGGGCCUCAAAUAGUAAAUGGUCUGCAUUUCAAAAUAAUAACAAAAAAUGGAAAAAUUGUCAUCAAUUCCUUUUAAAUGGAAACAAAAACAAAAAUAGCCCCAUACCAACCAAAUGAGAAAAAAAAGUAUCUCUCCACCUCUAUAUUAAUUGUGAAAAAUCAGUUUUAACCUUUUAAAAUUUUUUAAAUAACCCUAUGUGAAGUAUAAUCUCAUAUUUUUUUAAUAACUUCAGUUGCACCUCAUACUUCCCUUUCAUUCUUCUCUAGCCCUAGCGUUUGAGAGGAUGGUCUCAUCAUUUGAGCGCAUGUGAGAUGGUUAGUGAGAAGAUUCGUUAUAUUCAAUGUUUUCUAAAUAUUUUGUAUUCCAUUUUUGUACUUUGUUGAUUUUUUUUCUAGGUUUUGUGUCUUCUAAAUUUUUUUAAAAAAAAUAACGAAAAUACAGUUAUCAAUAAAAACAUUACAAAAUUUAUUUCAACCAAAAUUUACCACCGACUAAACCCUAAACCCUAAUCUUGGACGUAAAUAUAUAACUAAAAGAAGCACCUACAAACUUAAAAACUUACCGAGACAAAAACGUAUUCUACGAAACUUUGUGCAGCGGACACUCAUCAACCAUGGAGAAAAACCAUUGCAGUCAUCACCUGUUAACAAAAAAAAAAAACACGUAUCCUUAACCUCUACAUACGAGACACGUGUAAGGAUAAUGUCUGAGGGAAGAAAGGAAGAAGGAAGAGAAGGAAAGAAAGAUUUUACUGUGUUCUAACUGUUUUACAGAAAUCAGAGGGUCAUAUCUAUAAAACUGAGAAAGGGAUAGAUGGUCCCAUGAACAGUAACACGGUCUAUCUCGUAACAUCUUUCCUUAAAAUUGCGGUGGGAAAAACACGAACCACAAGUUUAAAGUUUAUGUCUAAGUCUAAUAAGGAGGCACGCACACGAUAUAGGUUUCGUGAAAAGAUCAACAACUUGAAAGUAGAUAGAUUUGUGAGAAGGUCACUAAUUUAGAAGUACGUUGGAAAGUGAAUGAGUUCGAGUAAACGUUUUUUUAUGAACCUGACAAGAUUUGUCUAACUCAAAGUGUUCAUCUAACUCAUUAUUUGGAGUGAGAAUGUAUAAUAGACUUCAUUAUUGUUAUGAGAAAAAAAAAAUUAAAUUAAAUUAGUUACUAUAGCAAAUUUUAUAAACAGAUUCAAAGAUACUGGUGUGUUUAAAAAAUAUUAUAUAUAGGUGCAAAAAGAAAAGAGUCAAGCAGCCUCUAAGUUCAAUAAGAGAGUCUUAUAAAUAGAUGUUCAACAUAAAAGGUAAGUAGAGUGAAUUAGAUAUCAAUUAUUUAGAUUCUAAAUUUGCUAGCAAAAACCUUAGUUGCUAAUUUGAUAUCAAUAUAAAAACCAUUUAACAAUAAUGGAAACUAAUUUAGAAACUAAAUUUUUUUUGUCUCAAAAAUGGUUUCUACUUUAGUCACUAUAGCAACUAAUUAUUUUUUGUCUCUAAAAUUGGACUCUAUUUCAUGAUUUUCUUGUAGUGCAAUGUGUAGCUCAGUGAGAAACGAUUGGACCCAAGUGAUGUUAGCAAGCUGGUAUGCUUCUCUAUUUUUUGGUACUACUAUGGGAAACAACUUUUUAUUUUUGAGAGUCCCAUGAGAUUAAGUUGCAUCCAAAAUACACACAAUAACCAGUUGUAGAUCGUUUGUUGUAUAUAUCAUACCCCUAGUCUACAUCACUAAAGUCGAUGAUGGAAAAACUAGAAAAUAAUGGGUUAAGAAUAAGACCACGAUGCAUUGUGCCAACUAAGUACCGUAAAAUCAAUUUGACAACCUUCCAAUGAUGUUCUUCAGAGUUAUGCAAUUAUUAGCAAACUUUGUUGACAGAGAACGAGAGCUCCAAUCUAUUGAUAGUAAGAUAUUGUAGAACACCGACUACAGACUACAAAUCUAUAAUGAGUGAAGUCUUGAAUAACAGUGAUUCUAUCUUGUAUUAGCUUGAGAGAAGAGACCAUAGGGGUUGCUUGAGGACGAGCAAUUUAGCAUGUGUGUUCUGUUAAGAAGUUCUUUGGUAUAUUUGCUUUGAGUUAGAUGAAGACCGUCAUUAGAUGUAGGAAAAACCUUUAUUCCAAGAAAGUAGUGUAGGUAACCGACGUCUUUUAACGAAAAUUUAGAUUGAAGAAUGUUGAUGAAUUAUUGAACAACGAUAGUUGUGUUUCUUGUUAUUAUUAUGUCAUAAACAUAUAUGAAAAUGUAUAAUGUGUUACCAUGCCAAAAUUUGAUGAAGAGAGAUGAAUCGUUGACUCAAGCAUCAAAGCCCAUGUCUGAUAGAGUUUGACUUAUUUUGUAAAACCAGGAUCAAGGAGCGUGCUUCAAGUUGUAGAUAACUUUAUCGAAUUUGCAGACAAGAUGAGGGUGAUUAUAAUUGAAACUCGAUGAUUGUUAUAUGAAGGCAAUCACUUUGGGUGUGUUUGGAUUGAGGAGAGGAUUUGAGAGAGUGAAUUUAGAGUGAUUUGAGAGAAAAGUGUAAAGAAAGAGAGGUUGUUUGGAUUAGGGUAUAUUAUAGUGGAUUUGUGAAGAAAGUUUAUUGAAGUUUGUGAGUGAUAUGAUAGUUGUAAGAAGAUUUUUAUUUUUUUUAAAUGUGUAAAAUAGAAGUUUACAAAUUUACCCUUUCUCUAAAAAAUAUUUAAAUAAUAAAAUAUAAGAUUUUUAUAAAUAUAAAUUUUAGUUAAUUUAGAUUUUAUAAAUAUAUAUAAAAAUAUUUUCAUAAUACUAUUAUUAUAUAAAUUAUCUUUUAUUAUAAAUAAUUAUAUUUAUUAUUAUUAUUUUAUUUUUAUAAUUAAUUAUUAUUAUUAAUAUUAUUAAAUAAAUUUAUAACAUCAAGGAUAAUAAGGAUAAUUAACAAUGUCUAUGUGGCUUUCUUUGUAUAUCUUCGGACACAAGUGAAGAUAGAAAAAGUUAUUUCCGUAUUUUUUUCGCUCACAAAUGCUCGGUAAUUAAUAGAAAUAGACAAAAAUAAAAUAAUCCAUGCUUUUCUUUCUUCGUGUACAGUGAAUAAGCAGAAAAGCUUUGAGAUUUCCAUGAGAAUAUGCAUUAUCAAUAUCAAAUAUGAUGGAUGAGUCACUUCAUAAACAACGCUUGAGUGAAAAUGUGGCAGACUUGACAACUGGACUAAAUGUACUAGAUUUUUUUUUUGUUUUAUACCGUGCUAGAUUUUGUUUAUAUCUUAAUAAAUACUAAAUGAUAUGAGCAACUAUAAUAAUAAUAAUACUAGAUAUUCAAUAAAUAUUUUAAUCACAAUUUAUUAUUUGUAAGAUUUUUAAAAAAAUAAAAUAAAGUAUUUAUAAAAAAUGUUACAGAACUUAUUCUUUUUAAAAUAUUUUAUAAAAAUAAAAAUUUCAAAAUAAUUAAUUUUAAAAAAAAUUCUCUUUAGAAAAAUCUAAGACUUAUAUAAAAAAUUUAAUAAAAAGAAAAAUGAUUGAUUAACACCUUAACGGUCCUUUGUAUCCAACGACAGAAUUUUAGAGAGUGAAAAAAUGCACUGAAAACACACGAAUCAAGAAAUAAAAAAAUAUUAAAAUAUAAAAAUUGAGACAAAAUUGUAUGAGUGUUCUUUCUUUACAUACGAAGAAUUAUAAAAUGAUAUAAAUUUUAUAUUAUUUUUUCACAUAAUAUAAAUUUUAUUAAAAUAUUAAUAAAUAUAUAAAAUGAUAAUUAAAAUAAAAUAUAAAUAAUUAAUUUAUGAAAUAAUAAAUAUAAUUAAAAAUAAUAAUUAAUAAUGAUAAAAAUAAAUAAUAGUAAAAUUAAAAUUAAUUUAUAAUAUAUGUCCCGACCAGUCUUUGGUCAUCGACUCAGAGACUGACCUCAGACAUCGUGCAUCGAUGCUUGGUAAGGGACGGGGGCCACGAGGCGGAACCCAGAUGAUAAGUGCCAAUGUGUAGUUUUUAUGAUUGAGAAAAUUGAACACUUUGGAACUUAAUUGUUGCUUAAUGUAAGAAAAUUACCCUAAUCUGAGAAUUAUUGAAUCUGAUUAUAUAUUUUGAACCAAGAAACAAAUGAAGAAAUUUAAUCUCAAUUUUUGUGUAAAUUGCAGAUGAAUAUGAAGCAUUGAAAGAAUUAUUCAAGCUGGCAUUGAAAGAAAGAAAGUAAAAACUUAAUUGGAUCACAAGAAGAUUUAGCUCAAGCUAGAGGAUUUAGCUCAAGCUAAAACUGUCUAGAGUUGAUUAAAGGUGCAGUACAAUUCUAGCCCAGGCUAGAAUUGCUAGCUCAAGCUAAAACUGUCCAGAGUUGAUUAAAAGGUGCAGUACUGAUCUAGCUCAGGCUAGAAUCGCUAGCUCAAGCUAAAAAUGCACCGAAAGAUCUAGCUUAAGCUAAAAUGGGCUAGCUUGAGCUAAAGUUGAUUAUAUAAAUUCUGAAACAUAACUCAAAACCAGCGGUGGAAAACAGAUUGGGUUUUUUAGAGAGAGACUAGUGAGAGAAAGAGAAGAAACCUCUGUUCUUAGGAGAAGAACUUGCUCAGAUCAGCCCUUCUUAUGCAAUCCAGAUCAAGAAUGAAGAUUGGAGGAGCUGUCAUGAGUGGCUAAGUUCUUUCUAACUUGGGAUUGAAUGUAAUUUAUCUUGAUCAAAUGUAUUCUUGGUGAUAUAUAUAUAUAUAUAUAUAUAUAUAUAUAUGUGCUGUAGAUUGCCGAUCUUUGGAGGGGCUUUACGUUAGCGCAAGAAUCAANNNNNNNNNNNNNNNNNNNNNNNNNNNNNNNNNNNNNNNNNNNNNNNNNNNNNNNNNNNNNNNNNNNNNNNNNNNNNNNNNNNNNNNNNNNNNNNNNNNNUCUAUAUUUGAUAAGUUGGUUUUGUUACAUCCAGAAUCAAACCCUAAAUCUUUGAGUUCUUGUGAAAUCUUUAAUUUGGUUAUGAACAAAGUCUCAAAAUUAUUUUCUAUACUUAGUGAGUUUUAAAACAGAACAUCUUAAUUAGAAUUGUUCCCUGUGGGUUCGACAUUCGUACUUUAAAGAGUACUAUAUUACAGUUGAUUCGGUACACUUGCCGAGAAAUAUCAACACCAGACACACUUACCAGGGGAACAAUUAGUCUUUGGACAUUGGUAUCAUAGACCCCGAUGUUGGAGAUCGACAUCGGACCCCGCCAGUAGAGGGAGAAGAUCGGACAUCGGUGGUUUGAACAUUGUACAGGGCCACGUAAGGUGGGCCCUAAAGUUAUGAUAAGUUAACAGUUAAAGACAUGAGAUAUGUGGGAAGCCUAAGUCACGAGGGAUCCAUGCACGUGGUGUGUAUGACGCAUGAAGGCGCAACACGUGUGAAUAAUCCUGGGAGGCGUUAAAGCCCAUUAGGGUUAGGGUUUUCAGGGAAAGUUGCAUGCAUGGCACGUGAAUACUUAGGGAACCCACAAAGCAGAUGGCGCUAGAGAUUAGGUGCACAAGUUGGUACCCAAGCGGCCACUCUGUUAUUCGUUGCACUCCAGAUAAGGGAAGUUCAUGUGCUAGAUACGCUAAGAUUCUGUGAAUAGCGGCGCAAGGACGCUCCCCAAGGAACCCUAGAUAAGGGUAACAACACAAAGGUAAACCCUAGCUUCAACCUAUAUAAAGGGUGCCAAAACCCUAGAAAGGUACACAGUUUCUAAGACUGAAGCUAAUAUACACACUUGGUGUUUCUUUGCCCUAAUACUGACUUGAGCGUCGGAAUGCAAACGGUCGCUAGGGCGUCCUUUUGUCUUUGCAGGUGAGAGGUUUCUUGAUCAAGGACAUUAGAUUCUCAGGCGGAGAUAGAAGGGCCAAAGGCUACCGUUGGAGUCAACCGGCAAAGCGAGUCAACCGGCAGGAACAAUAUACAUUUUACACCUUUUAAAAAAUUAAAAAAAUUUCACACAAUCAUCACAUUACUCACAAAAUUCAAUAAACUUUCCUCACAAAUCUACUUUAACAUACCCCAAUCCAAACAACCUCACUUUCCUCUCAAAUUAAUCCAAAUCCACUCUCUCAAAUCUCUUCCCCAAUCCAAACACACCAUAAACGAUAAUUUACAUUUUAUCUAUAUCUAGAAAGAAAAAAAUAAUGUAAUUUUAAAACAUGUAUAUAUAUAUAAUACAAAUAGAGAGUACUCUUAGGAUAAGUUUAAACACGUGUCAUCACCAGAAUUUUUCACAAAUAAAAAAUAAAAAAUAUUUAAUACCAAAAAUAGAAAAACUUCCACCAAUCAACACAACACACCCGGACCAACCAAAAUGUGCCACGUAGGAGUUUUUAAAAGUAAAAUUUCUCUCUCUCAAACCGCUAUCCCUCUUUUUUUGUAUAUCACUCUCUUCUCUCUCAAACCGCUAUCCCUCUUUUUUUGUAUAUUACUCUAAUUGUUACGUUUUCGCAUUUUUUAGGGUUUUCUUAUUAAAGUUGCUUGCUUUUAUCUUUUCGACCGAUACUUUUGAUUUGUGGUUUGUUUUCUCCAGUCUUUUUGCCAUUUUUGGUUCUCUGUUUCUUACAUUUUUUCGUAACUGAUGCAGUUUGUAGGUUUUUCUGUUCAAAGUUUCUUUCUUUUAUCUUUUGUGUCGAUUCUCUUCAUCUCUUUUAUGGUUUAUUUUCUCCAUUGUUCAUAUCUUUUUCAGUUUGUUUAAUCUACUAUUCUUGAUAUUGUUGCUUAUCUGUUUGUUACAUUUUUUCACAACAUAAAAAUGAUUUUUUUUUGUUUUCUUAUCAAAGUUGUUUGUUUUUAUCUUUUAUGUUGAUUCUCUCCAUCUCUUUUAUGGUUUGCUUGCUCCAUUGUUCUUGAUAUUUUUGCUUCUUUGUUUGUUAUGUUUUUUCACAACAUAAAAAUGAUUUUUUUGGGUUUUCUGAUCAAAGUUGUUUGCUUUUAUUUUUUCUGUCGAUUCUCUUCAUCUCUUUUAUGGUUUGUUUCAUCCAGUGGUUUUGAUAUUGUUAUUUCUCCGUGUUACAUUUUUUUGCAACAUAAAAAUGAUAUUUUUAGAUUUUCUUAUCAAAGUUGCUUGGGUUUUAUGGACAAGAAUAUCACCUCAUUUUUGUCGUUUUCUGCAUUUUUUUUCUUUUUUGUUCAAUGUUUCUUGCAUUUUUUUUUCUGUCCAUUUUGUUCAUCUCAUUAUUUGGGUUUUUUUUUCACUUUUUCCUUUUCUGAUCAAUGUUUCUUGCGUUUAUUGGUUCUGUUCAGUUUGCUCUUCUCAUUCUUUUCGUUUUCUGUAUUUUUUUCUAUUUUGUUCAGUGUUUCUUGCAUUUAGCUUUUCUAUCCAUUAGUUAAUCUCAUUCUUUUCAUUUUUUUGCAUAUUGUUUUCUUUUUUGUUCAGUAUUUCUUGCAUUUACCUUUUUUGUUCAUUUUGUUCAUCCAUUCUUUUUUGUUUUUUGCAGUUUGUUUUCUUAUUUGCCAGUGUUUCUUGCAUUUAGCUUUUUUGUCCAUUCAGUUCAUCUCUUUAACGAUUUUUUUUUGGCAAUCUAAUGUUUUUCUUCUUCAUCUAAUUUGUUCAUUGAUCCAACUUUUGAAAGUUUAUUUUGUUGAAAUCUGUUUAUGUUUCCAUCACUAAUUACGUGUAAUGAUGGUUUACUGCUCAUCACUUCCUAUGUAUUCAUUAUUACAUUCAUUAAAUCUUAUUGCUAAGUGUCAUCUAACAACAUUUUUUGUGAGUUGGGUCUUAUAAUAUCAAUCCUUUUCUUUAGUUGGGCCUUAUAAUAUCACUUCAUUUUUCUGACCUUAAUAAUUAGUAAUAUAUUAUAUAACUUAGCAAAAUGUUUUGUUUGGUAUUCUUUCUUUACUGCUUCAAAGCAUAUCAGAUUCAGAAUUGGGAUGACAAUACUAGGUUGCCAACCAAGGGUAGAUUGAACUCUAUGAACAUCUGUGGUGAGGUAUGUUGUAUUCUUUUUAGUUAACUAACAUUAUUGUUUUACAAAAUACGAUAAAAACUAAUCAUGCAAUUAUAUACAAAUUGUUAAAUGAUAUUGCUUUUGUGGAUAUUUCUAUUGAGCUCAGUGUUCAAUUUGGAUUGUCAUGUGUAUUGAUACUUUAUGGUUCACUUAUUUUAAGUACCAUUGUAAUAUUCUUUUAUUUUAUUGGUGGAGUACUUGGCAUCAAUUUAUGUGCCUAACUCCAAAUUCAAGUUUCUGUAGAGAACCAAAUUCAUGUAUUCAAUAAUUUGUCAUAUUGGUUUAUGUAGUUAUUUUUUGUUAUUUUAUCCAGUAGUUUGCAUAAUUUGUUGUAUUCCUAUUUCCGUAUAGAAACACAAUUUUUUUUUAUUUACAAAUCUUAAAUUAAUAAAUGUAGUACUUAAAUAAAAAUUUGCAAUAAAUAAAAUACCUAAAUUAUUUAAAAUUAAAAAUAAAUAGAAAUCCUAAAUUAUUGAAUGUCAUACUUAAAUAAAAAAAAUUACAAUAAAUGAAAUUCCUAAAUUAUUUAAAAUUAUAAAUAAAUAAAUACAAAUCCUAAAUUAUUGAAUGUCAUACUUAAAUAAAAAUUUACAAUAAAUAAAAUUUCUAAAUUAUUUAAAAUUUUAAAAAAAAUAAAAAUCUUAAAUUAUUUAAUGUCCUACUUAAAUAAAAUAUCUAAAAUAAAUAAAAUUCUUAAAUUAUUCAAAAUAUUAAUAAAUAAUAAUUCUAAAAUAUUUAAUUCUAAAAAAUACAAACAUUAAAUUAUGUAUUAAAAAAUUAUUUCAAUUAAAAUAACUAAUUGUUGUAAUGCAUUCAGACAUGUAUUUGGUUGUUUGUUUACAAGAACAAGCGGCACAGUCACCGAUGAACAAAAAUUAAUAGAAGUUUUUGUUAAUUAAAUUUAUUGUAUCAUAUUAUUCUAUCUUAUUUAUUCUGUAACUAUUAACUUGAGUUGUAUAUUUCUUUAAACUACUGAGACAAAAACUAUGACAAGUACGCAAUCAUUCUUCAUAAUUUUUUUUAAAUAUUUUCAUGAUUUUAUUAAUUGUCCAUGGUUAUAUUUAGAUUUUUUUACUUUUUGCAAUAAUGCAAUUAACGUGUUGUGCUAAUUGAGAUGUGUUGACAUUAAAUAUAAUAUUUAUCAACACUUAUAUUAUAACACCUAAAGAAAAGCAACUAUGUAGUCCAUUUUGUAUUGUUUUUUAGUAUGUUCUGUUGUUUUACUGAGUAUUUCUUCUGUUACAAAGAUUUAAAUUUAACAAUACAUCUUACUCAUGUUGUUCUGGAAAUUAUUUUACAUUUUUCAUGAAAUUGUUGUAUGAAUUGAGCGUUAAAUAGAGUUGGUAAAAAGUAAUGAAGUUGUUGCAUUAUUUUGUAACAGUAUUUCUGAUAAUUCAUGAUAUGCUGCGUUAUGUGACAAUUACUAUGUCAAAAAGUGUUUAUUUAAUAAUAAGAAGUCAGUAUACAAUGUUUUCCAAAAUACGAUUAUAUAUUUUAAGUUAUGACUUGUUGUCUUUAGAACAAUGUGUUUAUCAUUGCUAUGUGGUUAACAUGUAUAAUAAGACAGCUACACCAAUAUAUGAUUUUUAAAAUUACUUUCUUCAUUAUUACCUCAUGGAUAUUGUAUCUAAAAGAUUCCCUAUAUUUUAUUUUUGCAGCUAUAAAAUGAAUUUAACACACCUAUAUGAAAAUAACACAUAGUUCAGAAAGCUCAUAUGAUUCCCAAGAGUGUUCAAAUAAAAGGUAUAUUUAAUUCAUAUUUUUUAUUAUUUUUAUAUUUUAUAGAUUUUAUUUAAUUAUUUUGAUAACAUUAUAUCUCCUUCAAAAAGGUAAUAUUGAAAAAAGAGACCAUACAAUUAUCCUGUAUAAAUCAUUAAUUUAGAUCAUAAUACUUUUUAUUUUUAGUAGAUUUUAUCUUUAUUUAAAUUAUGUAAUCAAUAAUUAAUGUGAUUUUGAUUUAUAAUUAUGAUAAAACAUAUUCAAUAUGAUAUUAAAUGUAAUAUAUUAACAUUAUUUUUCUUUAUUUCUUUAAUAUUAUAAUAUUAUAAAUUAAGUUUAUAAUUUUUAAAAUAUAAUAGUGCGGUUAACUGUUAUUCAUUCUCAUUUAUCGUCUUCUAAGUGUUUUAAAAUAUUAUUUAAUCUUCAAAUUUUUUUUAUAUUGUAUUUUUAAUAUAACAAUUGUAUGUAUUUUAUAUUUAUAUGAUUUUUAAUUCAUUUAAUUUAAAAUUAUAAAAUAUUGUAUAACUAAUAUUAUAAUUUAAUAUAUUAUAUUUUAGAAAAAUAAAUCUAUUUUAAUAUAUAUGAUUUAUUUAUUAUUUAAAAUUAUAAUAUUAUUAUUUAAAUAUGAAAUAUUUAAAAUAUUCCCAUACACGAGUCGGUCAAAAUACUAGUAUACAUAUCUUUUAAAAGAACAAAAUUGUGUGUGUAUCUUUGAAGAUGGUCUAUUUGUUUACCACAUGCUGUCCAAACAGUGUUUGUUGGAAAGUGUGUCACAUAGAAAAAGAAUACCUCUUUAUGCUUUAUUCAAGGUAAUUUAAUUGCAUCACACAAACCAAGGAUCCAUCACAUUCAUGUUAAAGAACAGAACACAGAAUUCGGACAUAAGAAAAUAAGAAAACUACCUGCGUGAACUAGUUGAUAACAAAAGCAUAAUUUCCACAAGAGAACUAUUAUAUGAACAUGGUGCAUUGAUACCCAUUUUUCUUCUACACCCACUUUAUAAUUUUUUAUAAUUUUCAAAUUUAAUUCUUUGAAUUUUCAAAUUUUACUCUUUGAAUUUUCAAAGUAUACUUUUCCUGGUGUAUUCCACAGACAAAUUAUUCUUUCACACUACCAUUUUUUUCUCACAUUCACAUUUAUAACUCCGUUUAAUAAUAAAAUAUUUUAUUUAACUAAUAAAACAAAUAUAAACAAAAUUUUAAACUAAAAUAAUAAUAUCUUUAGAAAGAAAAAAAAAUGAUAGUAUCAAAGUAUCUGUAAGUAUUCCAUAUACCUGCAUUAUUGAAUCAGCUCUUAUAACAGAAUAAGCUAAUUCUCACCACACAGUCAUUUUCAUUUAUUUAUCCCACUAAACUAACAUAUAUGAAUAAAGUGGGUAGAUAUGAAAGGGAAAGAUUACAUUUUUCUGAGAGCAAUGAAGCUUGAAACUUAAAGAGAAUCAAGUCCUUGAACAAAAAGGGUACUAAAAUCUUCCAUCUCAGCUUUACUUAACACCAGUCCAAUCUCAAUUCCUCCACUGAUAUCCCUACUUUCACUGAGAGAAAAUGCUCCAGUUUUGUCUGUGGAUAUCAUAUCCACCUUCUUUGGCCUUCCCCACCCAAAAUCAAUACCAUAAACCUCAAACAAUGGAGAUCCAGCAGUAGAAAAGAAUCUAGUCUCCCUGGGUUUAUUCAUACCCGCACCAAAUCUUUCUGCUCCCUUCAACACUCCCUCUUCCUUCACCCUGUUCAAAGUCUCAACUAUCCCCUCCAAAGCACAAAUGAACCCAUCUUUUUCAACCAACUCCUUAGUCAGGACCACAAAGCUCCCUCCUGCAACGCAAUUUCCAAAAUAUGUGGCAGGAAUUGGAGGGUCCAACCGCGAUCUACAGUCAAUACUAAAUAUGAAAAACACAUUUUCUUCCUUCACUUGUUUCACUUUGACCAAACACGCCAACACAUAAGCACACGUAACACAAAAGGUUGACAGAUGAACAUUCCCUUUCAUCUUAGAGUUUCCAUGUUGUUUGAGCUUUAGAAUCUGUGAAGGGGUCAAUUCAAACAAACCUUUGAGUCCAUCGCUUGGUGCUUCCGUAAGAGACUCCCACACCUUGAGACUUCGGUUAUUGGAACCAUUCUUAUUCUUCCACGACUCCGCGUACAGUUCACCGAUUCCAGAAGGGUCUCUUAUCAAUGAUCUGUCAAAGAAAGGUGUAAGAUGCUGAGGUAAGGAUGGUGUAGUAGGGUUUUGAAGGUUAGAGCAUAUGUAGGCCCAUGAUUUGAGGAACAUGGUAGAAGAUUUUCCGUCGAAAGCUGCAUGGUGUGUGGUGAUUCCAAUGCAAAAGCCAGCAUUUGGGAACAAAGUGACUUGAACUGCCAACAGAGAUGACUUAUCAUGGGAAUUGGCCAAGUUGGGUGCUAAGUUGUGUCGUUGUGAUGCUUCACAGAGAUGGGAGGAAAGAUGGUUGAAGUUUUGGUGGGACUCAGCAACAGUGAAGGAAACAGUGUCACCGGGGAGAUAGUUGAUGAUGGGUUGGGGAGAGUGAGAAGGCCAUGUGAGGGUGCCGGCGAAAGGGAGAAAGUGUUGGAGAGUGAGGGAAAAAGAGUGUUUGAGAGAGGGAAGAAGAGAGUGAAGGAAUGAAGAGGUUGGGUGUGGGAAGGGAUAGAAGAAGAGACGUUGAACAGGUGGAAAUCGAAGCCAUAAGAGGUCGAAGAAGGUUAGUGGAAGGGAGGUGGGAAGAAGGGUUGGUUCAUGAAGUGGUGCCACUGAACAAACUUGGAUAACUUUGAGAGGUUCUGGGGAUGCUGCUUGUUCAGCCAUGGUUCAAAGGAAUGGAGAUGUGAGGCUCUUCAAAAGGAAGCCAAGGGAUGAGUUUUAUAGGAUGGGGGACCUUCAUAACCUAGUAGAACUACUUUUUUAGCGGUGAAACUACCGGUGAAACUAAAGGGAUUUAUUUUUAAAAUAUAACAUAUUUAUUAUAUAAAUUUAGUUUGAUAAAAAUAAAAUAAUAUAAAAAUAAGUAAUGUUGCUAUUUGAUAAACAUAUCAUAUCUAUAUGUUUAGAUUAAUUAGUUGAGAGUGUUUUGAUUUAGGAUAAUUUUGAUAAUUCAUAUUUUUUAUACAAGUUACAAUUUUUAAUAUUAUUAUUUUAAUAUUUUUUUUAUAUUAUUUAAUUAUAAAUUUAUUUUUAUUAUAUAUAUUUAUAUUUAAAUCUAUAUUAAAAGUUGUAUAGGUUAUAAGUAUAUUUUUCUUUUAUUUAUUUUUAAUAGUGUAAAUUGUAAGAUUAAAAAUUUAUCAUUGUGUAUAAAAAAAGAAAAAAGAAUUAAUAAUUAAUUUUAUACACAUUUUAGUUAAUUAAAAUAAUAUAAAAUUUCAAUUAUAAAUAAAAAUAAAAUAAUAUAAAAUUAAAAUAAAUAAAUACAAUUUAAAUAUAAUUAUAUUAUUUUUUAUUUUAUUAAUUUAAAUUAUUUUUUUAGAUAAAUUAAUGUAUUUAGAUAAUUUUAAUAUUAUUUAGGAUUAUUUAAUUUAUAUUAUAUUACGUUAUAUAUAUAUAUAUUUAUAUAAAAAAAUUUAAUAUUAAUCAUGGUUUUUAUUAUUAUUAUAAAGAAAUUAAUAUAUUUUAAACACAAUAAAUGAGUAUUUAAAACAUAGGAUGAACAUUAAAUAGUCAUUCAUUGAAAGGAAAAAUAUAUAAAGUCAUUGAAAGGAAAAAUAUAUAAAGUCAUUACAUUUAAUUCAGAGAGAGAUAAAGACAUGUUAAUUUCUUCGUAAUUUUGAAAUUAUGACAAAAUUAAGAACAUACUAUUAGAAAAAGAAAACACAUCCCUAACAACAUUUGAAUCUUUAUUGUGGAGACCUUCAAACGUUUUUUCUAAAGACAUAUAUUAUUUCUUUGUCGGACAAUAAUUGCAUAUCUUUCAUCGCUAAAAUCUUCAAUGCACCAUUUGAACAAAUUACAUGCUAGAACUAUUCCACUUCUAAUAUGUUUUGAAGAGAAGAAUAAAAUUAAACAAUGAAUAACUUAAAAAUAACAUUCUUAAGUUUGCAUGAAACCUAGUUGAAUAAAUUUUACCUUGUACUUAGGACAAUCCCAAAAUCGUUUUUCGACAUUUUUUUUCAGUUGUUAUUGUUCUCAAAACAGAACAAUCUCCACAACCACAAAUAGGUGCAAUAACCCACCAACAUGGGUAAAAGUAUAACGUUUUUGCACAACACUACCGGUACAAUUAGACGGUGAUAAGGUGUGAUACGCAGACAUUGAAGGCCACUAAAGCAAUACUCUCAAUUCUCCAGUAGAAGUAAUGGAGCCUAAAUUUGAUUUAUGCAUAAUAUAAAUAAAAUGUUACAAAAGUUGCAUUCAAAGAAAUAUCAUUCGCUAAAUGAGUACCAUGAAAACUUGAAUAUUAAUUAACAAUUUAUCAAUGUUCAACAUGAAAAAUAAAAAUAAAAAUUACAAUAAUAAUAACAUAAUGAUAAUACAAUCGUUGGCUAAGUGACUUCUUGCUUGGGCGUUAUUGGACUUGCCUGGGUGAGUUUCACGAAAAAAGACCCAACGUCACUGGAGUAACUUCGCUUGGGUGAGCUUUGGUGAAUGUUGGUGUGUUCCAACUUUCUCUUUUUAACUUUGUAUAUUCCCAUUUUGCCCAAUCAUCUCUAUUUUUCCACAGAAUCCUUAAAUUAACAUAAAUUUGAGAGUAAAUCGUUCUUAUUCAAAUUAAAAUCACAAAAUAUGUAAAAAGGUAUAACUUCAUAAAUUAGAGAUUAUUUUAUCAAAUAAUAUCCAUAAGUGUCUGUAUUUUAAUAUGAAUUAUUAUAGAAAUUUGGGACUUAUCAAUAGUUGAGGCAACUUUGCUGGGCAAUAAGGAGGCCCUUGCCAUUAAGAACAAAGAUACAAAAAAAAAAAUAUGGAGGUUGAGAUGGACUUAUUGAAGAUGGAGUUGGAAGCCAUGAGCAAGGUGAAGAAGGAGGCUGAGGAGAUCAUCGGGCGACUUUAAAGGGUACUUCAACAAUCACAGUGUCGCAAUCGGAAUCGUGACGGGUGGACGACAAACCAAAAUGAUUUUGGAAAUAUAGAGAAUGGAGUUGCUAUCAUAGUUUAUUGCAGAAAACUACAGAAAAAAUGGAAAGUUAGUAUGCGAACUAGAUUCGGGGUUCGGGAGUUGGUUACGUGUAGGGAAGGUAUUAACACCCGUACUGUCCGAAGAUAGUGCCUUUAAUUAAAUUCGCAAAAUGAGUGUGGUUCUUUAAGAAUGAUUGCUUCUUUUUUUUUUAAAAAAAGAGAAACAAAAAUGUUGUUUAAAAAUAAAGAAAAAAAAUCAAAUUUUUUUAUUUGGGGUCGACAAGGAUUGUCCUUGGCCCUACCUAUGUCUGUUUGUAAUGAAAAAUUAGGGUUUACAUAGUUCUAAAGGUUUUAAUCAAUUUGGAAAGAAUUUUUCCUGGUGUGAGCUGGACUUUUGCAAAAGUGAAAUGAAAUUUUGAGAAAAUUAAUCCCAAUAAGGAUUGACCUUGUUCCUACGUAUUUCUAUUAAGAACAGAAAAUCAAGGAUUACGUAGGACAAUUGCUUCUUGUACCAUAUUAAUGCACCCAAUUUCAGUAUGAAAAGACAAAAAUGUCCUUAAAUAAAAUAGGAUAUAUAUAAAAAUACAUUUCGGAUCCCCUUUUUCAUAAUAUGUUUCUGGAUUUUUUUUUUGUAUUGUGGAUUUUCUUAUCCGAAUGAGAUUUUGAUUUUUGUUUCCGGAUUUUAAUUUUCAGAUCAUAAUAAUCUCUUUCGGAUCUAGUUUUCCAAAAUAUGUUAUUUUCAAUUCUAGAUUUUCAUUUCUGAAAUGAAAGGUAUUUCCAGAAAUUUAAAAUUGUGUUGGGUGCAGGUUUAAAAAGAUUGGGUGUAGGAAGAAUUUGCCAUUACGUAGUUCUACCAAUAAGAACUGGACAUUUUUUCUUAGAAAAAAAAUUGUUUGUUUGUUGAUAUUUUUAAUUUUGAAUUUUUUCUAUUUUUUGGAUUUUAUGUUUUUAUUAUUUAUUAUAUUUUUAUCAAAAGAAGAGUAUUGAGUAAAAUGUGAUGCGUACGAUCAUACAGUUACUCAAAUACUUAUUUUAGGAAAAAGUAAAAUAUUUAUUAUAUUUUUUUUAAAGGAAACUAUAAGCUAAUGGUGUAUCACAUAAAAAGAGUGACAAAUAGUAAAAGUGUUGGGCCAACUAAAUAGACACAGGCUUAUUUAGGUAAGAGUGGUUUGGAUAUUGAAAGCGUUGUUGGCGAAUAGCUAAAUGUGGCAGUAGAAUGCGUCCAAGCUUUUGAAAGCGUGGUGCAUAUAGUAAAGUUAUGGAACACUAAAAAAUAUCAUUAAAUAUAAAUUAAUUUUAGAGACAAAAUAGUUAGUUAGUAUGUUUACUAAAUUAGAAAUCAUUUUAUAAACUAAAAAAUAUUGGUUUGUAAAAUAAUUUUUACUAUUAAUAAAAAAAUUAUAAAAUAUUUUUUAAUUGUUUUAUUAUGAUAAUCGGAGUUCCGUUUAAUAAAUAUGUUGUUCCAUGUAUAAACGUAUGAUUUUUUAUUUAUAUAAUAUUAUUUAACUAUGAGUUAUAAUAUAUUAUAAUAUAUAAUAGGAUAUAUAUUAUAACUCACGUAUUUCGGUGGAGAAUAGGUAAAUUUAGCAAGAAACCUUGGACGUGUCGUAAUUGGGAAGAGAUAGAAGCAGGUUGAGUUUUAUACAGAAAAACUUUCACGUUAUCACGAAACUAAACACAUAAAUUUGGAGUUUGGGUUAGCAUUAUUGAGUUAGUUCAACGUGGCUUUGGGUCGAGAAUCUCGGAAAACAACUCAAACAUCAACUUAUCAUUGUCCUUGGAAUCCCUAUGAAACACAUCUUCACGAACUUCUUCUUCGCUUUCGUCGGCACUCUCUUGCAGUUUCAAUGCAGACUCCAGCAUCAAAACGACAUCGUUCAUGGACGGCCUCUGCAUCCCUUCUUGUGACAAACAACUGAUUCCAAUCUCGCAAAACAUGGCGAAACACUGUGGAGCGAUCUUCCCCUUUAAUAUGGGAUCCGCAAUCUCCGCCACUGUCCCGUUUUGGUAGCAAUAUCUUGCCCAAUUAGCUAGUGACACCUGUUCGGUUUCUCCCGUAUGGAUAAGAGGAGAACGAGCACAGAGUACCUCAAACAACACCACCCCAAAAGAAUACACGUCAGACUUCUCCGUCAGCCGCUGCCGAAUAAAAUACUCCGGAUCCAAAUACCCAAAGCUGCCUUUCACGGCGGUGCUCACAUGGGCCUUCGACAUCUCAUUUGGCCCUAUUUUGGAUAGCCCGAAGUCCGAAACUUUCGCCACCCACUUCUCAUCCAACAAAGAUGUUCGUCGUUUUCACGUCCCGAUGGAUGAUCACGUGCUUCGCGCCACUGUGAAGAUAGCGUAGACCGCGCGCGGCGCCAAUGCAAAUCUUCAAGCGCUGCUUCCACGAGAGGGAUUGUCGGUGCCGUAGAGAUGGUCGCGGAGGUUUCCGCGUCCCAUGAAGUCGUAAACGAGGAUCAUCUCUUUGUUAUCGCAGCAGUAACCGAUGAGUGAGACCAGAUGGCGAUGGCGGAGCUGCGAGAGGAUUUGGAUCUCGUUCAUGAACUCGCAAGCCCCCUGCUGGGAACCCUGUCUAAGGCGCUUGAUGGCGACCGGGAUUGAACCGUUGUCGAUGUAGCCCUUGUACACGUGGCCAAAUCCCCCUUCGCCGACGAUGAAGACGCUGUCGAAGUUUUUGGUGGCGGCUUUGAUCUGGACGAGGGAAAACCGAUGGCAUUGAUCAGACGGCAGAGAAAAAUUGUAGUCGUUGGUUGACUUGGUCGUUGAGAACAACAGCGGAGUCCACUUGGAAGUGGUGGAGAACAGGACAAAGAAAACGACAAGCGAGAUGAAAACGAAACCUGAUACUACCCCUGCCGUGAUUACAAUCAUCCGCCUUCUGUUAUUAAUCGGGUCCGGGAUAGGUCCGGCGAGGCCGUUAGUCUGAACCGGGUCUGGGUUGGGUCCGGCUAGGUUGUUUGAUUGGGCUUCGCUGAUUUUAAAGAUCUCGAGACCGUUCAGGAAGGCAUCGCUGUAAGUCGUAUCCACACCGCUUUCGUAAGGGUGCAUUUGAAGCGAGAGAUUAAACUUUUUCUGAUUACCAUUCUUGGGAAUCAAAACGGCGUAGUUUCUGUGCACAGCUACACCUUUUUGUUUCUCACUCCAUUUCAUUACAUCUGCACGGUCUUCAGCCAACUGGCUCGCUAUGUAAAUGAAGAAUCUCCUAUCACUCAUGUCAUUGAUAAGAGGAUCAAGCUCGCAAAAGUGGAGCCUGAGAACGUAAGUGAAGCCACAAUCAACGGGGAACACCCAAGUCAGGUUGCUCAUUUUGUUCAGAGUGCCGUUUGUGCCCUGGUUACGCGCUGUUCUGAACAGUUCCUUCGGUGCCACGUAAUCAGGAUUCACGGUUAUGCUCAUCUUCCCAUCGAUGUCAGCUGGUAGAUCAUUAUUCUUUGGAUUUUCUUUAAUAAAAUAA